UUUUAAUAUUGUUAAUGAAAAAAUAGAAAGUAAUAUACUUUGUGCGAAUUAGCAGCACCUUCACUGACAAGCAACUCACUUGCUUUGGCCAUGGCCGCCGGUUCGCCGCUGCUAAACCUCCGAACAUUCGAAGAAGACAAAACCCAACAGAAGAAAAUGAACCCGAAGGGGCGGAGAAGCCGAAAAGUUGGACUCUCUCAAAUGGAACCCUCUUUCUCAGCCGAAGACAAUGACCUUUUGCCUUCCUCGUUGGCUCUAAUGAACUGGACGGAGGUCAAUUAACACUUUCCCCUUUUUGUUUUCUUAAUUUAUCAUUGUUCUUUAGUUUAGUUGUUGCCCACGCGUUUAAAUUUAAGGUUUAGUUUUUUUCCCCCUAUGCUGUAUGUGUUUUAAAGUUUAGAGAAAUAAUUAAUGUGGUAGUAUCAAUGAAAUGAGGUCAAUUUUUAGUUAAUUUGAGUGCAAAUCUUGUGUUCAAAGUUGUGUUUUUCUCUGAGAUUUUUAUUGGCAGUCAAUUGUAGCAUUGGGGUUUAUGGGGUUUAUAGGGUUUAAGCUUUGCUCAUAGUUUAUGUUUUUGUUUAUUAUGGUGAAUGCAGGUUUUCCUUCACUUGAAGAGAUUGAUGAAGCCAGUUAUAAUUUGAAAAUUCCAAAACCCGAGAAGGGAAAGCCUGGGAAGAAACUGAAUUCAAAGAAAAGGAAACGUAGUAGUGCCAAUGAGGAGGGUUCUGGUGUGGGGAUGGGGAUGAAGAUGGAAGUGGAGUGCAAAAGGAGGAAGAGAAGAAUUUGAAGAAUCAGAAAGGAAAGAAAAUUAAGAUAGUUGAGGAGUCUGUGCCUGGUUAGUGGUUUGUGUAUCUUAGAUUUGUUUGUUAUUGUUUUAAGCUACUAAGUUUUUAUUCUGGCUUGGUGUUAAGAGCAUUUUGAUGGAUUUUUAUUAUUGAGCUUGUUGCAGAUUUUCUGUCUAUUUUUUGGUGUGUAGUAAAUCUUCAACUCAGUUAUAUAUUUAUUCCUGAAUGUAUUAUUGUAACAUAUUUUUACACUCUGAAUUUCUCAAUUGAUUGGAGAGAGAGCAUAUAAUUUUUGAAAGGUUCAAGUUUGCCAGUCGUGUAGGGUCAACCUCUCUUCUUUUAUUCCUUUAUAGUUGAAUGAAUUGUUUGUCCUCUACUUCUUCCAUGUCAUCAUUUCUGUUAUCUCAGUAAGUGGGUAUUGUAUGUUAUUUGAUCGUGUAAAUGUGCAUCUGAAAAUUUAUGUGAGACUAAAAAGAUGUUUCAUACAAAUUGUGGGACUGUGGUUGUAGUUAGCAAUGGUCCGGAUGAUGCUGAAGAACAAUUAGUCAAUGAAGCUGAAAUUUCAACUGAAUUUGAUGCAUGGAAUGGAUUAAGGCGGCUUCCGAUGUGCUCAUAAUUUAUUUAUUAUUUUAAUGCUUCUAUAACUUAAUUUUAUGUUAAAUUAUAUUUUAUUAUAUUAAUUUUUAUCUUAAUUUUUAUAUUUUGUCAUUGUAGGAAUAUUGGGAAUAUUUAAGUGAAAGAAAGCAAAAAAAGAGGAAACAAAUUGGAGUUUAAUGGAAAUAAUUACGAUUGUGGAAGAAAAAAAGGGAAAGAAAUAAAAAUAAUAAUAAACCAAUGAAGAUUUAAUUAACUAAUUUUAAGCAUGCAUGCACGUGGGGAGCAUUAUAAAACUAAUUGGCAAUUCAAAUGGCAAGCACGUGCAUGGGCUUAAAAGUGGGCUGGAUUUGUUUGUUUUGAAAUCCUUUUCAUUUAAGGAUUUGGAAGUGGCGCAACAAUAUAAAAAGAAAAGUGAAGAGGGCAGCCGCACGAAAUUGGAGCCAAGAGAAAAAAAAUAAAAAAAAAACAGCAGCCGCAAGUCUUGAGAGAAAAACCGAGAGCAAGAAAAGAACAAGAGAAGCCGCUGUAAAUUCGGGAGCAACAAUUUAGAGAAGUCAAUUGCAGAGAUUGGAGAGAGAUAGCUUCUUGAGUUUUUCUUUCCCUCUUCUCUAUUAUCUUGUUUGAAUGUUCCCAAUUAAAUUAAUGGAUUCUCUUUAUAUUAUCAUGAACUAAUUUAUUUUACUAGGGCUACGAUGUAGCCUAACUAUUAAGAUUUAAUUUUACAAAUUUAUGUUAUUUUUAAUUUAUUAUUCUAUGGUUAAGUGUUUAUUAUUGUGUUUAUUGUUUUUAAAUAUCUGACCAAUAUUUGAAUGAUUUGAGAAUACACAGUGAGACAAAGAGGAAAUUUAUGUAUUUUUGAUUUGUCUAAUGGAUGCAAUGAAUUGAACGAAAGACAGAGAUGUGCCAACGUGAUUCAUGCAGUUUUUCUAAGAGUUUCCAUGGAGCUUAAUGAAUCUUUGCAUAUUUAAAUUCACAUAGAGAUAUAGUGGGUUGAUAUGUGAAAAUAUUUUUUAUAUUACUCGAGAGAGGAUAAUGAAUAAAUUAGGGAAAUUCACUGUCAACAUGGGUAAUAAACUUUAAUAACAUAGAUGGAGGAUUAAAUUGGAUUGGUUAUGGUGAAAUCAGAUGUCCUAGUAUUUUAAUCUUUUGGUAUUUUCUAUGACUGCCUGCAUCUUUAUUAAAUUUUUAAUUAUUUUAUUUUAAUCUAAAUACGCUUAUUCGAUUGUUCAAAUAAAUUAGGGUUAGAAUAAUUUUGGUAACUAAUAUGAUAUACAAUCUAUGUGGGACGAUACUCUACUCUUCAUUAUAUUAUUUAUGCCGACUAGUACACUUGCUAAUUUACGCAUCAAGUUUUUGGCGCCGUUGUCGGGGAUUGUUUGGAUUAGUAUCGAUACCAACUAACCUUAGUUUAAUUUGAAUUUUAUUUUUAUUGUUUUUAUUUUAAUUUUCGUUUUCUUGUUUAAUUUUAUGAGACGUCCAAGAAGUUUUGAUUUAUUGCCUUUUGAUCCAGAGAUUGACGCACUUGUAGAAGGCUUAAUAGAGAAAGGAGAGAAGCUUUAUAGGAGCAACAACUAAUCAUGGCUGAUGAAGCAUUACAUGGAAAUGAGGAUGCAAGACCUUUAAGAGAUUAUGUUGUGCCUACAGUUAAUGGUGCUCGCUCAAGCAUUGCACGCCCUACCGUUCAAGCCAAUAAUUUUGAAAUUAAGCCAGCAAUAAUCCAGAUGAUUCAGACGUCAGUACAGUUUGUUGGGAUGCCAAAUGAUGAUCCAAAUGCUCAUGUUGCAAAUUUCUUGAAAAUUUGUGACACAUUUAAGCAAAAUGGUGUUUCAAACAAUGCUAUCAGGUUAAGGCUUUUUCCGUUCUCACUAAGGGAUAAAGCAAAAGAGUAGUUGAACUUACUCCCUGCUGGAAUAAGCACUACAUGGGAUGGUUUAGCACAGAAGUUUUUAGCAAAGUACUUUCCUCCAGCAAAAAUAGCCAAGUUGAGAAAUAACAUCACAACCUUUGCUCAGUUCGAGAUGGAAUCAUUAUAUGAAGCGUGGGAAAGAUACAAAGACCUACUAAGAAAAUGCCCACAUCAUGGUCUACCAUUUGGCUUUAGGUGCAGACAUUUUACAAUGGUUUGGAAUGCAAUACCAGAACAAUGAUUGAUGCUGCAGUAGGAGGAAUGUUAAUGGGAAAAACACCAGAAGCAGCUUAUGAAUUAUUGGAAGAGAUGGCAUCUAAUAAUUACCAGUGGUCUUCAGAGCGACCAAUAUCAAGGAGAGCUGUAGGAGCCCAUAAUAUUGAUGUUGUCACUGUUUUAUCUGCACAAAUGAUUGCUUUAUCUAAUAAGCUAGAGCACCUAAAUGUCAGUGAUAUUCAAACUCAAGUAUGUGAAUUAUGCGGAGGGAACCAUACCAGUGUCAACUGCCAAGUUGAAAGUCCUUUUGCGUCGUCAUCCGCUGAACAAUUAUGAACAUGCAUGGUCACUUUAUCAUAAUGCCAUCUUUAAUAUGGCCUAUAUGCAUGGAGAAGAGUGUUGCAAUUAUGAACAAUUCAUCUUUGGUUGCUUGAGUUAUGACCUCAUAGUCAAAAUUUUGGAGGUAUAUUCUUAAGAAAUAAAAUAAGCUGUAGCUCUCAGUUGUCUGCCUUUGUCAUUUUCUUUCAUAUCAAAUUCUUCAUUUUAAUGAAUGGAUGACAGUUAACAAGGUCUAUAAGCUUCAUCGUUAAAAGUAAAUACACAGUCAUUUUAGAUUUCUUCAUCAUCUCUAUCAUUUUGUCUGCGAUUGUGUAAUGCCUCCUCAACUUUAAUGGCCCUUACUCUAUGAUUGGCUGCAGUUACAAGGAAGAAGAUAAAGAUGCCUACUUGUAUUAUAUUUUGAGUGUUCAUGGACAAGGUCGUGCAAUUGUUUUCUGUACGUCCAUUGCAGCUUUGCGCCAUAUUGCUUCCCUCUUGAAAAUUCUUGGCAUAGAUGUUUGGACACUUCAUGCUCAGAUGCAACAGCGAGCUCGUUUGAAGGUAUUUCAUGUGCUAAUGUCUGGUUCUUUACACUGUUGGAUGCUUGCUGAUGUUCAAAAUUUUAGUUUCCCUUGGUUUUUUUGGCCUAUUGGUUUGACAUUUCUGAGGCCUCUUUGAGACAUGAGCCUCUUACUGUCUUACAUAAUGACAAAAGUUAGUUAGGUUGCUUUUGGUAUUGUUUUUGAAACAAUGUUUUUAUUAUUUUGUUUUAGAAUAUAGAUACGAUUAGUUUUAAUAUAAAUGAAAACAUGUUUGGUGGUUUGUCUUGAAACUGAUAUCUAAAUAUGAAAUACCAAUACACAUUCAGUAAUUUGUUCGAAGAAAAGAAAACGGUGAAUAUGUGUUUGGUAUAAUUUUUAUGAAAAUUGAUUUUCAGUAACUAUAUUACGGGCUAGUUUGGGAAUGUUGUAACUUUUGAAAUAAUUAUUAUUAGUUGUGCUCUAGAAAUAAUUAGAUGUGAAAGGAAUUAAUUAAAUGUUGGUAAAUUUUGUUUUCAAAAGUACUAUGGAUUUUGAAAGCAGUUAUGGACAUUUGAUAAAUUUUACUGUUAAAUUGUUGAGAGAAAAUAAAUGAAUAAAAUGUAAAUAAUGUAAGACUAAAUUUACUUAUACAUGUAAAAAUAUGUACAUACAAUAUUUUUCAUUGUGUAUUAUAAUAAUUUUUAUUAAAAAUAAAAUUUAUAAUCUAUUGAUUUUAUUUUUAUUUUUUAUCUUAAAACAAUUGAUAAUUAAAUUUAUAAUAUAAUGAAACAAAUUUAAUAAUAAGUCGACCAACAAAUUGAUAUUGAUGAAUUAUAAUAAAAAUUUAUUCAAAUAUUGAUUGUGUUUUCAAUUUGAAUAAUGAUAAUUUUGGGUUUAGGUAAUAAUUUUAAAGAUAUUUAUGGAAUUGCAUUAAAUGAUAAAAUUGAUUUUCAAAAUCAGAAUAUAAAAUAUACCCCUUCUUUACUUUUCAAAGUCAACUGUAGGAGUGAUUUUGAUUCUUUUUUACCAAAUACUAAAAUUAACUUCUAGAUUUCCAAAAUCACUUUUAAGUUUCCCAACAAUUCCAAACGGGCCCUACAUGUGCUACUUUUAAAAAUUGUCUUUUAUUAUUUUUGAUGUUUUUAAAUAAACAAUUAAAAUACUAUAAAAAUAGCAUAAUGUAAUAAUAAAUAUAAAUAUAAGUACGACUUUUAUUUAAUAGUUGUUUAGCCAGAUGAUAACAAGGAUAAGAUAAGGAAAAGAGCAAAAGGGGAUAGAGAAAAAGAUUUUAAAUUCUUUGUAUCGAAAUACAAAACAGCCUUAUUUGUGAGUUGGAAGAUCAAACCAAGGAGACUUACUUUUCCAUAACAAACACCCCAUCAUUAGUGGUGUUGGGCCAUCCGGCAUGCUGUAAAAUGACUCCCUUCCUACCUUUAUAUUAUUAUAAAGUUUUAUUUAAGUAAGAUAAAUUAUUAUAUUUUAUUAAAUAUCUAUAAAUUUUUCAAAUAAUUUUUUUAUUUUAUAAAAUUAUUAUAUCUAUAAUCAUUUUUUCAUUGUUUUUCUAAUUAGCCAUAACCCAUAUAAAUUUAAGGACAAUUCUGUUAUUAUUUUUUAAUAAAUAAAUAAAUACUAGUAAUUUUAUAAAAUAAUAAUAUUUGAGUACUAACUUAAAUCUUAAUAUUAUGCAUCACUUUUGUAUUUCUUAUUAUUUUCUCCUAUUAUCUAAUAAAUAAAUAUAAUAUUAAUUGAAAUUCAAUUGGGGCUCAAUAUUGAAACUCUACUAUUACGCUAUUCAAAAUGAUAUCAAGCCAUCAACAAACAAUCUGACCAAUAAUCUAUAAAGUUAAAUUUAAAAUUUAAAAGCUCUGCUAUUACAAAGAAUCAAGUCAAUGUCAUUACAACAUUCUAAGCAACGUCACAUGCCAUACAAAUAUUUUUAUAAUUAAAUAUAGAAUUGUUAAGUCCAGCUUUUUUGUUUUAAAAUAAUGAUAUGUAACUUUAUAUGUAUGUAUGAAUGAAUGAAUGAAUGUAUGAGUGUGUGUCUAUAUAUAUAAUCAUUCUCAAAUGUGAACACCGUUAUUUUUUUAAAUACGAAUAUAUUGUUAAACUUUACGGUUUAAUAGUGUAUUUGAGCUAACUUUAUUAAACUGUAUGAUUUAAUAGUGUGUUCGUAUUAAAAAAAAAAGAGUGCAUCACGUGAGAGAAGAACUGUUAUUAUAGAGAGAGAGAAUAAGAUACCCCACUCUUAUCAUUCCAUGUUAAAUGUUUUUACUGAGCCCUUAAAGAACUAUUAUUAUAGAGAAGUCGGAACGUUCAAUUCUCUUCAAGAUUUACUCCUGUGGCAAUGUCCGGGCAUUCAAUUCUUCCCAGAAGAGGGGUUUAUCCACCAACCUAAGAUACCUUGGAAUUUCUGGUGAUAAUAUUUAUAAGCCACUAAUUAAGUGGGGCUUUCACGAGUUCACUUCUCCUACAGCUCUCUGCAUUAAUAUUUGCUCAGAUGCAGUGUCCUUUCCUGAUGAAGAGAAGGGAACGAUAUUGCCCACUUCUCUUAAUUAUAAUUUCGGAUUUCCCAAAACUGGAACUCCUAUCUUCCACGGGCUUCCGGAAUCUCACAUCUCUUGAAAGUUUAACUGUCAUGUCUUCCCCAAAUUUCACUUCCUUCCCUGAAGUGGGCUUUCCGUCCUCUGUUCCAAACAAAUGCAAAAAGGGCAAGGGACAAGAGUGCUCAAAGAUAGCGCAUAUUCCUUGCGUUAGCAAAGAUGGAAAAUUCAUUUACGAUCCGGAAGAGGAAGCAUUAUGUCUAUUUUGAUCUCAGAAAUAAAAGAAGAGCGAAAAAUCAGAUCAUGAUUUCGCCAACUAUUUAUUGUGUCAGGUCUAUCAACUUCUAUCCCCAGAACCAUUAUUCAGAUUGUUAUGGAUUCAUUUAAGUUGUUUUCAGUUUCACAGAAAAUACUAGUCUUAGAAUUCAGGUGUAUGUUCUAUUAUGCAUGAAAUUAGUCAAUGAAGGAAAGCUGCAUUAAUCUGAUAUGCAUUAUUUUAACAGUAAUUAUGGGAUGCCAAUGUGCAGAUUUUGCAGUUGAAUGCAGCAGAAGUCAGCAUAAAACUAGUUUAGAUCACAAAGUAUCAUCUUGUCUUAUUAUCAAGAGGAUAAUCAAGCUGGAUAUUCCUAUCUCAGUGUAUAAAUAAACUUCUUGCACUACCUUAUAUGCUGAGAUUAAUGGAAGGCGAUAUACUUUCGAGGAUGGCGAUGGAUAAUCUGGUGAAGGGACUUUUGUUAGAACUGAAAGAAAGUUGAAGAGCUGUCAGAGGAGCUGGUUGCAGUGUCUUCUUACUUCUCUGUAAGUCCUAUCUCCAUAAUGAAGAUAAACAAUCAAUUGUAUGUUACAUGUUAUCCUAGGAGUUAAAAGGAUUAAUAACAUUUUACUGACAAGAUUUUUGAAAAAUAAUUUUCCAUUAUUUGUUUGGGACCAAGUUAUCAGGUUUUUUUCUUAUGUACUGAAUCUAUAUAACUCAUUGCAAUGUUAUACGGCAGCUGCGCACUGCACACAUCCUGGUCUGCCAUGUCACAUUUGAGUCUUCAAUGGCAGGGUAUCUGUCUGGCAGCUCAUGCUUAUGUCAGCAUCGUCAAAGAAUGAAUGUAGAUGCUGAUUUUCAUAUUUUCAGAAAGGGAAAAGGGCUGCUUAUUUUAGCUUGCCUUGAUUGCAAUUUUCAGAUAUACACAGUUAAUUCUGUGAUUCUAGGCCCAUAAAGAUCAGUGCUGUUAUUUGUUGAGAGCAAGGCUCAAUACGAUGCUUCUAAUUUUUUUUUUAAUUUUAAUUCUUAUUCAAAGCGAUAAAAGAUUAUUUUUCUUUCAAAGAAAUAGAAAUUGCCUUCCGAUGCUUAUAUAGUUUUUGGUCUCCCAGCAUCUUAUUGUAAUUAAUGCUGUAGUAAAAAUUUUCCGGAUGCCUCAUAGGUCCUAAAGUUAAAGUCUCUGAUCUUGCAAGAGGAAGCCAUAUGGAUCAAGCAAUAGCCUGUUUGUUUCAUAUUUUUCAUCUAUGUAUGCUUAAAUGUUUCUGAUUUUUAUAAAAACCAGAAAUAAUUUUUUUAUAUUUUUUCUUAUAAAGAUGGAAGAUACCACCAGUUAAUCGUACGAUGAGCUUCUAAAUGUAUUACACAAGUACCUGUUGAAACAGUGGAUGGUAGCGCAAUUCACAUAUUCUUGCUGAUUUCCUAAAGCUUGCAGUAACAAACCUCUUAAUCUAUGCUGCUCUACUUUUUGGAUGAAUGUUAGGAUAUUUGAAAUAAACUGCAUUUCAGAGAGUUAGCGAUACUCAAUGAUGCGAAUUAACACUCGUAUCAUCUAUGGUUUGUGUGCAUCCUUCCAACUGCAGCCUUAUGAAGAGAUUGGCUUUUGGACUUUCUUACUGUUUCGGACUGGUAUCUGUUAUCAGCAUAACACUACUCUUAUAUAAUGUCAGUGUGUUGAGAUAUGCUCAGUGGGAGCUUGUUUUUUCUCCUCCUCUUUGUCGUGCUCAAAAAGUAAAGAUUCAUAGUUUUUCGCCUUCUCGAUGGGUUUGAUUAAAAGCUAAGUCGAUGGUGCUUAAAGCAAAAUACAGGCCUUACAGCAAAUGGGGUAUUUUUUGAGAUCAUGCAAGUAAAUUCUUUUGGGUGGAUUUCAGCAAUCUUUAGGCCUUCAAUAUAGUUUACUAUAUGGAAAUUAUGGGAGUGCUUGAUUUAAUCACCAAAGCAGCUUUUGAUCAAGGACUGAUGAAUCUUUGGCUCCUAGCUAGUUUGUUAAUAAAUUUUAGAUUUUCUCAAGCUUUAGAAAAACUGAUGUUGUAGAGCAGAUUUAUUUGGCCAAUAUUGGUCUUCUUCUUGCUGAUUUCACUUAAUUAGAAGAGCAUCCUGAUGCUAUCGUAGACUCCUAAAUGAUUAAAAUGAUUUUUCUUGAGUAGUUUUAAUUAAUUGUUAUUUUAUUUAUUUAUUUAUUAUUAUUAUGUUCUCUUUGAUAUCCGGACAGAAAUCAGGGCAUGAAUUUUGUGAUGAGUUUUGGGACUUUGAGAGAAAUUAAAGGAAAUGGGACAUAAACGAUCGUGAGACUAAGUUCAAUUUAUUUACCAGUUCAACUUCAAUAGACAAGUGCUGAUAUUAUAUGAAAUCUGUAAUUUGUAGCUUCUUCCCCCCUCCCUCUCUUAAAUGCUUAGUUGUGUCAGAUUCUACAAAUUGUAAUUGCUUUUAAAGCUUUUGAGUUCACAUAUCCUUGAUUUCUCGAGUUACUUUGUUGACGGGGAUUUCACUAAACUCUUUUUUUUUUUUUGUGACAAAAUGCGCAUCAAUAGAAAAUUACUCUAUAACACUGAUGGUACAAACAAUUAAUUAAACCUAAACUAUGCUAUAAAAAUCAUUUGAACUAUGAAGGAGUUUCUUGAUAGCAUGAGCAUCAGGAUGCUCUGCUCAUUAACUGGAAUCAGCGCAAAUCAGCAAAUGAAUCUGCAAUAGCAUCAGUUUCAUACAUCUAUUAAGGCUUGAGAAAUCUGAAGUUCAAUGAAGAAAUCUUGGGGCAAAAGUUCAACAAUCUACUCAAAGGAUGACAAUCAGCAGGAAGUCUCAUUGAUGCCGAUGAUUUAAUCACCCCCAUAGUUUGUGUAUAACAAACUGUAUUGUGGACUAAAGACUGCUAAAAGCCACCCAAAGAAAUUUAUCAGUAUGAUCUUGGAAAACUGCCCUUGCUGCAAGUGCAAGACCAGGAUUUCCUUUCAAAUUAGCACUAAUCGAAUCCACAGAGGAGACCAUCACAAACCCUGCCUCGAACAGCUGAUAUAAAUCACAUCAAACUAGAUUUCAUGCUUAUAGGAUUGCCUAGUGAUAAAACUACCGUGGCCGUAGAUACCAGUCGAAAAGCCAGUCACUCACACAACCAGCACACUUCGUAUCAUUGAGUAUUCCAACCCUUGGAAUCUCUGUUUCAUUUAACAGUCCUGACAUUCAUCCAAACCAUACAGAAAAACAGAUUAAAUGGAUAUUGUAUCCAAGAAAGAAGAAAAUGAUGCUUGGAAAAUAUAACCCAAGUCAAGUUUAGGUUAGGAAACAAGGUUAAUCACUCACCACAAGCUUGAGCAAAUCAGCAAGUAACCAAUGUUUUGGCAGAUAAUUCUUGCUCAAUAAGGAUAUGCAGAUGAUUCAGACGCUCUUUGCAUGGUUGAUUGGUGAUUACAGUUUAAUUAUCAGCUCCAGAUAUCUCUCGGUAUCUUCCAUCUCAAUAAGAAUGAACAGAAAUUUUUUCUGGCAUUGUCAAAUUCUAGUUAAUACCACCAGCACCUCUGAUUACAAAGCGAACAGCAGUUCCUUUUGGCUUUGCUUGCAUGAGACUCAUAGCUCUUGGACCUAAGAGGCAUUUUUGAAACUUUUACAGCGGAAUUAAAUUACAAUAAGAUGCUUGGGACACCAAAAAUGUCCAAGCACCAGAAGGCAAAUUCUAUUUUUAUCUUUAAAGAAAAAUACCUUUCUUAUAGCAUAUUGAAAAUAGAGAAGAAUAAAACAAAAUCUAUGAGAACAAAAUGAACCUUGCACCUUAACAACUGAUAAAACAAUAGCCAAAAAGAAAUAAAAAAAAUAAUAAUAACAAAAAUUCAUAAACCACACAUCAAAAUAACCAAUAAGAGGGAAUUCAUUAUGAAUCAAAUAAAAGCAAAGCAAUAAUUUCCAUGGGCUGCGAAUCAAAAAUAUUAAUUGUUAAUCUAAUUAUUGAUUAUUCCAAUCGAAGCUAACCAAAAUAUCAGUGGUCCUAUUACCUUCUUUGAAAGUAUGAGAAAUCAGUGACCGAAUUCCUUUCUUAGCGAUGCUGACACCUGCAUGAGCACCCAAAACACCCUGCCAUUGAAGACUCGCAUAGCAGAUCAAAAUGUGAAUUAAAUUGCAAUGAGUGAUAUAGAUCCAGAGCAUAAUAAGAACAUGAUAACAUAUUCCAGAACACAAACUGAAUUAUUUUUCAAAUUCCUUGAAAGUAAAAUGUUAUUAAUCUUUUAAUUCCAAGCGUAACAUGUAAUUUGUCAGUAUACUUAUUUGUCUUCAUUCUGGAGUUUGGACUUACAGAGAGGUAGAUGGCAUUGCAACAAGAUCCUGUGAGCUUUUCAACUUUCAGCCGCAACUUCAGUCCCUUGACCAGCUUGUCCACUGCCAUCCUCCAAGUAUCACCUUUCAUGAGCUUCAGAAUGUAUGGAUAAGCUGACCAGCUUCACUGUAAUUUUCAUUUGCACAUUGACAUACUGUGAAAAUUCAGCCUGAUUGUCCUCCAGAUAAUACAACAAGAUAAGCUGACUUGCGACUAAGGUGGCGUUUGUUUUUUUGUCUGAAAUCUGAAUAGACCUGAAUUAGUCUGAAUUCUGAAUAGAUCUAAAUGUCUGAAUCUGAAUAAUAUGUUUGUUUUUUCGUCUGAAUCUCGAAAAAUAAUUAUUAAGUUGUUUGUUUUUUUCAACUUAAAAAACUGAAAAGUAUGUACUUUUACAUUUGUAUCCUUAUUAAAUUUGAAUGUCAAAUAAAUAAUAUAUUAAAUACCACAAUAUUUUAACAUUUAUAAGUAAAAUUAUAUUCAAGUGAAUACAUAAUGAUUUUGGAAUUUUAAUAUAUAAAAUACCAUAAAUUUCAAAUUUUAUCGUAUAUAAUAUAAAAAAGAAAAAAAACUAAUAAGAUACCUGAAAUAGUUGAUUUGCCAUUUCAUCUCGAAAUUGUCGCAUGUAAUUUUGAUCUUCCCUAGUUGAGGAGUUGAUACCAAAGUGAGGAGGGAUUUCAUGACGGCUAAAAAAAUAAUGAUGAGAUUAUUAUAUGGGGUAAAUAUCUAUGGGUGAAUUUUGGGAUAGAUAUGAAAAAUAAAUUAUAAAGUAGGGAUAUUUUUGACAUUAGAAAGUAAUUGACUUAAUUCAGAUGUUUCUAUUAAGUAAAAAGCCAAAAAAAUUGGCUUAUUUUAUUAAGUCAAAAUUAUCUAAAAAGUCACUUUAAGUUAUAAAAACAAACAUCUCUAAUUAACUUAAUUAAUUAAGUUAAGUCACUUUAAGUCAUUAAGUUAAAAAACAAACGCCACCUAAGCCAGUUUGUGCAGAUUAUUGCUGCAUUCAACAGAAAAUUUGUCUCAUUGAAUGGCUGAUUGGUGGUUCAAUUUAAUUAGCAGCUGCAGACAUGUAGAUAGUAUCAGGUAUUAGCAUCUCCCGUCUCUAUAAGAAAAAACAAAAAGUUAUUUUUGGUCUUAUCAAAUUCAGUGACAUUUAUGGUUGAAAAAAACAGAAACAAAAGAGCUAUUGCUACAUCCUUUAUUAAAUAAACCUGCCAUUUUCACUACAGCAUUAAAUUACAAUAAGAUGCUGUGAGUUGUAAAGAAAUGGAAGGAAAAUUCUUUUUCUUUUUUUAAGGGAAGUACUUUUUAAUAGCCUUUAAUAAGAAAAAGAAGAACGAAAAAAAAAUUCGUAGUAAACUAAUGAGGCUUACUCUUAAACAAUUGAUAGAGAAAGCCAGAAAACCAGAGCUAAAACUUUAAAAGAAAACCAAACUAACUCAAGGUCAUCAACCAUAUCUCUAAACAGCCAAUAAUAAGUCAGUCAUUAUCAAUCAAAUAAAAACCAAAACACUAAUUCUCUGAACCAAUGUUGUAAGUCUAAAUUCUGCAACGUGCAAUCCAAGGUUAGCCAAAACAUGAGCAGCACUAUUACCUUCUUGGAAAGUAUGACAAAUCAGAAACUGAAUUCAUUCCUUGGCGAAUCCAACACCACCAUGAGCCGUCUGACGGCAACACUUCUUGAAGACUCAUAUGGCGGAUCAAGAUAGCAAAAAGCAGAUACUGAGAUCUGAACACGUAAACUGAAAGUUAUUUUUCAAAAGUCUUACGAGUUAAAAUGUUACAUCUCGUGAGUUACUAAUCAUUUAAUCUUUUGGGUAACAUGUAAUUUAUAGUUUACUUGUAUUCACUCAUUCUGGAGAUAGGACUUACAGAGAGGUAAGUUGAUAUUGCAACAAGAUCCUGUGAUAGCUCUGCUGCAACAGAAGUGCCUUCAACAGAUUAUCCAACCACCAUCCUCAAUGUAUUACCUUCCAUUAAACUCGGCAAAAAUCGAAGAGCAAGAAUUUCAUUUUUACAUUGAAAUAAUUGUCAAAUGAAUAAACAGCCUGAUAAUUGUCAAAUGAAUAUACAGCUUGAUUGUCGUCUUGAUAGUCAUAUCACUCGGGCUACCUUGUGAUGAAAGCCAGUUUUGUGCUAAUCAAUGCUGCAUUCAGCCAAAAAUCUGCACAUCAACAUUCCAGCAAUUACUGUUAAUAUAGAGGAUAACAGAAAAUGAAACUGAUUUCUGGAAAAUAUUUCAAUGAAUUUAUAACAGUAAUCUGAAUUGUUCAAGGGAUAGAAGUUGACAUGCCUGGCAUAUAAUAUAAGAUUGGAGAGAGCAUUUUCUGGUUCUAUGCUCUUCUUUUGUUUUGAAGAUCAAAAUAGACCUUAUGCUUCCUCUGAUGGAUCGCGAAUGAAUUUGCUAUCUAUCAAAGGGUAAGGAAUGCAGGCUAUCUUUGGCCACUCUUGUCCUUUGCCCUUUUUGCAUUUGUUUUCCAAUAAAGGACAACCUCGAAUUUCUAGAGACAAAAGAGAGGAUGGAAAGCCCGCCUCUGGGAAGGAAGUGAAAUUUGGGCAAGAGAUGACUCUUAAAUGCUCAAGAGAUACGAGGUACUGAAAACCCUUGGAAGAUAGGCGUUCCAAUUUUGGGAAAUCUGAAAUUCCAAUGCUGGUCAGUGUGGUGGGCAAUAUCACUCCCUUCUCUACCUCAGGAAAAGACACAGCAUCUGAGCAUCCAUGAAUGCUGAGUUCCCUAAGAGAUGUCAACUUGUGAAAGCCCCACUUGACGAGUGGCUUAUACAUAUUAUCACCCGAAAUUCCAACGGACGUUAGGUUGGUGGAUAAACCCUCUUCCGGAAAGAAUACAAUGCCUGGGCAUUUCUUUAGGAAUAAUCGUUGAAGAGAGCUGAGUUUGCCGGUUGGUAGUGGGGCUUUAAGUUUAUCACAGUCUUCGAUUGAAACGCCUACGAGAUUGCUGGGAAGCGCAUCUUCUGGGAGAGAAGCUAGAUUAUGACAACGUACGAUACGUAUCUCAUGAAGAUGGCUAAGAUUGCUCAACCCUUUUGGUAACGAUUUAAGACUAUCACAACCCAAUAUCAGAAUAGAUCUAAGACAUGCAUCAUCAUGGAAUCUCUCGGCUAGAUACUCUAUAUUUGAACAACUAAAAAUUGUCAGCUCUUCGACCGCCACAGGUAAUUGGCAUUCUGAUGUCAGCACCUUGAAAUUGUCACAAUUCUUAAUAUCAAAGCGUUUGAGUGUGACGGGUAACCGGCCUCCGCAUAAGCAAGUGAGCGAUGGGCAGUUGAAGACGGAUAAGCUCUCAAGGUCAAGAUACGUGCCGCUGCUGCUCUUGAUGUUUUUCUCCAGCACCGAAGAAGAAGUACAGCUAUUUUCUCUAUCAUCCAACACACUCUGCAGUGUCUUACAAUCUUCUACUUCAAUUGCUUUCAGAGAUGAAGGUAGAUGCUCUCUUGCAAUGGAUGUUAAAGAAUGACAUCCUUUGAUUCGCAAGACUUUAAGUUGUGCAUUGUUGUGUAUCACUCCAUCAGAUAAGGAUGUUAGAGCAUUGCAAUGUUCGAUGGUAAUUUCACUCAAACUAGAAAGAAAGCAGAUGUUCCGAAGCGAAACAAGAGUUGGACAAUUCCCGAUAAGCAGGUCUUUUAGGCAGGUGAAGCUGUGCAGCCCUUGUAGUGGCUUCCCCAGACGAAUCUCAUUUGCAAACCCUUCACAACCAACAAUCUUCAGUUGUUCUACUUUCUGAAACUUUUGACUCGACCAAUUUUCGAACACUGAAAUAUUGCAAAGAGUCAUUUUGUUCGGUGACUUGGACUCAGAUGGACCAUCGCACACCAACCUUUUGCAUCCAUCAAUUUCCAUUGUGCAGAGAGCUGGAAGGCUUGGUAAUGAUACCGCCAACUGCAUGCAUCCAGCAAUCACAAUUUCCUCCAAAGAAGGAAGAUGGUUAGGUAAUCGUCCAGAGAGCUUGGGGCAUUUUUUAAUGGAAAGCUUUCGGAGACGAGGGAAUGCCUGAACAUGCUCAUCAUUGUCUCUGUUAGGUUCCCAGUGCUCCCAUUCCUGCAAAUCCUCAAAAUAUAAAGUCUGCAAUGAUUGAAAAGGUUUUGAGCAACCUUCCCCAUAAAUCUCCGAACCUAUGCUUUUUAAUGCCGACAUGUCUCGGAUGGUGAGAUCUUUUAGUGAGCUCAAUUGUCCCAGCGGGGGCAAGGAUGUGAUGCUUAUGCAACUUUCCAAUAUUAGAACCGCAACAUCGGAAAAUGAUGGAUCCCCUACCCAAGAUGGGAACCUUGUACCACCGUAAGAAUCGAUUGCAAGCUUUUUAAUUUUACUGUGAGGCUUCAGCAUGUCGAGAAUAUUCUUUUCUCUGACCUCAUCUACUGAGUCGCCAUCCCGCCGUGCCGCCCAUUUUAACUUCAAGUCUUCUAGGUCUUCCUUCACUCUUAACAUAGCCUCAUUUGCUUCUUGUGAAUCGAUGACAUUCUCUAGUCCAGAAAUGGAGAGUUUUCCUCGAAGAAACUUCCAAUUCUUCAAAUCUCUCAAAGCACAGCCGCUAUCCUUGCCAACAAUGAAAUUAGUCAAAGUCCGAAGGCGUUUUAACUCCUUCAUUCCUAAUGGUAACUCACGUAACCGAUAUGCACUUUCAAUAUCAAGAUGAUGUAAAUUAACCAAAUUUCCGAUACUUGAUGGCAACUUCAAGAGAAACCAGCAAUUACUCAAGAUCAAAAUUUCUAAAUUGAAAAGUGAGGUGAUUGCCUCAGGUAAACAUUGGAUCCAACUGUUAGAGAAGUUGAGAUACCGUAGAUGUUUUAAACAUCCAAUUGAUACGGGAACCUCAGUUAUAAGGUAUCUUCCCAAAGAUAACACCCUCAACUUUUUACACUUCGGUAGCAAAUCAGAUAAAACCAUGGGACUUAUGUGGCGAAAAUAAAAUGAACCUUCUUCCACGGAUAUUGGCAAGAAUGUCCUCAAAUUCUCAACUUUGUCGAGAACUUUAAAUUUAUCCAUCCCAUGAAAAGGACCAUUGCUGAUGUACGAAGAAUGACGAACCUUUUCAAAUGCUUUUGACUGUCUAUCCACCGAAAAUUGAUCGUCCAAUCUAAACCAUGUCUCACCAGAAGCCCAUUGAGCCAAAUCAUGUACAAGGUCAUGCAUCACAUAUUUAGAUUCGCUGUUACUUGAUUUUUGGAACAUGGAUCUUGACAAGAGAUCAUGAAAAUACUUACUGCCCAAAUCUUCUAGUUCUUUACUGUCUUCAGAUUGUUGAAUUAGACCUUCUGCUAUCCAUAAAAGAACUAGUUCCUCCUCUUUGAAUUCAUAAUCCUUCGGCAAAAUUGCACAAUAGGCAAAACAUCUUUUUAAAUGCGAAGGCAGAUGGUGAUAGCUUAACUUCAAAACAGAAGGAAUCUCAGUUUUAUCCUGUAAGUUCCAAAUUUUACUGUCCAAUAUAGCUCUCCACUCAUCAACUCUCUCCUUAGAUCGAAGAAGACCACCAAGAGCCCUAGCUGCCAGAGGUAGACCUUUGCAUUUCUCAACAACCCUUUGACGAGCUGACUCGAAGUUUCCAUGCGUGCCAGCAUCUCUACCCUCAAAUGCAUGAUUUACGAACACCGACCAGCAGUCAUCAUCAGACAGAAGCUUCAGCUCCAGCUCAUAAUUUUUACCAGAUCCCAUUCUUGAGGCGACAUCCAUGCUGCGAGUGGUCACAAUUAUCCUGCUGCCGGGUGCUCCAGCCAUGAAGGGAGACUUUAGAGCUUGCCACAAGUCAUAUCUCUCGCUCCAAACAUCAUCCAAGACAAUCAAAAACUUCUUCUUAAACACAGCUUCCUUCAGCUUAAGCUGCACCGAAUUCAAAUCCUUCAGAUCACAAGGGGAGAGUGUGAUCGACUCCAGAAUAGCCUUGGAGAUCCUGAGAACAUCAAAGUCAUGAGAAACACAAACCCAAGCUUUGGGUUCGAAAGCUUCCGUUAACUUGUCGUUGUACACCUCCUGAGCAAGUGUUGUUUUCCCGAUACCUCCCAUACCCACAAGGGGUAUUACUCGAAAGUUGGCAGCAUCACUCGGAUCAUUCUCUAACACCAUAUCAAGUAUCCUCGCCUUGUCUUCAUCUCUCCCAUAAACAGCAGGUUCGCUUGUUAAGCAAGUGGUGGGCGGUCUUUGCCUUACUGCAGCAGCAUGCGGUGACCCUCCAGCAAUCUUUUCCAAUUGAAGAACAUCUGUCCUUUUACGGAGUUCUUCAAGCCGGCUACUGAUUUCUUUAAUCUUAGGCCUCAUGCUAAUACCGGACAUAACACUACUUGCACCAGAGGAAACACCUUGGAUGAGGCUGCGAACCCUGCUAGAGCUGGCUUCACGUUUCUUCAACAAUCUCAGCCCGGCUUCAGUAGCAAACUCAUCGAGUACGUCCUCUGCAUCGUAAGCCAAGUCUCGGAGAUCAUCCAGCCACAGCUUCACAGCCCUGUCAGUGAGCUGCUUCUCCUCUGCAUCGAUCAGCACUGCCUCAAUUGUUUUUAGCGUUUUCUGCCACUUUUUCAGCUUUGAACGGACACCCUCUUGGCCGGCUAACUUCAGCAACUCAGGGGACAUUAAUCUUUCGAACAGCACCUGAAGAAAGGCAGAAAGAAAGAGCUCCGCCACAGGCAUGGCUUCUUUUUUUUGGUUUGGGCUUUUGUAAGUCAAAAAAGAGAUAGAAAAUCAGAAGAAUUCAGACGGGUUAUCACACAAAAGAGAAUAAUGAAAGCAAUGAGCAAGGGAGACUGAGACUUCAAUAUUUGCAAAAGAAAGGUUAUCAGAAUCCAGAAACAGUAAAAUGGUUUUGAACUGUAUUUUUUACGAAUAAUGAGGUUUGUACAUCGUUAGUACAAUUUUUAUGAUAGACCAAAAAAAAAAAAAUUAUCUCGCCGAAAUUUUCUUUUAUCUUAUAAUUUUUUUUCUAUUUUGUAGUGAUGGUGUAUUAAUUAUAAUACUAACUGUAGCAAAUAUGUUGUUAUUGAUUUUUUUUAAUUAAUUUUUCAUUUAAUGGUAGCAUGUAUAAUUUUAAGUAUGCAUAAUUUUAACUUGUUGUUUUCAUUAUUUUUCUAAUUAACCAUAAGCCAUACAAUUUUAAGGAUGAUUCUAUUACCGUUUAAAAAAAUUCUGAAUUAAAUAUUAGUAAUUUUACAAAAUAAUAAUAUUUGAUAGUGUCACUCAUGUAUUGCUUAUCAUUUAUUACUUUAUUAUAUUAUCUAAUUAAUGAAUUUCAUAUGAAUUAGGACUUAAUUGGGACUCAAAUAUUGAAUCUCUACUAUUAUCCUUUGCAAAAUGUCAUCACUAGACAAUUACCAAUAAUCUAUAAAGUUAAAUUAAAAAUUUAAAAGCUUAACUCUAAGCAUCAAAUCAAUGUCAUUAAAACAUUCAAAGCAACUUCAUGCCAUACUAAUAUUUUUAUAAAUAAAUACAUAAUUGUUUAGUUCAUUUUUAAAAAAAAUAAUGAUAUGCAAUGAAAAUCUACUUAUAUUUCUACCCUAUUAGUAUUCAUGAAUAUAUCUAUCUUACUCAUUUUCGUAAGAUAUAGCAACAUGUAUGUGUGUGUGUAUAUACGGUACCCCACUCCUAUCAUCCCAUAUUAAAUGUUUCUGCUUGAACCCUUAAACCUUGAUAUCAAUCUGUCUUUAAGCCUUGUUUCUAAUAUUAUUAUAAGAUCUUUACUUCUAACUUUAAAUUUUUAGGUCUAACAAAUUUAUUAUGUAAUUUAUUUAUAUAAUUUCUUAGUGCCUAUUCCUUACACAUUUAAUAUAAAAUAAAAAUACAUAUUUUUUUAAUUUUUUGGUUCACUUUAAAGCUCUUAUUUUUCAACGAAUUCCUUUCUUAAUUCUUAAGUCAGCAUCUUAAAAAUUUUAUUAAAACUUAUUAAAUAUUAUUAUUAUUCUUUACCUAAUUUAGACACAAAUCUAUAGCUAUUAUGGGGACAAAAGAUUCUCGUUAUUGAAAAUUUACGACUCUCUUUUUCGAAGGGAAAAAAAAAAAAAAAAAAAAGAAGUUAUUUGGCACCUGUGUAAGUAAUGCGCUUAACACUCUUAUAUAUAAACAAUUUGUCAUGAUUGGAGCAGGUUCUUGGAAAUCAAUGGAUUUAAAAUUUUUCUUGUUAUAGGAAUCAUGUGGACUCCAGCACGGUCUAAAAUGACGGCCCUUGCAGCUUUUUUUUAUUACUUUUUAUUUAAAAAAAGAAAAAGAAAAUUGAGAAAGAGUAGUGAUAUUCUCCAGCGGCCCACACUUUUUCUAAACGGGUAAUUUUUAAAAGCCUCCCCUGAGGUUUGGACUUGUUGCAAGUAGAUGGUGAAAAUAUAUUUAUUUGUAAAAAAUUCUUUACAUUUUUGCUCUGUUUGGUUGCCGUUUGGGUAGUUGUGGGCAUUGUUGACAUUUUACAAUAAAACAAAUCUUUUGCAACUUUCGUUGCCUUGAGAACAAUAACUAGUCAUUUCAGUUACUGAUGUUCUGACACAAAUAAAAACCAAACUUGCAAAAAGAAGUUUGGUUUCGUUUCGUUUCAAACAAUGCAUCUCUUUGAUAUCAUUUUUUUUAAUAAUCUGAAAAACUAAAAACAAAAAACGAAAGUAAAAACAAAUAUGACCACCACCAUCAUCGUAUAAAACCCUGGAUACAAAGAUGAUUUCUGAUCAUCACAGAGGAUUACCGAAUUGAUGAGCAGCAGCUUACAGUGGCAACGAGUAGCAGCACAAACCACAAGCAUGAACCACUAGCCCACGAUGUAUCGCAGUGAGUUUCGCCGACGACCCACAAGCACGAACAUCUAUGUCAAAGCAAAUCAGAGGUGAGUUGUUUGAAUACACACUCUUAUCUACUUUUUAUUUGUAGAUAACUCAAAAAGAUAUUGUGAUUUAUAUACAUGGCUUAGGUAAAAUCAGAAUUGAAAUUAGAAAAAAUUGGCUCAGUAAUAACAGUAAAACAAGGCAAAAUUUGUUUGAUCUAUAUAUAACAUUUGUUGCGUACGGUCGUGGACUUACAAUGGUUAAGCCUUAGAGUUUACAGCUUAUAGGAGAAUUGGUUUUUGGUUUAAUAUUUGUGGAAGGAAUAAUAAGAAUCAAGCUAUUUGACACCGGACACUUGAUUAAUGUAAGAAAUUCUACUCAAAACUGAAAAGUCUGCACUUAACUGAUCAUAACUUACUAUAGAUAACUCCAAAUUUAUAUUAGUAAAAUUCAUUGGAAAGCUAAUAGAAAUAUCUUUCCAAUGAUGUAUGGCUCAAAAAUUAAUUCGAUCUCAUGCAGUACAGUUUAAUUUCCAAAGAUGACCCUUCUGCACAGAAAUUCUGCUCACUUGAUUAAUAUAAGAAAUUCUACUCAAAACUGAACAGUCUGCAUUUAAUUGAUCAUAACUUACUGUAGAUAGCUCCAAAUUUAGAUUAGUCAAAUUUAAUGGAAAGCUAAUAGAAAUAUCUUUCCAAUGAUGUAUGGGUCGAAAAUUAAUUUGAUCUCAUGCAGUACAGUUUAAUUCCCAAAGAUGCCCCUUCUGCACAGAAAUUCUGCUCACUUGAUUAAUGUAAGAAAUUCUAUUCAAAACUGAACAGUCUGUACUUAACUGAUCAUAACUUACUGUAGAUAGCUCCAAAUUUAGAUUAGUAAAAUUCAUUGGAAAGAUAACAGAAAUAUCUUUCCAAUGAUGUAUGGCUCGAAAAUUAAUUCAAUCUCAUGCAGUACAGUUUAAUUCCCAAAGAUGCCCCUUCUGCACAGAAAUUCUGCUCACUUGAUUAAUGUAAUUCUGCUCACUUGAUACCAAUCUGGUGGUGCUUGCUGGGUUAUCCAUUGUAAAAAUGGAAAAAAUGAAUGUAUUUCUUGCCUGUUGUGUGAAGGUUGUAUAGAGUGGCCAGAACUGAUACUACUGCUAUUGUACUAGUGCUGGAUGGUUUCAUUUGAAAAAAAAAAUUUAUUAAAUCUAGCUUUUGCAUGUGUGUUAUAUGUGAUGAUGAUGAAAUAUUGUGUGUUUUCUGUGAUGAUGAUGAGAAAUGUUGUGAAGAAUGACAACAUUUAGAAUAUAAGGGAAGAAGAAUGACAUGUUGAGAAGCAUAAAUUGUUUCUGUGUGCUGUGCAUAAGGCUUUAAAUUGCUUUAUAAUCUUAUAAAUAGCAGGAGACUUGCAAUAUGAUUGUUGGUUUGUAACGGUCAUAAUGCAACACCCUCUUUAUUUUUUUUCAAGUUUUUAAUUUUAUUUUUCUUGUAGGAAUUUUAAGGAAAUAUCAAUAAUUUAAAGAGGGUAAAAUAGUCAUAAUCCUUACUUAUGAUAUUGUAAAUCUUUGAAAUUAACAGGGAUAAAAUUGUCAAAAAAUAAGAUUUGUCCUUUUUGCGCCAACAAUUUCAGUUUUUUUUAGUUAUGUCAAUCUACAAACUGUUGUUAAGGGUAAUAUUAUCUUUGCAUAGUCAACUAACGGUCAAUGUAAAAAUUAAUUAAUGAUAGGGGAUUUUUUAUAAAUAAACAGAUUCUCGUCAUCUAUUUGCAAUAAGCCCAAACUUCAGGGGAGAUUUUUAAAAAUUACCCUUUCUAAACUCAUUUGUUCCACAAAAUAAUUAUAAUAAAUUUAUAUUAUUAAAGGAUGGUGAUAUUCAACUUUUUAAAAAGUUUGCGAUGCUCCUUUUUUCAAUUUGGAAAAAUAUUAUGCAUGAACAAAAAGGUAUACAUUGAAGAAAUUUAUUGUUAAAAGGUAAUUUUGGUAUUUAGAUAUAUUUUAAAUUGGGAUGUUAUCUAUGAAAUAAAAAGUGGGGCUAUUUAAGCCUAUUAAAUUUCUCUUUAUAUCUAUUUUAAAAAAAUAAAUUCAUUAUUUUGAUAUUCAUUAACUUUUAUAUUUAGUAAAAAUUAAUAUUUUGAUGCUUUUUAACUUAUAAGAAUUUGUUGAUGUUUAUUUUUAAAUGAUAAAUUGUGUUCCUCUUAGUUAAUGAUAUUAAUUUUUUAUAGAUAAAAGAAUUUAUCUAAAUAAAUUAAUGGGAAAUUAUGAAAUUAAAAAGAGGAAGAGAAGAAAGGGUUAAUUAAGUAAUUUUAAAAUUAUUUAAAUAACAAAAUUUUUAAUUAAUAAAAAAUAUAGGAAAAAAAUUAACGGAUUAAGUAGCCACAUCACAUAUAAAAAAGGAUAAAAAUAUUUCCUACCCAUUCCCCUUUACCUUGACGUAAAUUUCAUAUUAACCCCGUAUAGUUAUUUAGUUUUCUAGUUAUAGCCCCACCGUGUUUAUAAAAAUUUCAUUAUUGCCCGCCACAAGUUUUAUACUUUUAUAUAAUUACCCGCUAAAGUUUAUAUUUCCACUAUCAUGUAACCCUUUCAAACCAAAAUCCUAAUACUGCUUCUUGUUGUAAUUUGCACAAAAAAACAAAAAUUAAAAAAAAAAUCCUAAUGGAAUUUCAAUCUCAUUUGAAUAAGCAAUUCUCAAAGAAAAAUAAUUGAGUAAACAUUGUUGAUGCGAGAUUCUGGUUGUCCUCUUUCUACAACCAGGGUCUCUGCUCGAUCAACUCCACCACGAUCAGGAUCUCUCCUCGUAAGGCUUCUUCUCCAGAAGUUCCUGCGUACACAGAAGCAGGUCAGAGUAUGCCGGUUGUUUCCCCGGCGCAAACCCUCCGACGCUUAAGUCAGAAAUGAAGGUUCUGGGAACGCUAGCCACAAAUCUUAUGGCUUUUCUGUAGUUUCUGUUCUCUAGAGCUUUCUUUAUCUCUGUUAUAAUGUCAAAAUUGCUAACCCUUUUACCUUCGUUGGCUACCUUUUUAUAGGCCACCUCUGAACUCGGGCCUUCCCUCCAUUCGCGCUCGUUAUCCUCCCACCUCUCGAAAGUGGAUGCCCCAUUUCCGUAGUCGUGGGUGGUUGCGUGACCUUCGUGCCUUGAUUCUCGGACUGGAGAGCACGCCUCGCCAACUGUCGUUGACCGGGUCUCCUCGACUUAACCCUUAGCAGGAAUGUAGCAGGAAUGGCUUUAUGCUUCCAACAGGAGAUUGGCCUCGUGGAUGACGUGCUCGUGGAUGAGCAGGAUAUUCCUGCUCCUGCUCCUCCGAAUACCAGACUCUUACAAGAUAUACCUGCUCGAGGAACCCUAUUACCCGCUGUCUGCUCAUCACUACUGAUCUUCGUCGAAGCAUAUCCCACAAACACCGGUCCCCCAGUUUCUGGUGUUGGGUAACGUAGUAAGCCGACAGUAGAAACUUGACAGUUCUUGCUUGCGCGGGAUAGGAAAAAGGCUUCCAAGAGUCGUGUCGCAUUUAAUUGCGGACGAGGUGAUGUGGCAGAAAUCUACCCCUCUAUUUGAAUUUCAAACCAACGGUUACGAGACCCUCGGGAUUUGGUGCUGUUAAAUGCUGGCAACCCAAGAGUCCAUUCUCCAUUAGGAAAACCCAAAACCUCUCCCAAGGAAAAUUCGUCCUUUACUCCGUCUCUGUCCCUGUCUCUCCGGCAAAGAAGUUCUGGCAUAAAGGCCUCCAUCCAUGUCCUUCUCCGACUGAACCACUAUUUCAGGUAUUACUUUUAUCUCCUCGGUCUCGGAUAGCUGUAGAUAAUUUCUUUUCUCUUUGCUUUGCUUGGGUAGUAGUUGGUAGUGGUGUUCUGGUUAUAGCUUAGGGAAUGUCGAAAGGUAAAGAGAAGGUCAUUGAGGUUGAUGACGAUGAGUUGGACUUCAUGCCUAGUCUGCUCACCGAUCCUGCUUUUGACCCCGGGAUCCCAUUACAACCCAUCAGACCUAGUGUUGGUACUAGCACUAGGAGGAUGUCCCCCCAAACAACCUCCUCGAGCGGAAAUAGCAGUGAGGAGGGGUCUUCUGGCUCGGAAAACACCUUGAGUGAGGAUCGAGGAGGUGAUUCUGGUGAGGUGUCCCCAUCAGGAACAUCGCGACCAGAAGGGCGGAGUACAGUAGGAGGUAGAGCCCUAUCGCGGGAUUACGCUAUUGAUUACAUGACGUGCACGACCACGUUUGACGAGCUCACUGACCUCCGGCUUAGGUAUAGCAUUCCUGGUGAAAUACCUCUUAAGAUCUCAGGAAAGAAGGAUAUCCCUAGCCGGCCUCCUAGGGGAUACGUUACCCUGUUUCUAGAGAGCUUUAAGUAUGGGUUGAGGUGUCCCUUGCAACCCUACUUUGCCCGGAUACUUAACGGGCUAAAUCUAGCUCCUGGUCAGCUGAACCCCAACGGGUGGAGAGUACUCUCUGGUCUGUUCAUAUUGUGGGACAGAUGUUGCCAAAGCGAGCCCACAGUUUAUGAGGUGAAGCACCUGUACCAGCUAAAGAGCAGCCCCAAAGAUGCCGGCUGAUACUACUUCCAAUCUAGUACCAAGACCAGGAAACCCAUAACCGACCUUCCUACUGGUGGUGGUGGGAAUUGGAAGAAACAGUUCUUUUUUGCUGGGGGUCCUUGGGGUUAAGUUGCACAAAUUGACGGGAAUGAUUAUCGCGUCCCACCCCGUUUCGUGGUCCCAGAUUGCCUGCUCGCUUUAGAUGUCUUGUAUCCAUAAUUGUUCUCGCUAUACUGGUUUGUAUCUAACCAAGUGUCUGUUUGUGUUGCAGGUUCUUGGGGUGUUCACUUCCCGCUCCAACCUGACCAGCUCAAACGGGUCGAGGGUGUACUAGCCAAUUCCUGCUCGAGCCGAGAACUGAUAACUACUUAUAACUUGCUCGAGUCUUGUUUGGUGCCUCCCGGCCAUAAGAUGGAGGAUGCUGUGAUUGGGGCUUUGACUAGGAAAUGUUCUCGACCUCCAACGACCAAGCGGGACCAGAAUAAAGAUGCUCCUACUGCAAAGCGGGUGAACAUCGUGCAACAUGUUGCUCCCUUGCAGACUCUACCUCCUCCUCCUGCCAAAGUCGGAGAGACUAGUGGAGCUGCCACUGAUCAUGCUUCCUCUUCUCCUCCUGUCGGGCCUAGAUCUCGUUUAUCUGACCACCGAGCAGAACACUUGGUCCCUUAUCUCAAUGAGCUAUCUAAACUCGUGAGCAAGAAGGACCUGGAGGACUUUGAUGGCUGCACCGUGGGUGAGCUGGUGGGGGCCAUGCAAUAUAGCGCUUUCCACCUCCUCUGUAUGACCACUUACUAUAAGGCCAAGGUUGGCCGUUACGACCGGAAGAUGAAGGAGGACAUUCAAUCGGCGAUGACCAGAGCCGAUGCUGCCGAGAAGAAAGCGAGAGACUUGAAUCUCGAGAAUCUAAAGCUGAUAGAGCAAGAAUCUCUUGCUCAAGCAAAGGCCAUUACUCUCGAGGAAGAGCUGACUAAGGUUAAGGAGGAUCUGCAAAGGCAGAAGAUUAUGUACGAGGCUCAGCUCGAAUCUCUCCGCGAUUCCCACCGAGUUCAGGUCGAGAACUUGGAGAAGGAAACCGACAACCAGUACGACCAGGGACUUCGGCAUUCCUAUCGUUGUAUCAUGGCCGUCCUCGGGAAGCAGCAUCCUGAUCUGAAGAUGGAUGACCUUGCGGCUGGUGUUGCUAAACACAUGGACGAGGAGGCGGCAAAGGAGGAUGCCGAAGGGGUGGAGCCAAUCGUGGUUGAGGAGGAAAACUCUCCUCCUCGUGCAGUCCCUGCUAACGUUGGUGAGGCGAGUACCCCCCCGGACGCAACUGGUGACACCCCCCCUGCUUCUGAAGUGGACCAGCCAACCGAAGCUGCUCGGCUUACUGAUCCUCCGUCCUCCUGAACUUGUCUUGCGUUGUUAAUUGCUUUUUGAACAUUGUAUGUAACAACAUUGCAGACUUUUAAGGGCUUAAUAAAAUUGUUCUUAUUUGCUUUCUCGCAUUGGAAUUUUAAUUUAUUUAUCCAUUUGGCUUCUGACCUCGUCACAGAGGAGGCCUUGAGAGUUGACGAGCUUUCUCAUGCCUUAGAUAAUUUUCCCAGUGUUGGGGAGUCUGCUAGCCUUCACUUGGCCGAGCAGAUCCCGGUAUGCUUGGCUUCUGGUCUCGCCAUAAACAGGCUUUGAGACUUGAUGAGCCUUAGCAUGCCUUAGUAAAUUCUUCAAUGAUUGGGAUUCUGCUCGCCUUCGCGUGGUCGAGCAGAUCCUGGCACGCUUGGCUUCUGGUCUCGCCAUAAAUAGACUUUGAGACUUGGUGAGCCUUUGCAUGCCUUAGAUAAUUUUUUGAUGUUGGGGAGUCUGCUAGCCUUCACUUGGCCGAGCAGAUCCCGGCAUGCUUGGCUUCUGGUCUCGCCAUAAACAGGCUUUGAGACUUGGUGAGCCUUAGCAUGCCUUAGUAAAUUCUUCAAUGAUUGGGAUUCUGCUCGCCUUCGCGUGGUCGAGCAGAUCCUGGCACGCUUGGCUUCUGGUCUCGCCAUAAACAGGCUUUGACAUAAAAUAAAUAAUAGCAGACACGAACAGAAAUAACUUGAAAACAUGGACAAUUCUUACUGGAAAUAUUUCCUGAGGUGUGCUGCGUUCCAUGGGCGUUUCACCUCGUCGCCAUCCGAGCGAACCAGCUUGUAAGCUCCGGGUCCAACUAGCUGCUUGACCCUAUAUGGCCCCUCCCAAUUUGGUCCAAGUGCUCCCUGAGCCGAGUCUUUCGUGUUCUGAUUCACUCUCCUUAACACCCAAUCUCCGACCUUGAACUGCCGUACAUUUACCUUCUGGUUAUAAUACCGAGCAACCCUCUGCUGGUAAAUGGCUGAUCGCUUGGCUGCUUGCUCCCUCUUUUCCGUUAGCAGAUCUAGAUUCAAACACAUCUGCUCGUCGUUCUCCUGCUCAUUGAAAUGAUCUGUCCGGUGCGUGGUUGUUCCUAUCUCGGCUGGUACGACCGCUUCAUGUCCGAAGGCCAAGGCGAACGGUGUCUCCCCAGUUGCUGUUUUGUGGGUUGUCCUGUAUGCCCAUAGAACACCUGACAGCUCAUCAACCCAUGCACCCUUUUUUGCUCCAAGCCUGGUUUUCAAAAGCCUCUUGAUGGUCUUGUUGGCUGCUUCUACUUGUCCAUUAGAUUGAAGGUGAGCAGGCGAGCAAUACUUCAACUCUAUCCCGAGGUUCUGGCAGAAAUCCCUGAAGCUGUGAUUAUCGAACUGCCUGCCAUUAUUCGUUACCAAGGCAUAAGGGAUCCCGUAUCGGCAAACCAGGUUUCUCCACACAAAGUCUGUUGUUUUCUUCUCUGUGAUCCUGCUAAGGGCUUCUACCUCUAUCCACUUCGUGAAGUAGUCUAUUGCAACUAUUGCAUAUGUUGCUGCUCCUCGUCCCUUUGGCAACGGGCCGAUCAGAUCAAUUGCCCAUUGAGCAAAUGGCCAGGGGGAGGCCAUAGAGGUGAGCUUCUCUGGUGGUUGGUUGGAGAAACUCGUAAAUAUCUGGCAGCUUACACAGCUCCUGGUCUUCUCCUGCGCAUCCUGGUGCAUUGUCGGCCAGAAAUAUCCCUGCCUUAGAACCUUGUGGGCCAGGGACCUCCCACCAGAAUGAUUUCCGCAAAUUCCCUCAUGUACUUCUCUCAGUACGUAGUUCGCGUCGUCCUCAUCCAAACACCGAAGGAAAGGUAGCGUAUAUCCUCGCCGAUAUAGUACCCCAUCAAUCAUCGUGUAUCUCGAGGCCUGGGCUCUAAUCUUCCGAGCUCGCAGCUUAUCUGGUGGUAACACCCCAUCUCUGAGGUAUGAAAUUAUCGGGUCCAUCCACGAGCAUUUUUGUUCUAUCCGCAGUACCGCCAAAUUCUGCUCGUUGCUCGGGCUGGACUUCACCUCCAGAGGGAUCGACUUUGGCAUUUUUGGGUCUGCUACCGCUGCCAUCCUCGCCAAAAUAUCUGUUCGACUAUUCUGCUCCCUGGGGAUUUGUAGCACCUCAACCGCUUCAAAUUUCCCCAUCAUCUGCCUGACUAUCUUCAGGUACUGCUCCAUCUUCUCCUCUCUCGGUUGAAAUCUUUCACUGACAUGAUUUGCAACUAGCUGGGAAUCAGUUCUGAUCUUCACUCUAUCCGCUUUCACUGCCUUAGCCAAUUCCAAACCUGCUAGCAAGGCUUCGUACUCUACUUGGUUAUUUGUGGCUGCGAAUUCUAACUUUACAGCAUAAGAGAUCUCCUCCCCUUCUGGGCCUUCCAAAACAAUUCCUGCUCCUGAUCCCUGCUCCCCGGAUGACCCAUCUACAGACAUCUGCCAUACUCUGGCUUCGUUGCUGUCUGUAGCUACAUCUUGCUGGUCCAAACAUAUUUCGGGCUCUGUGAAUUCUGCUACGAAAUCGGCCAUCGCCUGAGCCUUUAUCGCUGCUCGGGGUUUGUAGUCUAUGUCGAACUCGCUCAGCUCUAUAGCCCACUUGACGAGCCGACCAGAAGCAUCUGGCUUGUGCAGAGUUUGACGCAAUUGCUGGUUUGUUAUUACCGAGACUGGGAAUGCCUGAAAGUAUGGCCUCAGCUUCCGAGCAGCAACCACAAGGGCAAGUGCCCAUUUCUCCAACGGUGGGUAUCUGGUCUCAGCGUCGAGCAGGGCCUUGCUGGUGUAGUAUAUCGGAUACUGAACCCCUUCUUCCUCUCUCACCAGAACAGAACUUACAGCCCGAUCUGAUACCGCCAAAUACAAAAAUAACUUGUCCCCAUCCUUCGGUGUGGACAGCAGAGGUGCUUGCUGCAAGUACUGCUUCAAGUUCUGGAAGGCUUCUUGUUUUCAUUAUUUUUUAAUUAAUAUUUCAUUUAAUGGUAGCAUGUAAUUUUAAGUAUGUAUAAUUUUAACUUGUUUUCAUUAUUUUUCUAAUUAACCAUAAGCCAUACAAAUUUAAGGAUGAUACUAUUACCAUUUGAAAAAAAUUUCAGAAUUAAAUAUUAGUAAUUUUGUAAAAUAAUAAUAUUUGGGAGUGUCAUUCAUGCAUUGCUUAUCACUUAUUACUUUAUUAUAUUAUUUAAUAAAUGAAUUCAUAUCAAUUAGGACUCAAUUGGGACUCAAAUAUUGAAUCUCUACUUUUAUCCUUUGCAAAAUGGUAUCGCUAGACAAUUACCAAUAAUCUAUAAAGUUAAAUUAAAAAUGUAAAAACUUAACACGUAAGAUCAAAUCAAUGUCAUUACAACAUUCGAAGCAACUUCAUGCCAUACUAGUACUUUUAUAAAUAAACACAGAAUUGUUUAGUUCUAUAUUUUUUUAAAAUAAUGAUAUGCAAUUAAAAUCUGUUUAUAUUUCUGUUCACAGGCUCGAUAUUUCUACCCUAUUAGUAUUCAUGAAUAUAUCUAUCUUUUGUCAUUUUAGUAAGAUAGAGCAACAUGUGUGUAAAAGUACUAGUAUGGCAUGAAGUUGCUUAAUUCUUAAGUCAGCAUCUUAAAAGUAUUAGUAAGAUGGUCCCAUUAGAUUCUUUCUUAAUUCUUAAGCCAGCAUCUUAAAAAAUUUAUUAAGACUUAUUAAAUAUUAUUAUUAUUCAUUACUUAACUUCAAAGUCAAAUAUUAUUAUUAUUCAUUACUUAACUUCAAAGUCAAAUAUUAUUAUUAUUCAUUACUUAACUUCAAAGUCUCGAAGACUCGAUAUCUUAGAUGCAAAUCUACAUAGCUAUCACUGGGGACAAAAGAAUCUCGUUAUUGAAAAUUUACAACUCUCUUUUUCGAAGGAAAAAAAAAAAGAUUGAAGUGAAAAAAAAAAAAAAAACCGUUAUCUAGUACUUGUGUAAGUAAUAAUAUAAACAAUUUGUCCUGAGCGGAGCAGGUUCUUGGAAAUCAAUGGAUUUAAAAUUUUAUAUUUUGAUGUUUAUUUACUUUUAUAAUUGAUAAGAAUUUUGUUGAUAUUUAUUUUUAAAUAAUAAAUUUUGUUCCUCUUAGUUAAUGAUAUGAUUUUUUUAUAGUUAAAAAAAUAUGUCUAAAUGAAUUGAUGAGAAUUUGUGAAAUUAAGAAGAGGAAGAGAAGAAAGAGUCAAUUAAGUAAUUUUUAAAAUUAUUUGAAUAAUAAAAUUUUUAAUUAAUAAAAAAAUGUUGGAAGAAAAUUAACGGAUUCAACUUUCAAGUAGCCGCAUCCUAUAUAAAAAAAGGGUAAAAAUAUUUACAACCUAUUCCCCUUUACCUUGAUGUAAAUUUCAUAUUAGCCCUGUAUGGUUAUUUAGUUUUCUAGUUAUUUAGUUCCCCCCCGGCGCAGGUUUUAUACUUUUAUAUAAUUGCCCUCUAAAGUUUAUAUUUCCACUAUCAUGUAACCCUUUCAAACCAAAAUCCUAAUACUACUUCUUGUUGUAAUUUGCACAAAAAAAAAAAAAAAAAAUCCUAAUGGAAUUUCAAUCUCAACUGAAUAAGCAAUUCUUAAAGAAAAAUAAUUGAGUAAACAUAACAUUGCUCAUAAUAUUUAAUCGAUGCGAUGAACAUCCACAAAUAUAGGGAUAAAACUACGUUGCAACAUGGGAACAUCCACAAAUAUAAACAUUAUAUUGAUAACAAAUGAGAAAUGUUUAUUUUUGUAAACAAAUUUUGGCUGGAGAUAUUUAUACCCAUAAUGAGGAUUUAAUUGGUUAAUCAUUCAUUUUUUUCUUUAUUUUAAAAUAUAAAAAAUAAUUCAAUUUUUUUUAAUUAAUUUUGAAACGGGGUGAGUUUGCACAAUUUGAGGGGUGGAAAUAUCACCACCCAAUGAUUAUAUAGCAAUUUAUAUAUAUAUUUUAAAAAUUUAAUCAUAUUUUAUGUUAAGAAUAAAAAUUAAAAUAAAAAAAUGGAUGCCAAACCUAGUUUAUAAUGUAUUGCACUUUUAUUAAAAAUACAUUAAAAUUUUUUUCUUUUGUAGUUAUCCAUAUGAGGUUUAUAAAGUGUAUUACUUUUUUACUUUUUAGUUAAAACUGUUAGAGGACUUAACAAAAUAUUUAAAAAAUGAUUAUUUGCCAUGAACGUAAGAAAAGAGGUAUUUAGUCUUGGCUAAAUGAUAAAAAAUACAUAUUUUAUUUUUGUAGCUUUUUAGGACCAAUAAUGCUACAAAAUUAAUAAUAUAAACUCAACGAACUUGUUAAUUUAAAUAAAUAAAAUUACUAAAAUAAGCACAUAAGUUACUUUUUGGCUCAUUUAUGUUAUAAAUCAGGAAUUCCUGCUCACAUAACCCAUCCUCAAUAAUUUUGACAACAAUAACAAAUCUUCAAUAAUAAUAAAUCACCCCUAGAAACAAUCAUAAUUAUCCAAAAUAUAUUCAAAAUAACUAUAAAAUCAAUUAUGGAAAACCUUUGAAUAUUAUAAUUAGUUCCCAUCAAUUAAAAAUAAAAACACAAAAUAAGUUAUGGUAGAACUUAAAGAUUAUAGUUUGUUCUCUUCAAUUAAAAAUAACAAAACAUUCUAAAAGUAUCCAAAAUAACAAUCAAUCAACAGUCUUUUUAUGUUUAAGGGUAAAAUAAUUUUUUUUGAUAUUCUGAUAAGUCUUCUAACGUUGUUACUGAAAAAGUAGAAAGUAAUAUGCUUUGUAAAGUUCAGGUUGAAAACAGUAAAAAAAAAUAUUUGAUAUACUUUUUAUAAAAAAAUAUUUGCCGUAAGAAAUUUGAGUACUACAAGCAGAAGCUAAAGCUACCGAGCGCCAAUUGGCAGCAUCUUCACUCACAGCCAACUCGCUUGCUUUGGCCAUGGCCGCCAGUUCGCCGACGCUAACCUCCGAACAUUCGAAGAAGACAAAACCCAACAGGAGAAAAAGAACCCGAAAGAUCCGAGAAGCCGAAAAGCUCGACUCUCUCAAAUGGAGCCCCUCUUUUUCAGCCGAAGACAACGACCCCUUUGCCUUCCUCAUUGGCUCCAACGAACUGGACGGAGGUCAAUUAACACUUUCACCUUUGUUUUUUUUGUCAUUCUUCUUUAGUUUAGUUGUUGCUGCCCACGUGUUUAAAUUUUAGAUUUUUUUUUAUGGCGUAUAUGUUUCAAAGUUUAGAGGAAUAAUUAAUGUGAUCGGAUUAAUGAAAUGAGGUUAUUUUUAGUUAAUUUGAGUACAAAUCUUGUAUUUAAAGUUUUGUUUUUUCUCUGAGCAUUUUGUCGGCAAUCAAGUGUAGGAUUGGGGGUUUAUGGGGUUUAUAGGGUUUAAGCUUUGCUCAUAGAUUAUGGUUUUUGUGUAUUAUGGUGAAUGCAGGUUUUCUUUCACUUGAAGAGAUUGAUGAAGCCAGUUACAAUUUGCAAAUUCCAAAACCUGAGAAGGGAAAGCCUGGGAAGAAACCGAAUUUGAAGAAAAGGAAACGUAGUAGUGCCAAUGGGGAGGAUUCUGGUGAUGGGGAUGGGGAUGAAGAUGGAAGUGGAGUGCAAAAGGAGGAAGAGAAGAAUUUGAAGAAUGAGAAAGGAAAGAAAAAGAAGAAGAAAAAGAAGGGAAAGAAAAUUAAGACAGUUGAGGAAUCUGUGGCUGGUUAGUGGUUUGUGUAUCUUAGAUUGAUUUGUUAUUGUUUUGAGCUACUAAGCUUUUAUUCUGGCUUGGUGUUAAGAGCAUUAUGAUAGAUUUUUAUUAUUGAGCUUGUUGCAGAUUUUCGGUCUAUUUUUUGGUGUGUAGUGAAUCUUCAACUUAGUUAUUUAUUGAUUCCUUUAUUUAUUAUUGUAAAAAAAUUUUACACUAUGUGAAUUUCUCAAUUGAUUGGAGAGAGAGCCCAAAAUAUUUAAAAGGUUCAAGUUUGCCAGUUGUGUAGGGUCAACCUCUCUUCCUUUGUUCCUUUAUAGUUGAAUGAAUUGUUUGUCCUCCACUUCUUUUGCUUCAUCAUUUCAGUUAUUGCAGUAAGUGAGUUCCGCAUGUUAUUUGAACUUGUAAAUGUGCAUCUGAAAAUUUAUGUGAGACUAAAAGAUGUUUCAUACAACUUGUGGGACUGUGAUUGUAGUUAGCAAUGGUCCGGAUGAUGCUGAAGAAGAGUUAGUCAAUGAAGUUGAAAUUUCAACUGAAUUUGAUGAAUGGAAUGAAUUAAGGCUUAAUCCUCUGCUUAUGAAAUCAAUUUACAGGCUUGGGUUCAAGGAACCAACCCCAAUUCAGAAAGCAGAUAUUCCUGCUGCAGCUCAUCAAGGGAAGGUUGUUAGAAGUUCCUUUAUAAGUAACUAUGUUUGAUUGAUCGAUGGCACUUGGUUUGAUACUCAUACUAUUUUGUUACAUUACAGGAUGUGAUUGGUGCGCUGAGACAGGAUAUGGUAAAACGCUUGCUUUUGGUUUGCCCAUUAUGCAACGUCUAUUAAAAGAAUGAGAAAAAGCUGCAAAGAUACUGGAAGAGAAAGGGACGAAGCAGAAAAAUAUGCUCCAAAAGGGCAUUUGAGAUCUCUUAUCAUUUCCCCUACAAGGGAAAUUGCGCUUCAGGUACUGAUAGUUGCAUCGUCAAGUCCUGCCUCUUAAUUUUAUGAUUGCUUGAGUUUGCAUGUAAAAGCUUUUCUAUACAUAUAUAUAACUAUAUUUGGUGAAUGUAUGGAAACCAUUGGCAGUAUGCAAAUUUUGCUGAUGUUUGUUUGGAACAUUGACAGCUUUCAGCAGUGUCUGCUGCAUUCUUUGCACAUAGUUUACCAAUUGCCAGUAAUCGUGUGCCGGGCAUUGUAGAUUGCUAUUGGCGAUCACUAAGCACAAUGUUUAGAGGCCAUCAUGGUUGUCAAUGAUUAUCAACUUAUCUUUGUUGGCUGUUGGCAAGUGUUUAGGUCUGCUGGUAGUGGUGAAAGAGUAGGAGUAUUUAUUUUAAAACAACUUGAGAGUUAAAACUUAAAAGGGACAAAUAAUAUGGAAUUUUAGGCUUGAGUUUCUUCAUUUACCAGGUAACAUUUUUAUCCAAUUUGAACAAAAUUUGCAGGUAUCUAUGAAUUUGAAAUCUUGAUCUAAGUGACACCUCUUUUAGAUUUGUUAAUUUAUUUCUCCAUAUGUUGGUGUUUUAUCUUCUAGGUCACCGACCACUUAAAGGAAGUUGCUAAGGGUAUCAAUGUUAGGGUGGUUCCUAUUGUCGGUGGAAUGUAAACAGAGAAACAGGAAAGACUUUUAAAAGCAAGGCCUGAGGUGGUUGUUGGAACUUCUGAGAGGUUAUGGGAACUUAUGUCAGGAGGAGAAAAACAUCUUGUUGAGGUUAGUGUUGAUAAAUAUUGGGGAUAAACUCCAUCCUGUCACUCCUCUUUCCUCGACCAAUUUGUUGUGUUUACUUAUUCAGUUACAUACACUAUCAUUCUUUGUGCUGGAUGAGGCUGAUCACGGUUGGAGGCAUAUUCUUUAGAAAUAAAAUAAGCUGUAGCUCACGGUUGUCUGCCUUUGUCAUUUUCCUUCAUAUCAAACUCUUCAUUUUAAUGAAUGGAUGACAGUUAACAAGGUCUGUAAGCUUCAUCGUUAAAAGUAAAUAGACAGUCAUUUUAGAUUUCUUCAUCAUCUCUUUCAUUUUUUUAGAUUUCUUCAUCAUCUCUUUCAUUUUUAUAUGCGAUUGUGUAAUGCCUCCUCAACUUUAAUGGCCCUUACUCUAUGAUUGGCUGCAGAUGCAAGGAAGAAGAUAAAGAUGCCUACUUUUAUUAUAUUUUGAGUGUUCAUGGACAAGGCCGUUUUCUGUACGUCCAUUGCAGCUUUGCGCCAUAUUGCUUCCCUACUGAAAAUUCUCGGCCCAGAUGUUUGGACACUUCAUGCUCAGAUGCAACAGCGAGCUCGUUUGAAGGCAUUUUGAUGUGCAAAUGUCUUGUUUUUUACACUAUUGGCUUGACAUUUCUGAGGCUUCUUUGAGACACGAGCCUGUUACAUAAUGACAAAAGUUAGUUUUUAGUAAGGCUGCUUUUGGUAUUGUUUUUAAAACAAUGUUCUUGUUAUUUUGUUUUAGAAUAUCGAUACGAUUAAUUUUAAUGUAAAUGAAAACAUAUUUGGUGGUUUGUCUUGAAACUAAUUUCUGAAAAUGAAAAUAGCAAAACACAUUCGGUAAUUUGUUCAGAGAAAGGAAAACAGUGAAUAAGCUUUUGGUAAAAUUUUCAUGAAAAUUGAUUUUUAGUAGCUAUAUUGCAUGUGCUAUUUUUAAAAAUUGUCUUUUAUUAUUUUCGAUGUUUUUAAAUAAACAAGUAAAAUAUUAUAAAAAUAGCAUAAUGUAAUAAUAAAUAUAAAUAUAAGUACGACUUUUAUUUAAUAGUUGUUUAGCCAAAUGAUAACAAGGAUAAGAUAAGGAAAAGACCGAAAGGGGAUAGAGAAAAAGAUUAAAUUCUCUGUACAGAAAUACAGAAUAGCCUUAUUUGUGAGUUGAAAGAUCAAACCAAGGAGAGUUCAUUUUCCAUGACAACCACCCACAUUAGCGGCCUUGGGCCAUCCAGUAUGCUCGUAAAAUGACUCCCAAAGAUUAGGGUUCCCUUUUCGAAGGAGUAGUUCCCAGAUACCGCACCACUAUGAGACUAUGAGUAGUUCUUCCAACCUUUAUAUUAUUAGAAAGUUUUAUUUGAGUAAGAUAAAUUAUUAUAUUUUAUUAAAUAUCUAUCAUUAUUUUCAAAAAAGUUUUUUAUUUUAUAAAAUUAUUAUAUCUAUAAUAAUUAUGUCUAUAAUCAUUUUUUCAUUGUUUUUCUAAUUAACCACAACCCAUAUAAAUUUAAGGAAGAUUAUGUUAUUAUUAUUUUUAAAAUAAAUAAAUACUAAUAAUUUUAUAAAACAAUAAUAUUUGAGUACUAACUUAAAUCUUAAUAUUAUACAUCACUUAUGUAUUGCUUAUUAUUUUAUCCUAUUAUAUCAUAUUAAUUGAAAUUCAAUUGGAGCUCACUGUUGAAUCUCUACUAUUACGCUAUUCAAAAUGACAUCAAGCCGUCAACAAUCAAUCUGACCAAUAAUCGAUAAAAUUAAAUUAAAAAAUUUAAAAGCUCUACUAUUACAAAGGAUCAAGUCAAUGUCAUUACAACAUUCUAAGCAACUCAAAUAUUUUUAUAAUUAAAUACAGAAUUAUUAAGUCCAACUUUUUUUUUAAUAAUGAUAUGCAACUUUAUAUGUAUGUAUGUAUGUAUGAGUGUGUGUUUACAUAUGUAAUCAUUCUCAAGUGUGAGUACCCUCAUUUUUUUAAAAAAAUACGGAUACAUUGUUGAACUCUACAGUUUAAUAGUGUAUUUGAACUAACUCUAUUAAACUGCAUAGUUUAAUAACGUAUCCGCAUAUAAAAAAAUGAAGGAACACGCAUGAGAGAAGAACUAUUAUUAUAAAGAGAGAGAGAGAGAGAGUAGAAUAAGACACCCCACUCUUAUUAUCCCAUGUUAAAUGUUUUUACUUGAGCCCUUAAAUCUUGAUAUUAGUGUUAUUAAACCUUUUUUUUCAAUAUUAUUAUUAGCCCCUUAUAAUCUUAAACUUUUGAGGCUAACAGUUUCUAAAUCCCCAAUUUUAUCAUAUAAUUGUAUUUAUGUAGUUUCUUAUUGUUUAUUCCUUACACAUUUGAUAUGGGAACAUUUGAUAUGGAGUGAAAAUAUUUGUGUAUAGAAUUAGGAUUAAUGUCAAGGUGUUACUAUGAUUUCCUAAACAUAUAAACCAGUGGCGAAGCUAUGGGUUGGCUAACCCGGGCUGCAUUUAAAAAAAUAAUAAUUUAUGAAUUUUUGUUUAUUAAUAUUUAUAAAUAAAAAUAACAAUAAAUUUAAUAGCCCACCCCAAAAUAUGGUGUUAGCUUCGCCACGGAUAUAAACUCUUUUAAUUAUUUUUUUGAUUUUCUGAUCCAGUUUAAAGCUCUAAUUUUUCAGCGAAUUUCUUUCUUAAUUCUUAAUCAACAUAAAAAAAAAAGAAGCUUGUUAAAACUUAACUUAAACGUUAUUAUUAAUCCUUACCUAACUUAAAGUUUUAAACUAUAUGAUUUCUUGAAGACACGGGGUCUUAGACCCCAAACUACAUGGAAUAAUGGAAUAAUGCAGAGAGAAAUAUAUAUAAACAAUUUGUCUUGAUUGCAGCAUGUUCUUGGAAGUCAAUGGAUUUAAAAUUUUUCUUGGCAUAGUAAUCAUGUGGACUCCAACGUGCCCUUGGAUUUUUUUUUUUUUUUGCUUUUUAUUACGAUGCUUCUUUUUUCAAUUUGGAAAAAUAUUAUGUGUGAAUAGAAGUUAUGCAAUGAAGAAAUUUGUUAUUGCAAGAGUAAUUUUAGCAUUUAGAUAUAUUUUAAACUGGGGUGUUAUAUAUUAUACUGUUGAUGCAGAGAAAUCCGGAUGAGUUGGUCAAAUCUCAGAUCCCUGCAUCAGCAUUAAAUUUGUUUGGUGGGAAGCUGCUGAUUAGUUAGCACCAUGAGUAGAUUUUCUAUGAGCAGAUGUUCUAUGAGCAGACAACUCAUGAGCAGAUAAUCCAUAAGCAGACGAUCCAUGAGCAGACAAUCCAUGAGCAAAGAACUCAUGAGCAGACAAUCCAUGAGCAGACGAUCCAUGAGCAGAGAACCCAUGAGCAGACAAUCCAUGAGCAGAGACCCCAUGAGCAGACAAUCCAUGAGCAGAUGAUCCAUGAGCAGAUAACAUGUGAGCUUGUGAGCACAACCAACAGUCAGGAGGUGCCAGAAGUUUUUCCGGCGAGAACCCUCCGACGCUCAAGUCAGCGAUUUGGGUCUUACUUGAAAAAACCCAUACCACAAUUCAUGUGGCUUAAUUAUGAUUGCUUUAAACAAAAAAGAUUUUAAGUAAAUUUAAAAGAAAAUAAUUGAGAAUAGUUAAUCUUAAAGAAAUCAUAAGCGAAAGAGAAAUUUCCCAGUUGUAGAGAGAGAAAAAGGUCCAAUGGGUUCAGUUGCCCAGAGAGAGAGAGAGAGAGAGAAGAAGAAGAAGGAGCCUCCUCCUUUCCUUCCCCUUCCUAGGGUUUUUAUAGGAAACUAUAGCGGUUUUUAUCCUCUCUCCUAUAAUUCUCAAGAAAACUACUAAUUUUCAGCCCACUAAGAAUAUGGUCCCUAAUAUUUCGAAGAAAAUGGUUUGACUGAAUCGUGCUUCCUGGUAACUUCCUGGUCGAGGUGACCAAUAACAUCCUGGUCGAGUUGAUGUGCUCGAGGUCACCACAUAUUAUUCUGGUUGAGGUGACCAAUAAUAUCCUGGUCGAGGUGAUGUGCUCGAGGUCACCACAUAUUAUUCUGGUCGAGGUGACCAAUAACAUCCUAGUCGAGGUGACCAAUAACAUCCUGGUCGAGGUGAUGUGCUCGAGGUCACCAUAUAUUAUUCUAGUCGAGGUGACCAAUAACAUCCUGAUCGAGAUGAUCUGCUCAACCAUUUGUUUACUUUUACUUUGGAGGAGAGCACGAUAAUGUAUGAGCAAACUCAUUUAUCUUGGUCACCCUAUUUCAUUCCCUAAACAUAUACAAAAGAGUACGGUUAUUUAAAACCAUCAAAUUUUUUUCUACACCCAUUUUAAAAAAUGAAUUUAUUAUCUUGAUAUUCAUUAGCUUUUGUGUUUGGUAAAAAUUAAUUUCUUAUUGUUCAUUAAUUUUUGUGGCCGAUAAAAAUUUGUUGAUGUUCAUUUUAAAACCAUUGGUUUUGUUUUUCGUAGUUAGUGAUAUCAAUUAUUUACAGUUAAAAGAAUAUAUUUCAAUGAAUUGAUAAAAAUUUAUGAAAUUAAGAAAAAAAGAAAAAAUGGUUAAUUAAGCAAUUUUUUCUAAAAUUAUUUAAAUAAUAAUAUCCUUAAUUAAAAAUCUAAGUAUAGAAAUUGAGGAGACCUUUUCCAAAUCCACCCCCCCCUCCCCAAAAAAAAAAAUUACUCUCUAUAACGCUGAUGUUACAAACAAUUAAUUCAACCUAACCUAUGCUAGAAAAAUCAGUUCAACUAUAUGAAGGAGUUUCUUUAUAGCAUGAGCAUCAGGAUGCUCUUCUCAUUACCCGAAAUCGGCGCAAAUCAGCACAUGAAUCUGCAAUAGCAUUAGUUUCAUACAUUUAUUAAGGCUUGAAAAAUCUGAAGUACAUUGAAGAAAUCUUGGUGCAAAAGUUCAACAACCUACUCAAAGGAUGGCAAUUAGCAGGGAGUCUCAUUGAUGCCGACGAUUCAAUCACCCCAAUAAUUUCUGUAUAACAAACUGUAUUGUGGACCAAAGUCUGCCAAAAGCCACCCAAAAGAAUUUAUCAGUAUGAUCUGGGGAAGGCACCCUACUUGCUUCGAGUGUGCAAGACACACGGUUUCCUUUCAAAUUAGCAUUAAUCCAAUCCACAAAGGAGGCCGCCACAAACCGUGCCUUAACACACUGACGUAAAUCCAUCAAACUAGAUAUUUCAAGCUUAUAGGAUUGUCCAGUGAUAAAACUAACCAAGCAAUCAAAGCAACACCGAGUUUCAAAAGGUAAGGUUGCUGUUGGAAAGAGGCACACAACCAGCACACUUCAUAUCAUCGUGUAUUCCAACUUUUGGAAUCUCUGUUUCAUUUAACGAUCCUAAGAGUCAUCCAAAACAUAGAGAAAAACAGAUUAAAUGGAUAUUGUAUCCAAGAAAGAGGAAAAAUGAUGCUGGGAAAAUAUAACACAAGUCAAGUUUAGAUUAGGAAACAAGGUUAAUCACUCACCACAAGCUUGAGGAAAUCAGCAAGUAACCACUGUUUUGACAGAUAAUUCUUGCUCAACAAGGAUAUGCAGAUGAUUCAGACGCUCUCUGCAUGGUUGAUUGGUGAUUAAAGAUUAAUUAUCAGCUCCAGAUAUAUAGAUGGCAUCGGCUGUCGGUUCAGGUGUCCGUAUCUUCCAUCUCUAUAAGAAUGAACAGAAAGUGUUUUUUUUUUUUUUUCGUUUUUUUCUGGUCUUAUUAAACUGCCAGCACCUCUGAUUAGAAAGCGAACAGCAGUCCCUUAUGACUUCUCUUGCAUGAGACUCAUAAUUCUUGGACCUCAGAGUCAUCUGUAAAACUUUUACUGCGGAAUUAAAUUACAAUAAGAUGCUUGGGAAACCAAACAUGUCCAGCAUGGGAAGGCAAAUUAUAUUUCUAUCUUUAACGAAAAAUACUUUAUUUUUUUUAGCAUAUUAAAGAUAAAGAAGUAUAAACAAAAUUUGUGAGAACAUAAUAAGCCUUGCACCUUGACAACUGACGGAACCAGAGCCAAAAUGAAAAAAGAAAAAAAAAUAAAAACUAACAAAAGCUCAUAAACCACAUAUCAAAAUUACCGAUUAAAGGAAAUUCACUGUGAAUCAAGUUAAAGCAAAGCAAUAAUCUUUAUGGGCAGCGAAUCUGGAUAUUGAUUGCAAAUCUGAAUAUCGAUUAUUUCAAUCGAGGCUAGCCAAAACAUCAACAGUCCUAUUACCCUCUUGGAAAGUAUAAGAAAUCAGUCACUGAAUUCCUUUCUUAGCGGUGCUGACACCUGCAUGAGCACCCGGAAAAAGACCCAGCCGUCGAAGACUCGUAGCAGAUCAAAAUGUGCAUGGCCAUCGUAUUAAAUUGCAAUGAGUGGUAAAGAUCCAGGACAUAACGACAUAACAAGAACCUGAUAACAUAGUCCUGAAUACAAACUGAAUUAUUUUUCAAAUUUCUUGAAAGUAACAUGUGAUUAAUCUUCUUAGACACUAUCUUGUACCUUUUUAAGUUAGCGGUACAUACAAAGAUUGGGACACAACCGAAAUGCUUACUGCUUAGCAGUUUACAUUAAAUAAUAAAAUUAUCUUCCCCAGGAAAAAAAAAACAUGUGAUUAAUCUUCUAACUCCAAGGGUAACACGUAAUUUACAGCAUACUUAUUUAUCUUCAUUCUGGAGUUUGGACUUACAGAGCCGUAAAUGACAUUGCAACAAGAUCCUGUGAGCUUUCCAGCUUUCAGCUGCAACUUCAGUCCCUUCACCAGAUUGUCCACGGUCAUCCCCCAAGUAUUAUCACCUUUCAUUAACUUCAGAAUAUAUGGAAGGGCAAGAACUUCAUUUGUACACUCAGAGACUAAGAAAAUUCAGCCUGAUCCAGAUAAUAAGACAAGAUGAGCUGACUUGUAGUCCAAGCCAGUUUGUGCAGAUUACUGCUGCAUUCAACCCAAAAUUUGUCUCAUUGAAUGGCCGAUUGGCGGUUAAAUUUAAUUAGCAGCUGCAGACAUGUAGAUGGCAUCAGAUACUUUUUAAUAGCUUUUAAUAAGCAAAAAGAAGAGUGAACGAAAAUUAGUAGUGUAACGAAUGAACAAAAAAAUACUGGAAGGAAUGAGGCUUAUAAUAAUAUUACAGCUCACACAAAGUGCUAGAAAACUUAUUUUAUUUACUUCAAAUUUUUUUAAAAAAUUUUAAAGAGAGUCGUAAAUUUCCAAAGAAACGAUUACAGAGACACAACGGGCCGUUCCUUUGAUAAUUAACUUUAAAUGGAAUAAUGCAGAGAGAAAUAUAUAUAAACAAUUUGUUUUGAUUGCAGCAGGUUCUUGGAAAUCAAUGGAUUUAAAAUAUUUCCAACACAGCCAAAAACGACGGCCCUUGGAGUUUUUCUUUUUUCUUUUUGUGGUUUGCUUUUUAUUACUUUUUGUAUUUAAAAAAAAUAAAAAAAAAGGAAAAUUGGGAAAGGGUGGCGAUAUUUCCCCACGGGCCCACACUUUUUGUAAACUCAUUCAUUCAUUCCACAAAAUAAUUAUAAUAAAUUUAUAUUAUAUUGACAAAUCUACAGUUACCAACUGUUUAUAACGUUUGCUAUGCUUUUUUUUUUUUUAAUUUGAAAAAGAGUCAUGAUACAACCACAAACUUGUAUAAAUUUAUUAUGUACAAACUGAUUUGUCAUUAAUUCAUUGGUUGAAUGAAAAUAUAAAAUAAUAAAAAUAAAUUAUAUGAGCCAAGAGAUAUUUAAUUCAACCAAUUUUAUCAUACAACAUUAGUUUAUGCAAAAUUAAUUUGUACAAUAGUUUGUGGCUCUAUUAAAAGGUAUACGUGGAAGAAAUUUGUUAUUAUUAAAAGGGUAAUUUUAGUAUUUAGAUAUAUUUUAAACUGGGGUGUUAUAUAUUAUCCAAAAGGGUAGGCUACUUAUACCUCGCAAAUUCAUCUCUAUAUUCAUUUUUAAGAAAAAAUGCAUUGUCUUAAUAUUCAUUAACUUUUGUGAUUGGUAAAAAUUAAUUUUUUGAUGUUUAUUAACUUUUAUGAUUGAUAAAAAUUUAUUGAUGUUCAUUUUCAAAACGUGAAUUUUGUUCCUCUUAGUUAAUGAUACCCAUUGUUUAUAGUUAAAAGAAUAUAUCUAAAUAAAUUAAUGAGAAUUUGUAAAUUAAGAAGAGGAAGAGAAGAAAGAGUUAAUUAAGUAAUUUUUUUAAAAUUAUUUAGAUAAUAAAAUUCUUAAUAAAAAAGAAGAUAUAGAGAGAAAAUUAACGGGUUCAAAUAACCACAUCCUUUAUAUAUAAAAAAAAAGGGUAAAAAUAUUUACUACCCAUUUCCUUUGACCUUGAUAUAAAUUUCAUAUUAUCCCCAUAUGGUUAUUUACUUUUCUUAUUUACAGCCCCACUAUGUUUAUAAAAAAUUUCAUUAUUGCUCCUUACAGGUUUUAAAGUUCAUAUUUCCUCCAUAAUGCAACCGUUUCAGACCAAAAUUGCUUCUUGUUGUAACUUGCAUGUAAUCUAUAUUGUUACCAAUAAUGCUAAUUCAAAAAAAGAAUCCUAAUAGAAUGUCUAUUAUGCUUGAAAUUAGGCAACGACGGCAAGCUGCAUUAAUAAGUUAUGCACUAUUUUAAUAGUAAUUCUGGGAUGCCAGCAUGCAGAUUUUCGGUUGAAUGCAGCAGUACAAAACAAGCUUAGAUCAGAAAGUUUCGUCUGGUCUUAUUAUCAAGAGGACAAUCAAGCUGGAUAUUCCAAUCUCAAUGUAUGAAUAAACUUCUUGCCCUUCCACAUAUGCUGAGAUUAGUGGAACGGUGAUGCUUUUGAGGAUGGCAGUCGAUAAUCUUUUGAAGGGAUUUUUGUUGGAACUGAAAGAAAGUUCAGGACAUGUCACAGGAGCUUGUUGCAAUGUCUUCUUACUUCUCUGUACGUCCUAUCUCGGUAAUGAAGAUAAGUAGUGAAUUGCAUGUUACAUGUUGUCCUAGGAAUUAAAAGAUUAUUAACAUUUGACUUGCAAGAUUUUGGAAAAAUAACUUUCCGUUCAUUUGUUCAGGACCAAGUUAUCAGAUUUUUGGUUAUGCAUUGGAUCUAUGUAACUCAUUGCAAUGUUAUACGACAGCUGCGCCCUGCACACAUCCUGGUCUGCCAUGUCACGGUUGAGUCUUCUGUUUGGGAGAAAUACGUCGACGAGACCAGGCAUGGUGAGCAGAUAUCUGAUGGCAGAGUUCUGCGAACCGGUGUGUUCCGUAAAAGCCUGGUGCGCGGGGGAACAGGAGCAGAAAUAUCCUGCUCGUCCACGAGCACGUCAUCCGCGAGGCCAAUUUCCUGUAAGAGGCAUAAGGCCAUUCCGGCUAGAGGUCGAGAGGCGAGGAGACCCGGUCGACGGCAGUUGGCAAGACACGCUCUCCAGCCCGAGAAUCUAGGCACGACAGCCACGCUUUCCCCAGAACCACGGCGGAACACGCAAGAUCCCACGUUUGCCCAUAACGCAGCAUAACGCAGUAGUCGGAGCCCCAUACCGUCCCCCAAAAAGCGGAAACAAGAUCUCACAGAACCACGACAGCCACGCUUUCCGCAGAACCGUGGCGUAACACGCAAGAUCCCACGUUUGCCCAUAACGCAGCAGUCAGAGUCCCAUACCGUCUCGAAAAAAGCGGAAAACUGGGAUUCAGAGGAAGCCUAUAAAAAGGUAGCCAACGAAGGUAAGGGGUGGGUAUUUUGGAGAUUAGAAAAGAAAUUCAAAAGAAGAGAAAACCACGAAAAAGCCAUAAGAUCUGUGGCAAGCGUUCCCCGAACCUUCAUAUCUGACUUGAGCGUCGGAGGGUUUGCGCCGGGAAAAUAACCGGCGCACUCUGACUUGUCUUUGUGCGCAGGAACCUCUGGAGAAGAAGCCUUGCGAGGAGACCUCCUGGUCGUGAUGAAGCUGAUCGAGCAGAGAUCCUGGUCGUAGAACGAGGAGAACCGGAAUCCUGCAUCAACAUUUUGGCGCCGUCUGUGGGGAUGAGAGCAAAAAGCUUCUGUUGAUAGCAAGAAGAGGGGUGAAGCAAGUGAAAAGCAAUGGAGACAGGAGGAAGUAGUGCACAAGGGGGUGAUAGGAGGCUUAACGAUUCCGUGACGCUGAGGGAGAUAGUCAGUGAAGCACGGGAAAAAGUCAUGUUCGACCGGAUGGAACGGAUGGAAAAGCAGAUGGAGACCUUGACAACCAUCCUGCAUGAGCUGCGGAGCGAGCGAAGUAUAACCCAAGAGGGAAGGGUGAGAGGCGGUGGAGUGGCACCAGGUCCCGAUAGUGCGGGGAGAAGUCAAACCACCGGGAGAUUUGGUGGUGAGAGAGGUAACGUACCUCUGCGGGGAGAAUUUCAUAGAGAAAGAGAGCAGUCCCCGGCAAGACAGACUGGUGACGAGGACGACGGGGUGGUGAAUGCAGAGGAAACAGAGUUGAGGCAACACUUGCAUGAUGUAGAGCAAGAGCGGGAUCAAGUUGCAGCACGUGACCCUGGUCGUGCAGUGCAGCUGGAGGAGGAAGUGCGCAGACUAGCGCAGAUAAUUGACGACAUGCAAGGAAGGAACAGAGCCCCUGGUUGGAGGAUAAUGCUGGACGGAGAAUCACCGCUCGCAGCAGAGAUCAUGAGGGCAGUUAUUCCGAGAGAUUUCCGCCUCCCAGACCUCAGAUACUCGGGAAGAACUGAUCCGUUGGUGCACAUAGAGCGCUUCAACGACAUAACUGGGGUACAAGGAUUAUCUCAAUCCCAAAGGUGCAGGGUGUUCCCACUAUCCCUUGAGGGACGUGCACGAGAAUGGUACAGGAAACUUCCUCGGGGCAGCAUUAAAACCUUCGAGCAGAUGUGCCAGGAAUUCGCGGAGCAGUUUAGUGGGGCAAUGGCGCCGGAAGAUGACAUGAUGGAGCUGAAAAGCAUGAAACAGGGGGAGCAAGAAACCCUUCGGGAAUUCAUCAAGAGGUUUCAUCGGGCUGUCCUCGACUUGGGAGCCUUCAACCACCCUCAGGCGUUAAGGGGAUUGAAAGAAGGGGUGAAGAUAGGAAGGCUGUGGUACAAUUUGAGAAGCCCAGCUAUUCAAACGUAUGCAGCCGCAUACGAACAGGCUAAGAGAGACAUCGAGAUUGAAGAGGAGAAGGCUGCACGGAUUAAGACAGACCAGUUAGAAGGGUUGGGGAGGAAAGAGAAGAAAGCAUUACCGGGGAAUGGGCCGAUCAGGAGGAGGGACCACCAGGCCUCCGGUAGUGGAGCAGGAGGUCGGGUAGCCGCUUACCAGCCUCAUCAAAGGCCACCACAGUAUCAGCGCAGCAGGGCGCAACCUCCUCGUUCCCCAGCCAGGGAGCCUUGGAGAAGGCAUGAGUCGGCAUCCGGUGAUCUUCAUCAACACCCCCACGGUAGCAGAGCGAGCAGACCAGAAGUACUUCCACCGCCCCCAACUCAGAGCGGGGCAAACAGAGAAAGAGCAGUGCACCUGAUCGACCAGAACCCGGACUAUGGGCGGUACACUUCCUUGAAGAUGUCCCUGGAUGAGGUGUACGAGGCCAUAAAGGAUCGAGGGCUGCUGCACCUCCCUACACCAAUAACAAAGCUACCCAACAGGAGGGAUAGAGGACGUUAUUGUAAGUUCCAUGGCACCCAUGGCCAUACCACAGCAGAGUGUAGAGAUCUCAAGACCCAGGUCGAAGAUUUGGUGAGAAAUCGGUACCUGGACGAGUUUAUGGAUGGGACUUUCCCGAUGGUGGCCACAACAGGUGAAGGGGAGCAGAGUGGCGGAAACGUGAGGCGCGAGCAGCCCGCAGUAAGGGUGAUAGCUGGGGGCCCGACAUUGGCCGGAGAUUCCAACAGAUCGAGAAAAAAUUAUGCUAGGUACGCCAUGACCAGUAAAGAGGUACUCCUCAACACCCCAGCAGCCAAACGAGCAAGGGUCAGGCAAGUGCCAAUCAUGUGGACGGAUGAGGAUGAGGAAUGGAUUCUAUACCCCCACGAGGAUGCUUUAGUCAUCAAGGCUACUGUCGCUAGCAAGAAGUUUGACCGGAUACUGAUUGAUACAGGGAGCUCAGUUGAUGUGUUAUUUAAGUCAACCCUGGAAGAGAUGGGAAUAGCCGACCGGAAGUUGGAAUACACCAAUACCUCCUUGAAGGGGUUCGGAGGAGGGAAGUUGGUCCCUCUGGGCGUGGUCGAGCUGCCUAUCACAAUUGGGAGCUCCCCGACAGAAAGAACAAUGAUACUGGACUUUGUCGUAGUGGAUGAGGAAGGUCCUUACCAGAUGAUCCUAGGUCGGCCAUUUUUAAGGAUGAGCAAAGCGGUGUUGUCCAACCAUUAUCUGGCUCUGAAGUACCGGGUGAAUGGGGUAGUAGGAGUGGUACGAGGAGACCAGAGGAUCGCAAGAAGCUGCUACUCCUCGGCAGCAAGGGAAGCAAUGCAGAUAACAUCCCUCGAUACCCGAGUGGAAAACAAGAAGGGCAGACAAGAACCUGUAGAGGAUCUGGAAACAGUAAGUCUGGGACCAGAGAACCCGGGAAAGACGAUCAGAAUCGGGUCGAGACUUAAGGGAGAGCAAAAGCAGGAGUUGGUGAAAUGCUUACAGGCUCAUGCUGAUGUGUUUGCUUGGACACAUGAAGACAUGCCAGGGAUUGACCCUGAGGUAGCAUGUCAUAAGCUGGCAAUAAAGAAAGGUGCUCGGGCAGUAAGGCAGAAGAGGAGGUGCUUCAACCAGGAGAGGUAUGAGGCUAUAAAUGGCGAGGUGGAGAAGCUCUUGAGAGCAGGGUUCAUUCGGGAAGUCAGUUAUCCUGAGUGGAUAUCGAAUGUGGUGUUGGUAAAGAAGGCAAACGGCAAGUGGAGGAUGUGUGUGGAUUUCACAGACCUCAAUAAGGCGUGCCCAAAAGACAGCUUCCCUUUACCAAAGAUCGAUCAGCUAGUAGAUUCAACGGCUGGACAUGGUCUGCUUAGCUUCAUGGACGCGUUCUCGGGAUAUAACCAGAUCCCCAUGUACGAGCAAGAUGAGGAGAGCACGGCUUUCAUCACUAACCAAGGUUUAUUCUGUUACAGGGUAAUGCCAUUCGGUCUCAAAAAUGCUGGGGCCACCUAUCAAAGGCUGGUGAACAAAGUCUUUAAGCCGUUGAUUGGGAAAACCAUGGAGGUGUACGUGGAUGACAUGAUCACCAAGUCCAAAAUCCCGAAGGAACAUGUCAGACACCUCGAGGAGACAUUUGAGCUUUUGAGGAAGUAUAAGAUGAAGCUCAACCCGGAGAAGUGUGCUUUUGGGGUCGAGUCAGGGAAAUUCCUUGGAUUCAUGGUGAGCCAUAGGGGGAUUGAAGCAAAUCCCGAGAAAAUCCAGGCGAUUGUGCAAAUGACGUCUCCUCGUAACCUGAAAGAGAUGCAGAGCCUCACGGGGAGGUUGGCGGCGUUGAGCAGAUUCAUAUCCAAGGUUACAGAUAAGUGUCAGCCAUUCUUUCAAGUGAUAAGGAGGGGAAAGAAAACAGAAUGGACCCCAGAAUGCGAGGAAGCCUUCCGGAACUUGAAGCAAUACUUGCAGCAAGCUCCGCUGCUGUCCACACCGAGGGAUGGGGACAAGUUGUAUCUGUAUUUGGCGGUAUCGGAUCGGGCCGCCAGUUCUGUUCUGGUGAGAGAGGAAGAAGGAGUUCAGUAUCCGAUAUACUACACCAGCAAGGCCCUGCUCGACGCUGAGACCAGAUACCCACCGUUGGAGAAAUGGGCACUUGCCCUUGUGGUUGCUGCUCGGAAGUUGAGGCCAUAUUUUCAAGCAUUCCCGGUCUCGGUGAUAACAAACCAGCCAUUGCGUCAAACUCUGCACAAGCCAGAUGCCUCUGGUCGGCUCGUCAAGUGGGCUGUAGAGCUGAGCGAGUUCGACAUAGACUAUAAACCCCGCGCAGCGAUAAAAGCCCAGGCAAUGGCCGAUUUCGUAGCUGAAUUCACAGAGCCCGAAGUAUGCUUAGAUCAACAAGAUACAGAUAUAGGCAAUGACGAAACUCAAGUAUGGCAGAUGUCUGUGGAUGUGUCAUCAGGGGAGCGGGGUUCAGGAGCAGGGAUUGUCUUGGAAGGCCCAGAGGGGGAGGAGAUCUCUUAUGCUGUAAAGUUGGAAUUUGCAGCCACGAAUAACCAGGCAGAGUAUGAAGCCUUGAUAGCAGGUCUGGAAUUGGCUAAGGCCGUGAAAGCAGACAGAGUUAAGAUCAGAACUGAUUCCCAGCUGGUUGCGAAUCAUGUCAGUGAAAGAUUCCAACCAAGAGAGGAGAAGAUGGAGCAGUACCUGAAGAUAGUCAGGCAGAUGAUGGGGAAGUUCGAAGCAGUGGAGGUGAUACAAAUCCCCAGGGAGCAGAAUAGUCGAGCAGACAUUUUGGCUAGGAUGGCAGCAGUAGCCGACCCAAAAAUGCCAAAGUCGGUCCCUCUGGAGGUGAAGUCCAGCCCAAGUAUCGAUCAGAAUUUGGGGGUGUUGCGGAUAGAACAAAAAUGCUCGUGGAGGGACCCGAUAGUUUCAUACCUUAGAGAUGGGGUGUUACCACCAGAUAAGGGGCGAGCUCGCAAGAUUAGAGCCCAGGCCUCGAGAUACACGAUGAUUGAUGGGGUACUGUAUCGGCGAGGAUAUACACUACCGUUCCUUCGGUGUUUGGAUGAGGACGACGCGGAUUACGUACUGAGAGAAGUACAUGAAGGAAUUUGCGGAAAUCAUUCUGGCGGGAGGUCCCUGGCCCACAAGGUUCUAAGGCAGGGAUAUUUCUGGCCGACAAUGCACCAGGAUGCGCAAGAGAAGACCAGGAGUUGUGUAAGCUGCCAGAAUUUUGCAAAUUUCUCUAACCAACCACCAGAGAAGCUCACCUCCAUGACCUCCCCCUGGCCAUUUGCUCAAUGGGGAAUUGAUCUGAUCGGCCCAUUGCCAAAGGCACGAGGAGCAGCAACACAUGCAAUAGUUGCUAUAGAUUACUUCACGAAGUGGAUAGAGGUAGAAGCCCUUAGCAGGAUCACAGAGAAGAAAACAACAGACUUCGUGUGGAGAAACCUGGUCUGUCGAUACGGGAUCCCUUAUGCCUUGGUAACGGAUAAUGGCAGGCAGUUCGAUAAUCACAGCUUCAGGGAUUUCUGCCAGAACCUCGGGAUAGAGCUGAAGUAUUGCUCGCCUGCUCACCCUCAAUCGAAUGGACAAGUAGAAGCAGCCAACAAGACCAUCAAGAGGCUUUUGAAAACCAGGCUUGGAGCAAAAAAGGGUGCGUGGGUUGACGAGCUGUCAGGUGUGCUAUGGGCAUACAGAACAACCCACAAAACCGCAACUGGGGAGACACCGUUCGCUUUGGCUUUCGGACAUGAAGCGGUCGUGCCGGCUGAGAUAGGAACGACCACACACCGGACAAAUCAUUUCAAUGAGCAGGAGAACGACGAGCAGAUAUGUUUGAAUCUUGAUCUACUAACGGAGAGGAGGGAGCAAGCAGCCGAGCGAUCAGUCAUUUACCAACAGAGGGUUGCUCGGUAUUAUAACCAGAAGGUGAACAUACGGCAAUUCAGGGUCGGAGACUGGGUACUGAGAAGAGUGAAUCAGAGCACCAAAGAUUCGACUCAAGGAGUGCUGGGACCGAAUUGGGAAGGGCCAUAUAGAGUCAAGCAGAUAGCGGGACCCGGAGCUUACAAGCUGGUUCGCACGGACGGCCACGAGGUGAAACGCCCAUGGAACGCAGCACACCUCCGAAAAUACUUCCAGUAAGACUUGUUCACAUGUGAAAGCUAUUUUUGCUCAUGUUCAUUAUCGUUUAUCUUUCACGCUUUAUGUCCGAACAAUUUCAUGUAAGUCGAAUCCUGCCAUUAAUGGAACGUCGAGGAAUUUCUUUCGCUUGAAACCGAGAAAAUCUCCUAAGGCAUGCAAAGGCUCGACAAAGUCUCAAAGCCUGUCUUAUGGCGAGACAGAAGCCAAGCAUGCCAGGAUCUGCUCGGCCACGAGAAGGCAAGUAGAAUCCCAAUCCUCGAAGAAUCCAAGGCAUGCAAAGGCUCGACAAAGUCUCAAAGCCUGUCUUAUGGCGAGACAGAAGCCAAGCAUGCCAGGAUCUGCUCGGCCACGAGAAGGCAAGCAGAAUCCCAAUCCUCGAAGAAUCCAAGGCAUGCAAAGGCUCGACAAAGUCUCAAAGCCUGUUUUAUGGCGAGACAGAAGCCAAGCAUGCCAGGAUCUGCUCGACCACGAGAAGGCGAGCAGACUCCAAAGCAUUCGAAGAAAUUCCUAAGGCAUGCAAAGGCUCGACAAAGUCUCAAAGCCUGUCUUAUGGCGAGACAGAAGCCAAGCAUGCCAGGAUCUGCUCGGCCACGAGAAGGCAAGCAGAAUCCCAAUCCUCGAAGAAUCCAAGGCAUGCAAAGGCUCGACAAAGUCUCAAAGCCUGUUUUAUGGCGAGACAGAAGCCAAGCAUGCCAGGAUCUGCUCGACCACGAGAAGGCGAGCAGACUCCAAAGCAUUCGAAGAAAUUCCUAAGGCAUGCAAAGGCUCGACAAAGUCUCAAAGCCUGUCUUAUGGCGAGACAGAAGCCAAGCAUGCCAGGAUCUGCUCGGCCACGAGAAGGCAAGCAGAAUCCCAAUCCUCGAAGAAUCCAAGGCAUGCAAAGGCUCGACAAAGUCUCAAAGCCUGUUUUAUGGCGAGACAGAAGCCAAGCAUGCCAGGAUCUGCUCGACCACGAGAAGGCGAGCAGACUCCAAAGCAUUCGAAGAAAUUCCCAAGGCAUGCAAAGGCUCGACAAAGUCUCAAAGCCUGUUUUAUGGCGAGACAGAAGCCAAGCAUGCCAGGAUCUGCUCGACCACGAGAAGGCGAGCAGACUCCAAAGCAUUCGAAGAAAUUCCUAAGGCAUGCAAAGGCUCGACAAAGUCUCAAAGCCUGUCUUAUGGCGAGACAGAAGCCAAGCAUGCCAGGAUCUGCUCGGCCACGAGAAGGCAAGCAGAAUCCCAAUCCUCGAAGAAUCCAAGGCAUGCAAAGGCUCGACAAAGUCUCAAAGCCUGUUUUAUGGCGAGACAGAAGCCAAGCAUGCCAGGAUCUGCUCGACCACGAGAAGGCGAGCAGACUCCAAAGCAUUCGAAGAAAUUCCCAAGGCAUGCAAAGGCUCGACAAAGUCUCAAAGCCUGUUUUAUGGCGAGACAGAAGCCAAGCAUGCCAGGAUCUGCUCGACCACGAGAAGGCGAGCAGAAUCCCAAUCCUCGAAGAAUCCAAGGCAUGCAAAGGCUCGACAAAGUCUCAAAGCCUGUUUUAUGGCGAGACAGAAGCCAAGCAUGCCAGGAUCUGCUCGACCACGAGAAGGCGAGCAGACUCCAAAGCAUUCGAAGAAAUUCCUAAGGCAUGCAAAGGCUCGACAAAGUCUCAAAGCCUGUCUUAUGGCGAGACAGAAGCCAAGCAUGCCAGGAUCUGCUCGGCCACGAGAAGGCAAGCAGAAUCCCAAUCCUCGAAGAAUCCAAGGCAUGCAAAGGCUCGACAAAGUCUCAAAGCCUGUUUUAUGGCGAGACAGAAGCCAAGCAUGCCAGGAUCUGCUCGACCACGAGAAGGCGAGCAGACUCCAAAGCAUUCGAAGAAAUUCCCAAGGCAUGCAAAGGCUCGACAAAGUCUCAAAGCCUGUUUUAUGGCGAGACAGAAGCCAAGCAUGCCAGGAUCUGCUCGACCACGAGAAGGCGAGCAGACUCCAAAGCAUUCGAAGAAAUUCCCAAGGCAUGCAAAGGCUCGACAAAGUCUCAAAGCCUAUUUUAUGGCGAGACAGAAGCCAAGCAUGCCAGGAUCUGCUCGACCACGAGAAGGCGAGCAGACUCCAAAGCAUUCGAAGAAAUUCCUAAGGCAUGCAAAGGCUCACCAAGUCUCAAAGCCCGUUUUAUGGCGAGACAGAAGCCAAGCGCGCCAGGAUCUGCUCGACCGCGCGAAGGCGAGCCGAAUCCCAGGCAUUGAAGAAUCUUCAAAGGCAUGUGGCAAAACCAUGAGCCAAGCCGGAAUCUGCUCGUCUAGACAAAGACAAGCAGAUUCUCAAACGAAAAUUAAUUCGUAAUUACAACACAAGAAAGUAAUCAAAAAAUAUUUUUUAUUAAUUUGUUAAUAAUUAACAGAGGGGAUAAUCUCCAUGAACAUUGUUCAUUACAAUACAAGAAAUAUAUCAAGAAGAUGGUGGAUCAGUAAGCCCAGCAGCGUCGGUUGGCUGGACCUCCUCAGGUGCAGGAGGGGUAUCACCAGUUGCGUCCGGGGGGGUGCUCGCCUCGCCAACAUCAGCAGGGACUGCACGAGGAGGAGAGUUUUCCUCCUCAAUCACGAUCGGCUCUACCCCUUCGGCAUCUUCCUUGGCCGCCUCCUCGUCCAUAUGUUGAGCAACACCAGCUGCAAGGUCAUCCAUCUUCAGAUCAGGGUGUUGCUUCCCGAGGACGGCCAUGAUGCAACGAUAGGAAUGCCGAAGUCCCUGGUCGUACUGGUUGUCGGCCUCCCUCUCCAAGUUCUCGACCUGAGCUCGGUGGGAGUCGCGGAGAGAUUCGAGCUGAGCCUCAUACAUAGCCUUCUGCCUUUGCAGAUCCUCCUUGACCUUGGUAAGCUCCUCCUCGAGGGAAAUGGCUUUUGCUUGAGCAAGUGAUUCUUGCUCUACCAGCUUCAGAUUCUCGAGAUUCAGCUCCCCUGCUUUCUUCUCGGCAACGUCAGCUCUGGUCGUCGCCGAUUGAAUAUCCUCCUUCAUCUUCCGGUCGUAGCGGCCAACCUUAGCCUUGUAAUAGGUGGUCAUGCAGCUCAGGUGGAAAGCGCUAUGCUGCAUGGCCCCCACCAGCUCACCCAAGGUGCAGCCGUCAAAGUCCUCCAGGUCCUUCUUGCUCACGAGUUUAGAUAACUCAUUGAGGUAGGGGACCAGGUGUUCUGCUCGACUGUCAGGUAAGCGAGAUCGAGGCCCGACAGGAGGAGGAGAGGAAGCAGGAUCUGUGGCUUCUCCACUAGCUUCCCCGACUUUUACAGGAGCAGGAGGUAAAAUCUUCAAGGGUGGGACCUGCUGCACGAUGUUGGCCCGCUUUGCAGCAGGGGCAUCCUUACUCUGGUCCCUCUUCGUGGUUGGAGGUCGAGAACGUUUUCGGGUCAGAGCCCCAAUCACAGCGUCCUCCAUCCUAUGGCCAGGAAGUAUCAAGCGAGACUCGAGCAAGUUGUAUGUAGUUAACAGUUCUCGGCUCGAGCAGGAAUUGGCUAGCACAGCCUCGACCCGUUUGAGCUGGUCAGGUUCAAGCGGGAAGUGGACACCCCAAGAACCUGCAACACAAACAAACAUUUGAUUAGAGACAAACCAGUAAAGCGCAAACGGCAAGGGAGACAAGACAUCUAAUACGAGCAGGCAACCUGGGACUACGAAACGGGGUGGGACGCGGAAGUCCUCCCCAUCAACCCGUGCAACUUGACCCCAGGGACCCCCUGCGAAGAAGAACUUCCUCUUCCAAUUCCCACCACCACCAGUAGGGAGAUCGGUUAUGGGUUUCCUGGUCUUGGUACUUGAUUGGAAGUAAUACCAGCCGGCAUCUUUUGGGCUGCUUUUCAGCUGGUACAGGUGCAUCACCUCGUCGACCGUGGGCUCGCUCUGGCAACAUCUGUCCCACAGUAUGAACAGACCAGAGAGCACUCUCCAACCGUUUGGGUUCAGCUGACCAGGAGACAGAUUCAACCCGCUAAGUAUCCGGGCAAAGUAAGGUUGCAAGGGACACCUCAGCCCAUACUUAAAGCUAUCCAAAUACAGGGUAACAUAUCCCCUGGGAGGCCGGCUAGGGGUAUCCUUCUUGCCUGGGACCUUGAGAAGUAUUUCACCAGGAAUGCUGUACCUAAGACGGAGGUCAGCGAGCUCGUCAAAUGUGGUCGUGCACGUCAUAUAGUCGAUGGCAUAAUCACGCAACAAGGCUCUACCCCCUACUGUACCCCGUCCUUCUAGUCGUGACGUUCCAGAUGGAGACACCUCACCAGAGUCACCUUCGUCGUUCUCACUCAAAGUAUCCUCGGAGCCAGAAGAACUCUCCUCACCAUUACUUCCGCUCGUAGAGGUUGUUUGGGGAGACAUCCUCCUAGCACUAGUCCCGACACUAGACCUAAUGGGCUCUAAGGGGAUCCCGGGGUCGAAAGCAGGAUCGGUGAGCAGACUAGGCAGGAAGUCCAACUCGUCGUCAUCAACCUCAAUGACCUUCUCUUUGCCUUUCGACAUUCCCUAAGCUCUAACCACAACACCACCAACUACUACCCAAACAGAAGAGAAGAGAAAUUAUCUACAACUAUCCGAGACCAAGGAGAUAGAAGAAAUACCUGAAGUAAUGGUUCAGUCGGUGAAAAUCAGAGAUGGAGGCCUUUUAUGCCGGAACUUCUUUGCCGGAGAGACAGAGACGGAGACGGAGUGAAUGAUGAAUAUGCCGUUCGAGAGGAUUUGGUUUUCCUAAUGAGGACGGAUUCUUGGGUUGCCAGCAUUUAACAGCGCCGAAUCCCGAGGGUCUCAUAACCAUCGGUUUGAAAUUCAAAUGGAGGGGGGGAUUUCUGCCACGUCACCUCGUCCGCAAUUAAAUGCGACAUGACUCUUGGCAGCCUUUUCCAAUCCCACGCGAGCGAGUACUAACGAGUUUCUACUGCUGGUCCACUACAUUACCCAACACCAGAAACUGGGGGACCGGUGUUUGGGAGAAAUACGUCGACGAGACCAGGCAUGGUGAGCAGAUAUCUGAUGGCAGAGUUCUGCGAACCGGUGUGUUCCGUAAAAGCCUGGUGCGCGGGGGAACAGGAGCAGAAAUAUCCUGCUCGUCCACGAGCACGUCAUCCGCGAGGCCAAUUUCCUGUAAGAGGCAUAAGGCCAUUCCGGCUAGAGGUCGAGAGGCGAGGAGACCCGGUCGACGGCAGUUGGCAAGACACGCUCUCCAGCCCGAGAAUCUAGGCACGACAGCCACGCUUUCCCCAGAACCACGGCGGAACACGCAAGAUCCCACGUUUGCCCAUAACGCAGCAUAACGCAGUAGUCGGAGCCCCAUACCGUCCCCCAAAAAGCGGAAACAAGAUCUCACAGAACCACGACAGCCACGCUUUCCGCAGAACCGUGGCGUAACACGCAAGAUCCCACGUUUGCCCAUAACGCAGCAGUCAGAGUCCCAUACCGUCUCGAAAAAAGCGGAAAACUGGGAUUCAGAGGAAGCCUAUAAAAAGGUAGCCAACGAAGGUAUGGGGUGGGUAUUUUGGAGAUUAGAAAAGAAAUUCAAAAGAAGAGAAAACCACGAAAAAGCCAUAAGAUCUGUGGCAAGCGUUCCCCGAACCUUCAUAUCUGACUUGAGCGUCGGAGGGUUUGCGCCGGGAAAAUAACCGGCGCACUCUGACUUGUCUUUGUGCGCAGGAACCUCUGGAGAAGAAGCCUUGCGAGGAGACCUCCUGGUCGUGAUGAAGCUGAUCGAGCAGAGAUCCUGGUCGUAGAACGAGGAGAACCGGAAUCCUGCAUCAACAUUUUGGCGCCGUCUGUGGGGAUGAGAGCAAAAAGCUUCUGUUGAUAGCAAGAAGAGGGGUGAAGCAAGUGAAAAGCAAUGGAGACAGGAGGAAGUAGUGCACAAGGGGGUGAUAGGAGGCUUAACGAUUCCGUGACGCUGAGGGAGAUAGUCAGUGAAGCACGGGAAAAAGUCAUGUUCGACCGGAUGGAACGGAUGGAAAAGCAGAUGGAGACCUUGAUUACCAUCCUGCAUGAGCUGCGGAGCGAGCGAAGUAUAACCCAAGAGGGAAGGGUGAGAGGCGGUGGAGUGGCACCAGGUCCCGAUAGUGCGGGGAGAAAUCAAACCACCGGGAGAUUUGGUGGUGAGAGAGGUAACGUACCUCUGCGGGGAGAAUUUCAUAGAGAAAGAGAGCAGUCCCCGGCAAGACAGACUGGCGACGAGGACGACGGGGUGGUGAAUGCAGAGGAAACAGAGUUGAAGCAACACUUGCAUGAUGUAGAGCAAGAGCGGGAUCAAGUUGCAGCACGUGACCCUGGUCGUGCAGUGCAGCUGGAGGAGGAAGUGCGCAGACUAGCGCAGAUAAUUGACGACAUGCAAGGAAGGAACAGAGCCCCUGGUUGGAGGAUAAUGCUGGACGGAGAAUCACCGCUCGCAGCAGAGAUCAUGAGGGCAGUUAUUCCGAGAGAUUUCCGCCUCCCAGACCUCAGAUACUCGGGAAGAACUGAUCCGUUGGUGCACAUAGAGCGCUUCAACGACAUAACUGGGGUACAAGGAUUAUCUCAAUCCCAAAGGUGCAGGGUGUUCCCACUAUCCCUUGAGGGACGUGCACGAGAAUGGUACAGGAAACUUCCUCGGGGCAGCAUUAAAACCUUCGAGCAGAUGUGCCAGGAAUUCGCGGAGCAGUUUAGUGGGGCAAUGGCGCCGGAAGAUGACAUGAUGGAGCUGAAAAGCAUGAAACAGGGGGAGCAAGAAACCCUUCGGGAAUUCAUCAAGAGGUUUCAUCGGGCUGUCCUCGACUUGGGAGCCUUCAACCACCCUCAGGCGUUAAGGGGAUUGAAAGAAGGGGUGAAGAUAGGAAGGCUGUGGUACAAUUUGAGAAGCCCAGCUAUUCAAACGUAUGCAGCCGCAUACGAACAGGCUAAGAGAGACAUCGAGAUUGAAGAGGAGAAGGCUGCACGGAUUAAGACAGACCAGUUAGAAGGGUUGGGGAGGAAAGAGAAGAAAGCAUUACCGGGGAAUGGGCCGAUCAGGAGGAGGGACCACCAGGCCUCCGGUAGUGGAGCAGGAGGUCGGGUAGCCGCUUACCAGCCUCAUCAAAGGCCACCACAGUAUCAGCGCAGCAGGGCGCAACCUCCUCGUUCCCCAGCUAGGGAGCCUUGGAGAAGGCAUGAGUCGGCAUCCGGUGGUCUUCAUCAACACCCCCACGGUAGCAGAGCGAGCAGACCAGAAGUACUUCCACCGCCCCCAACUCAGAGCGGGGCAAACAGAGAAAGAGCAGUGCACCUGAUCGACCAGAACCCGGACUAUGGGCGGUACACUUCCUUGAAGAUGUCCCUGGAUGAGGUGUACGAGGCCAUAAAGGAUCGAGAGCUGCUGCACCUCCCUACACCAAUAACAAAGCUACCCAACAGGAGGGAUAGAGGACGUUAUUGUAAGUUCCAUGGCACCCAUGGCCAUACCACAGCAGAGUGUAGAGAUCUCAAGACCCAGGUCGAAGAUUUGGUGAGAAAUCGGUACCUGGACGAGUUUAUGGAUGGGACUUUCCCGAUGGUGGCCACAACAGGUGAAGGGGAGCAGAGUGGCGGAAACGUGAGGCGCGAGCAGCCCGCAGUAAGGGUGAUAGCUGGGGGCCCGACAUUGGCCGGAGAUUCCAACAGAUCGAGAAAAAAUUAUGCUAGGUACGCCAUGACCAGUAAAGAGGUACUCCUCAACACCCCAGCAGCCAAACGAGCAAGGGUCAGGCAAGUGCCAAUCAUGUGGACGGAUGAGGAUGAGGAAUGGAUUCUAUACCCCCACGAGGAUGCUUUAGUCAUCAAGGCUACUGUCGCUAGCAAGAAGUUUGACCGGAUACUGAUUGAUACAGGGAGCUCAGUUGAUGUGUUAUUUAAGUCAACCCUGGAAGAGAUGGGAAUAGCCGACCGGAAGUUGGAAUACACCAAUACCUCCUUGAAGGGGUUCGGAGGAGGGAAGUUGGUCCCUCUGGGCGUGGUCGAGCUGCCUAUCACAAUUGGGAGCUCCCCGACAGAAAGAACAAUGAUACUGGACUUUGUCGUAGUGGAUGAGGAAGGUCCUUACCAGAUGAUCCUAGGUCGGCCAUUUUUAAGGAUGAGCAAAGCGGUGUUGUCCAACCAUUAUCUGGCUCUGAAGUACCGGGUGAAUGGGGUAGUAGGAGUGGUACGAGGAGACCAGAGGAUCGCAAGAAGCUGCUACUCCUCGGCAGCAAGGGAAGCAAUGCAGAUAACAUCCCUCGAUACCCGAGUGGAAAACAAGAAGGGCAGACAAGAACCUGUAGAGGAUCUGGAAACAGUAAGUCUGGGACCAGAGAACCCGGGAAAGACGAUCAGAAUCGGGUCGAGACUUAAGGGAGAGCAAAAGCAGGAGUUGGUGAAAUGCUUACAGGCUCAUGCUGAUGUGUUUGCUUGGACACAUGAAGACAUGCCAGGGAUUGACCCUGAGGUAGCAUGUCAUAAGCUGGCAAUAAAGAAAGGUGCUCGGGCAGUAAGGCAGAAGAGGAGGUGCUUCAACCAGGAGAGGUAUGAGGCUAUAAAUGGCGAGGUGGAGAAGCUCUUGAGAGCAGGGUUCAUUCGGGAAGUCAGUUAUCCUGAGUGGAUAUCGAAUGUGGUGUUGGUAAAGAAGGCAAACGGCAAGUGGAGGAUGUGUGUGGAUUUCACAGACCUCAAUAAGGCGUGCCCAAAAGACAGCUUCCCUUUACCAAAGAUCGAUCAGCUAGUAGAUUCAACGGCUGGACAUGGUCUGCUUAGCUUCAUGGACGCGUUCUCGGGAUAUAACCAGAUCCCCAUGUACGAGCAAGAUGAGGAGAGCACGGCUUUCAUCACUAACCAAGGUUUAUUCUGUUACAGGGUAAUGCCAUUCGGUCUCAAAAAUGCUGGGGCCACCUAUCAAAGGCUGGUGAACAAAGUCUUUAAGCCGUUGAUUGGGAAAACCAUGGAGGUGUACGUGGAUGACAUGAUCACCAAGUCCAAAAUCCCGAAGGAACAUGUCAGACACCUCGAGGAGACAUUUGAGCUUUUGAGGAAGUAUAAGAUGAAGCUCAACCCGGAGAAGUGUGCUUUUGGGGUCGAGUCAGGGAAAUUCCUUGGAUUCAUGGUGAGCCAUAGGGGGAUUGAAGCAAAUCCCGAGAAAAUCCAGGCGAUUGUGCAAAUGACGUCUCCUCGUAACCUGAAAGAGAUGCAGAGCCUCACGGGGAGGUUGGCGGCGUUGAGCAGAUUCAUAUCCAAGGCUACAGAUAAGUGUCAGCCAUUCUUUCAAGUGAUAAGGAGGGGAAAGAAAACAGAAUGGACCCCAGAAUGCGAGGAAGCCUUCCGGAACUUGAAGCAAUACUUGCAGCAAGCUCCGCUGCUGUCCACACCGAGGGAUGGGGACAAGUUGUAUCUGUAUUUGGCGGUAUCGGAUCGGGCCGCCAGUUCUGUUCUGGUGAGAGAGGAAGAAGGAGUUCAGUAUCCGAUAUACUACACCAGCAAGGCCCUGCUCGACGCUGAGACCAGAUACCCACCGUUGGAGAAAUGGGCACUUGCCCUUGUGGUUGCUGCUCGGAAGUUGAGGCCAUAUUUUCAAGCAUUCCCGGUCUCGGUGAUAACAAACCAGCCAUUGCGUCAAACUCUGCACAAGCCAGAUGCCUCUGGUCGGCUCGUCAAGUGGGCUGUAGAGCUGAGCGAGUUCGACAUAGACUAUAAACCCCGCGCAGCGAUAAAAGCCCAGGCAAUGGCCGAUUUCGUAGCUGAAUUCACAGAGCCCGAAGUAUGCUUAGAUCAACAAGAUACAGAUAUAGGCAAUGACGAAACUCAAGUAUGGCAGAUGUCUGUGGAUGUGUCAUCAGGGGAGCGGGGUUCAGGAGCAGGGAUUGUCUUGGAAGGCCCAGAGGGGGAGGAGAUCUCUUAUGCUGUAAAGUUGGAAUUUGCAGCCACGAAUAACCAGGCAGAGUAUGAAGCCUUGAUAGCAGGUCUGGAAUUGGCUAAGGCCGUGAAAGCAGACAGAGUUAAGAUCAGAACUGAUUCCCAGCUGGUUGCGAAUCAUGUCAGUGAAAGAUUCCAACCAAGAGAGGAGAAGAUGGAGCAGUACCUGAAGAUAGUCAGGCAGAUGAUGGGGAAGUUCGAAGCAGUGGAGGUGAUACAAAUCCCCAGGGAGCAGAAUAGUCGAGCAGACAUUUUGGCUAGGAUGGCAGCAGUAGCCGACCCAAAAAUGCCAAAGUCGGUCCCUCUGGAGGUGAAGUCCAGCCCAAGUAUCGAUCAGAAUUUGGGGGUGUUGCGGAUAGAACAAAAAUGCUCGUGGAGGGACCCGAUAGUUUCAUACCUUAGAGAUGGGGUGUUACCACCAGAUAAGGGGCGAGCUCGCAAGAUUAGAGCCCAGGCCUCGAGAUACACGAUGAUUGAUGGGGUACUGUAUCGGCGAGGAUAUACACUACCGUUCCUUCGGUGUUUGGAUGAGGACGACGCGGAUUACGUACUGAGAGAAGUACAUGAAGGAAUUUGCGGAAAUCAUUCUGGCGGGAGGUCCCUGGCCCACAAGGUUCUAAGGCAGGGAUAUUUCUGGCCGACAAUGCACCAGGAUGCGCAAGAGAAGACCAGGAGUUGUGUAAGCUGCCAGAAUUUUGCAAAUUUCUCUAACCAACCACCAGAGAAGCUCACCUCCAUGACCUCCCCCUGGCCAUUUGCUCAAUGGGGAAUUGAUCUGAUCGGCCCAUUGCCAAAGGCACGAGGAGCAGCAACACAUGCAAUAGUUGCUAUAGAUUACUUCACGAAGUGGAUAGAGGUAGAAGCCCUUAGCAGGAUCACAGAGAAGAAAACAACAGACUUCGUGUGGAGAAACCUGGUCUGUCGAUACGGGAUCCCUUAUGCCUUGGUAACGGAUAAUGGCAGGCAGUUCGAUAAUCACAGCUUCAGGGAUUUCUGCCAGAACCUCGGGAUAGAGCUGAAGUAUUGCUCGCCUGCUCACCCUCAAUCGAAUGGACAAGUAGAAGCAGCCAACAAGACCAUCAAGAGGCUUUUGAAAACCAGGCUUGGAGCAAAAAAGGGUGCGUGGGUUGACGAGCUGUCAGGUGUGCUAUGGGCAUACAGAACAACCCACAAAACCGCAACUGGGGAGACACCGUUCGCUUUGGCUUUCGGACAUGAAGCGGUCGUGCCGGCUGAGAUAGGAACGACCACACACCGGACAAAUCAUUUCAAUGAGCAGGAGAACGACGAGCAGAUAUGUUUGAAUCUUGAUCUGCUAACGGAGAGGAGGGAGCAAGCAGCCGAGCGAUCAGUCAUUUACCAACAGAGGGUUGCUCGGUAUUAUAACCAGAAGGUGAACAUACGGCAAUUCAGGGUCGGAGACUGGGUACUGAGAAGAGUGAAUCAGAGCACCAAAGAUUCGACUCAAGGAGUGCUGGGACCGAAUUGGGAAGGGCCAUAUAGAGUCAAGCAGAUAGCGGGACCCGGAGCUUACAAGCUGGUUCGCACGGACGGCCACGAGGUGAAACGCCCAUGGAACGCAGCACACCUCCGAAAAUACUUCCAGUAAGACUUGUUCACAUGUGAAAGCUAUUUUUGCUCAUGUUCAAUAUCGUUUAUCUUUCACGCUUUAUGUCCGAACAAUUUCAUGUAAGUCGAAUCCUGCCAUUAAUGGAACGUCGAGGAAUUUCUUUCGCUUGAAACCGAGAAAAUCUCCUAAGGCAUGCAAAGGCUCGACAAAGUCUCAAAGCCUGUCUUAUGGCGAGACAGAAGCCAAGCAUGCCAGGAUCUGCUCGGCCACGAGAAGGCAAGUAGAAUCCCAAUCCUCGAAGAAUCCAAGGCAUGCAAAGGCUCGACAAAGUCUCAAAGCCUGUCUUAUGGCGAGACAGAAGCCAAGCAUGCCAGGAUCUGCUCGGCCACGAGAAGGCAAGCAGAAUCCCAAUCCUCGAAGAAUCCAAGGCAUGCAAAGGCUCGACAAAGUCUCAAAGCCUGUUUUAUGGCGAGACAGAAGCCAAGCAUGCCAGGAUCUGCUCGACCACGAGAAGGCGAGCAGACUCCAAAGCAUUCGAAGAAAUUCCUAAGGCAUGCAAAGGCUCGACAAAGUCUCAAAGCCUGUCUUAUGGCGAGACAGAAGCCAAGCAUGCCAGGAUCUGCUCGGCCACGAGAAGGCAAGCAGAAUCCCAAUCCUCGAAGAAUCCAAGGCAUGCAAAGGCUCGACAAAGUCUCAAAGCCUGUUUUAUGGCGAGACAGAAGCCAAGCAUGCCAGCAUCUGCUCGACCACGAGAAGGCGAGCAGACUCCAAAGCAUUCGAAGAAAUUCCUAAGGCAUGCAAAGGCUCGACAAAGUCUCAAAGCCUGUCUUAUGGCGAGACAGAAGCCAAGCAUGCCAGGAUCUGCUCGGCCACGAGAAGGCAAGCAGAAUCCCAAUCCUCGAAGAAUCCAAGGCAUGCAAAGGCUCGACAAAGUCUCAAAGCCUGUUUUAUGGCGAGACAGAAGCCAAGCAUGCCAGGAUCUGCUCGACCACGAGAAGGCGAGCAGACUCCAAAGCAUUCGAAGAAAUUCCCAAGGCAUGCAAAGGCUCGACAAAGUCUCAAAGCCUGUUUUAUGGCGAGACAGAAGCCAAGCAUGCCAGGAUCUGCUCGACCACGAGAAGGCGAGCAGACUCCAAAGCAUUCGAAGAAAUUCCCAAGGCAUGCAAUCUCCAUGAACAUUGUUCAUUACAAUACAAGAAAUAUAUCAAGAAGAUGGUGGAUCAGUAAGCCCAGCAGCGUCGGUUGGCUGGACCUCCUCAGGUGCAGGAGGGGUAUCACCAGUUGCGUCCGGGGGGUGCUCGCCUCGCCAACAUCAGCAGGGACUGCACGAGGAGGAGAGUUUUCCUCCUCAAUCACGAUCGGCUCUACCCCUUCGGCAUCUUCCUUGGCCGCCUCCUCGUCCAUAUGUUGAGCAACACCAGCUGCAAGGUCAUCCAUCUUCAGAUCAGGGUGUUGCUUCCCGAGGACGGCCAUGAUGCAACGAUAGGAAUGCCGAAGUCCCUGGUCGUACUGGUUGUCGGCCUCCCUCUCCAAGUUCUCGACCUGAGCUCGGUGGGAGUCGCGGAGAGAUUCGAGCUGAGCCUCAUACAUAGCCUUCUGCCUUUGCAGAUCCUCCUUGACCUUGGUAAGCUCCUCCUCGAGGGAAAUGGCUUUUGCUUGAGCAAGUGAUUCUUGCUCUACCAGCUUCAGAUUCUCGAGAUUCAGCUCCCCUGCUUUCUUCUCGGCAACGUCAGCUCUGGUCGUCGCCGAUUGAAUAUCCUCCUUCAUCUUCCGGUCGUAGCGGCCAACCUUAGCCUUGUAAUAGGUGGUCAUGCAGCUCAGGUGGAAAGCGCUAUGCUGCAUGGCCCCCACCAGCUCACCCAAGGUGCAGCCGUCAAAGUCCUCCAGGUCCUUCUUGCUCACGAGUUUAGAUAACUCAUUGAGGUAGGGGACCAGGUGUUCUGCUCGACUGUCAGGUAAGCGAGAUCGAGGCCCGACAGGAGGAGGAGAGGAAGCAGGAUCUGUGGCUGCUCCACUAGCUUCCCCGACUUUUACAGGAGCAGGAGGUAAAAUCUUCAAGGGUGGGACCUGCUGCACGAUGUUGGCCCGCUUUGCAGCAGGGGCAUCCUUACUCUGGUCCCUCUUCGUGGUUGGAGGUCGAGAACGUUUUCGGGUCAGAGCCCCAAUCACAGCGUCCUCCAUCCUAUGGCCAGGAAGUAUCAAGCGAGACUCGAGCAAGUUGUAUGUAGUUAACAGUUCUCGGCUCGAGCAGGAAUUGGCUAGCACAGCCUCGACCCGUUUGAGCUGGUCAGGUUCAAGCGGGAAGUGGACACCCCAAGAACCUGCAACACAAACAAACAUUUGAUUAGAGACAAACCAGUAAAGCGCAAACGGCAAGGGAGACAAGACAUCUAAUACGAGCAGGCAACCUGGGACCACGAAACGGGGUGGGACGCGGAAGUCCUCCCCAUCAACCCGUGCAACUUGACCCCAGGGACCCCCUGCGAAGAAGAACUUCCUCUUCCAAUUCCCACCACCACCAGUAGGGAGAUCGGUUAUGGGUUUCCUGGUCUUGGUACUUGAUUGGAAGUAAUACCAGCCGGCAUCUUUUGGGCUGCUUUUCAGCUGGUACAGGUGCAUCACCUCGUCGACCGUGGGCUCGCUCUGGCAACAUCUGUCCCACAGUAUGAACAGACCAGAGAGCACUCUCCAACCGUUUGGGUUCAGCUGACCAGGAGACAGAUUCAACCCGCUAAGUAUCCGGGCAAAGUAAGGUUGCAAGGGACACCUCAGCCCAUACUUAAAGCUAUCCAAAUACAGGGUAACAUAUCCCCUGGGAGGCCGGCUAGGGGUAUCCUUCUUGCCUGGGACCUUGAGAAGUAUUUCACCAGGAAUGUUGUACCUAAAACGGAGGUCAGCGAGCUCGUCAAACGUGGUCGUGCACGUCAUAUAGUCGAUGGCAUAAUCACGCAACAAGGCUCUACCCCCUACUGUACCCCGUCCUUCUAGUCGUGACGUUCCAGAUGGAGACACCUCACCAGAGUCACCUUCGUCGUUCUCACUCAAAGUAUCCUCGGAGCCAGAAGAACUCUCCUCACCAUUACUUCCGCUCGUAGAGGUUGUUUGGGGAGACAUCCUCCUAGCACUAGUCCCGACACUAGACCUAAUGGGCUCUAAGGGGAUCCCGGGGUCGAAAGCAGGAUCGGUGAGCAGACUAGGCAGGAAGUCCAACUCGUCGUCAUCAACCUCAAUGACCUUCUCUUUGCCUUUCGACAUUCCCUAAGCUCUAACCACAACACCACCAACUACUACCCAAACAGAAGAGAAGAGAAAUUAUCUACAACUAUCCGAGACCAAGGAGAUAGAAGAAAUACCUGAAGUAAUGGUUCAGUCGGUGAAAAUCAGAGAUGGAGGCCUUUUAUGCCGGAACUUCUUUGCCGGAGAGACAGAGACGGAGACGGAGUGAAUGAUGAAUAUGCCGUUCGAGAGGAUUUGGUUUUCCUAAUGAGGACGGAUUCUUGGGUUGCCAGCAUUUAACAGCGCCGAAUCCCAAGGGUCUCAUAACCGUCGGUUUGAAAUUUAAAUGGAGGGGGGAUUUCUGCCACGUCACCUCGUCCGCAAUUAAAUGCGACAUGACUCUUGGCAGCCUUUUCCAAUCCCACGCGAGCGAGUACUAACGAGUUUCUACUGCUGGUCCACUACAUUACCCAACACCAGAAACUGGGGGACCGGUGUUUGGGAGAAAUACGUCGACGAGACCAGGCAUGGUGAGCAGAUAUCUGAUGGCAGAGUUCUGCGAACCGGUGUGUUCCGUAAAAGCCUGGUGCGCGGGGGAACAGGAGCAGAAAUAUCCUGCUCGUCCACGAGCACGUCAUCCGCGAGGCCAAUUUCCUGUAAGAGGCAUAAGGCCAUUCCGGCUAGAGGUCGAGAGGCGAGGAGACCCGGUCGACGGCAGUUGGCAAGACACGCUCUCCAGCCCGAGAAUCUAGGCACGACAGCCACGCUUUCCCCAGAACCACGGCGGAACACGCAAGAUCCCACGUUUGCCCAUAACGCAGCAUAACGCAGCAGUCGGAGCCCCAUACCGUCCCCCAAAAAGCGGAAACAAGAUCUCACAGAACCACGACAGCCACGCUUUCCCCAGAACCGUGGCGUAACACGCAAGAUCCCACGUUUGCCCAUAACGCAGCAGUCAGAGUCCCAUACCGUCUCGAAAAAAGCAGAAAACUGGGAUUCAGAGGAAGCCUAUAAAAAGGUAGCCAACGAAGGUAAGGGGUGGGUAUUUUGGAGAUUAGAAAAGAAAUUCAAAAGAAGAGAAAACCACGAAAAAGGCAUAAGAUCUGUGGCAAGCGUUUCCCGAACCUUCAUAUCUGACUUGAGCGUCGGAGGGUUUGCGCCGGGAAAAUAACCGGCGCACUCUGACUUGUCUUUGUGCGCAGGAACCUCUGGAGAAGAAGCCUUGCGAGGAGACCUCUUGGUCGUGAUGAAGCUGAUCGAGCAGAGAUCCUGGUCGUAGAACGAGGAGAACCGGAAUCCUGCAUCAACAUCUUCAAUGGCAGGGUAUCUGUCCGGCAGCUCAUGCAUGUGUCAGCAUCAUCAAGAAAAUGAAUGUAGUUGCUGAUUUUCAUAUUUUCAGAAGGUGAAAAGGCUGCUUAUUUUAGCUUGCCUUGAUUGCGAUUUUUAGAUUUACACACUUAUUGCUUUCUUUGAAUCAUAACAGCUACCCUGCUAUUGGCUAUUUGGUCCUCUUAAAAAUGUGGUUUAUGAGCUUCCUUAGUUUGUCUUUCUUUGUAAGUUUUUUACCUCUGUUUCUGUGUCAGUUGUUAUUUGUUGAGAGCAAGGCUCAUUGUGAUGCUACUGAUCAUUUUCUUUUAAUUCUUAAUUGAAGCUAUACAAAACUAUUUUCCUCUAAAAGAAAUAGAAAUUGCCUUCCAGUGCUUAUAUAUUUUUGGUCUCCCCACAUCUUAUUGUAAUUAAUGCUGUAGUAAAAGUUUUCCGGAUGCCUCAUAGACCCUAAACUUAAAGUCUCUGAUCUUGCAAGAGGAAGCCACACGGAUCAAGCAAUAGCACUUUUCUUUCAUUUUUUUUUUCAUCUAUCAAGCAAUAGGCUUAAAUGUUUCUGAUUUUGGUAAGACCAAAAAUAACUUUUUUGUUUUUUUCUUAUAGAGAUGGAACAUAGCACCAGUUAACCAUACAAUGAGCUUCUAAAUGUACUACACAAGUACCUGUUGAAACAGUGGAUAGUAGUGCAAUUCACAUACUCUUGCCGAUUUCCUAAAGGUUGCAGUAGUAAACCAUUUAAUCUAUGCUGCUUUAUUUUUUGGAUGAAUCUUAGGAUUUUUGAAAGACAUUGAGCUUCGGAGAGUUAAGAGAUACUCAUGAUGCGAAUUAACACUCAGUAUCUUCUCUGGUUGUGUGCAUCCUUCCAACAACCUUAUGAAGAGAUUGGCUUUUGGAUCUUCUUAAUGUUUCGGAUUUAUCUAUUAUUACCAUAGCACCACUCUUAUAUUAUCAGUGUGUUGGGUAUGCUUUGUGGGGGCUUGUUUAUUCUCCUCCUUUUGGACGGGCUUGUAAAGCAAAGAUCUAUAGUCUGUUGCCUUCUCGACGGGUUUGAUUAAAAGCUAAACUGAUGGUGUGUUUUAAAGGAAAUCCAAGCCUUACAGCAAAUGGGGCGAUUUCUCCAGAUCAUGCUGGUAAAUUCUUUUGGGUUAAUUUUCGCGAUCUUUAGACCUUUAAUACAGUUAAUUAUGUGGAAAUUAUGGGAGUGGUUGAUUUAAUCUCCAAAGCAGCUAUUGAUCAAGGACUGAUGAAUCUUUGGCUCCUAGAUAGUUUGUCAAUGAACCUUAGACUUUAUCAAGCUUUAGAAAAACCAAUGUAAUGUCGUAGAGCUGAUUUAUUUGCUCAAUGUUGGUCUUCCAUGUGCCAAUGUUUGUUUAAGAAAAUGGGACAUAAACGAUCACGAGACAAAGUUCAAUUUAUUUACCAGUUCAACUUCAAUAAACAAGUACCGAUAUUAUAUGAAAUCUGUAAUUUGGAACUUCUUUCCCCCUUCCCGCUCUUAAAUGCUGUUGUGUCACAUUCUGCAAAUCUGUAAUUUGGAACUUGAUUCCUCGAGUUACUUUGUUAACAAGGAUUUCACCUACUUUUUUCUUUUUUUUGGACAAAAUGCACAGAACCACAAUCUCAAGGCAUCAAAAGAAAAUUACUCUACAACAGUGAUGGUACAAACAAUUUACUAAACCUAACCUAUGCUAACAAAAUCAUUUGAACUAUGAAGGAGUUUCUUGAUAGCUCGAGCAUCAGGAUGCUCUUCUCAUUAACCGGAAUCAGUGCAAAUCAGCAAAUGAAUCUGUAAUAGCAUUAGUUUCAUACAUCUACUAAGGCCUGGGAAAUCUGAAGUUCAUUGAAGAAAUCUUGGUGCAAAAGUUCAACAAUCUACUCAAAGGAUGACAAUUAGCAGGGAGUCACAUUGAUGCCGACGAUCCAAUCACCCCCAUAAUUUCUGCAUAGCAAACUGUAUUGUGGACUAAAGACUGCCAAAAGCUAACCAAAGAAAUUUAUCAGUAUGAUAUUGGAAAAGCGCCCUUCUUGCUGCAAGUGCAAGACCAGGAUUUCCUUUCAAAUUAGCACUAAUCGAAUCCACAGAGGAGACCGUCACAAACCGCGCCUCAACAGCUGAUAUAAAUCCAUCACACUAGAUAUUUCAAGCUUAUAGGAUUGCCUAGUGAUAAAACUGCCGCGGCCGCAGACACCAGUCCGAGAGCCAAUCACUUCAGAAGGAUGUUGUCGGAAAGAGGCACACAAGGAGCACACAUCGUAUCAUUGACUAUUCCAACUCUUGGAAUCUCUGUUUCAUUUAACAAUCCUGAGAUUCAUCCAAACCAUAAAGAAAAACGGAUUAAAUGAAUAUUGUAUCCAAGAAAGAAGAAAAAUGAUGCUGGGAAAAUAUAACAAGUCAAGUUAAUCACUCACAGCAAGCUUGAGCAAAUCAUCAAGUAACCACUGUUUUGGCAGAUAAUUCUUGCUCAAUAAGGAUAUGCAGAUGAUUCAGACGCUCUUUGCAUGGUUGAUUGGUGAUUACAGUUUAAUUAUCAGCUCCAGAUCUCUCAGUAUCUUCCAUCUCGAUAAGAAGGAACAGAAAGUUUUUUCUGGUAUUAUCAAAUUCCAGACCCUAAUACCUACAGCAGCUCUGACUAGAAAGCGAACAGCAGUCCCUUAUGGCUUCUCCUAGCACGAGACUCAUAACUCUUGGACCUAAGAGUCAUCUGUGAAACUUUUACUACAGAAUUAAAUUACAAUAAGAUGCUCGGGAUACCAAAAAUGUUCAAGCACCGGAAGGCAAAUUCUAUUUUUAUCUUUAAAGAAAAAAUACAUUUUUUAUAGCAUAUUAAAAAUAAAGAAGAAUAAAGCAAAAUCUAUGAGAACAUAAUGAGCCUUGCACCUUAACAACUGAUAAAACCAGAGCCAGAAUAAAAAAAAGCUCAUAAACCACACAUCCAAAUAACCAAUAAGAGGGAAUUCAUUAUGAGUCAAUGAAAGCAAAGCAAUAAUCUCAAUGGGCUGCGAAUCUCAAUAUAAAUUGUAAAUCUGAUUAUUGAUUAUUCCAAUCGAGGUUAACCAAAAUAACAGUGGUCCUAUUACCUUCUUUGAAAGUAAUGAAAUCAGUGACUAAAUUCCUUUCUUAGCGAUGCUGACACCUGCAUGAGCACCUGGAAAAGACCCUGCCGCUGAAGAUUCACAUAACAAGAACCUGAUAACAUAGUCCAGAACACAAACUGAAUUAUUUUUCAAAUUUCGUGAAAGUAAAAUGUUAUUAAUCUUUUAAUACCAAGGGUAAUAUGAAAUUUACAGUGUACUUAUUUGUCUUCACUAUGGAGUUUGGACUUGCAGAGAGGUAGAUGACAUUGCAACAAGAUCCUGUGAGCUUUCCAACUUUCAGCCACAACUUCAGUCCCUUCACCAGAUUCUCCACUGCCAUCCUCCAAGUAUAACCUUUCAUUAUCUUCAGAAUGUGCGGAAGGGCAAGAACUUCAUUUGUGCAUUGAGAUACUAUGAAAAUCCAGCCUGAUCGUCCUCCAGAUAAUACGACAAGAUAAGCUGAAUUGUGACUAAGCCAGCUUGUGCAGAUUACCGCUGCAUUCAACCGAAAAUUUGUCUCACUGAAUGUCUGAUUGGUGGUUAAACUUAAUUAGCAGCUGCAGACAUGUGAUAGUAUCAGGCAUUAGCAUCUUCUGCCUCUAUUGCUGGAUCCUUUAUUAAAUAUACCUGCCAUUUUCACUACCGCAUUAAAUUACAAUAAGAUGCUGUGAGACCAAAAUUUUAAAAGAAAUGGCAGGAAAAUUCUUUUUCUUUUUCAAAGGAAAAUACUUUUUAAUAGCCUUCAAUAAGAAAAAAGAAGAAUGAAAAAAAAGAAAUUAGUAGUAAACUAAUUACGCUUACUCUUUAACAAUUGAUGGAGAAAGCCAGAAAAGCAGAGCUAAAACGUUAAAAGAAAACCAAACUAACUCAAGGUCAUCAACCAUAUCUCUAAACAACCAAUAAUAAGUCAGUCAUUAUCAAUCAAAUAAAAACCAAAACACUAAUUCUCUGGACCAAUGUUGUAAGUCUAAAUUCUGCAACGUGCAAUCCAAGGUUAGCCAAAACAUGAGCAGCACUAUUACAUUCUUGGAAAGAAUGAUAAAUCAGAAACCGAAUUCAUUACUUUGCGAAUCCGACACACCAUGAGCCGUCUGACGGCAACACCUCUUGAAGACUCAUAUGGUGGAUCAAGAUAACAAAAAACCAGAUAACUGAGAUAUGAACACAUAAAGUAAAAGUUACUUCUCAAAAAUCUUACAAGUUAAAAUGAUACAUCUUGUAAGCUACUAAUCAUUUAAUCUUUUGGGUAAGAGGAAAUUUAUAGUUUACUUGUAUCUACUCAUUAUGGAGAUAGGACUUACAGAGAGGUAAGAUGAUAUUGCAACAAGAUCUUGUGAUAGCUCUGCUGCAACAGAAGUGCCUUCAACAGAUUAUCCACCACCAUCGCCAACGUAUCACCUUCCAUUGAACUCGGCAAAUAUCGAAGAGCAAGAAUUUCAUUUUUAUAUUUAAAUAAUUGUCAAAUGAAUAUACAGCUUGAUAAUUGUCAAACGAAUGUACAGCUUGUCGUCGUAGUCAUAUCAGUCGGGCUACCUUGUGAUGAAAGCCAGUUUCGUGCUAACUAAUGCUGCAUUCAGCCAAAAAUCUGCACGUCAACAUUCCAGUAAUUACUGUUAAAAUAGAGAUAACAGAAAAUGAAACUGAUUUCUGGAAAAUAUUUAAAUGAAUUCAUAACUGUAAUCUGAAUUGUUCAGGGGAUAGAAGUUGACAUGCCUGGCAUAUAAUAUAAGAUUGGAGAGAGCAUUUUCUGGUUGGACGCCCUUCUUUUGUUUUGAAGACCAAAAUAGACCUUAUGCUUCCUCUUAUGGAUCGUGAAUGAAUCUUAAACUAUCUCAAAGCAAGGAAGGUGGGCUAUCUUUGGCCACUCUUGUCCUUUGCCCUUUUUGCAUUUGUUUUCCAGUGAAGGACAAUCCUGAAUAUAUAGAGACAAAAGAGAGGAUGGAAAGCCUGCCUCCGGGAAGGAAGUGAAAUUUGGGCAAGAGAAGACUUCUAAAUGCUCAAGGGAUACGAGGUACAGAAAACCCUUGGAAGACAGGCGUUCCAAUUUCGGGAAAUCUGAAAUUGAAAUAGAGGCCAGAGAGGUGGGCAAUAUCACUCCCUUCUCUACCUCAGGAAAAGACACUGCAUCUGAGCAUCUAUCAAUGAAGAGAUGCCUAAGAGAUGUCAUCUUGUGAAAGCCCCACUUGACGAGGUGUGCAGUAUCACCUGAAAUUUGAAGGGACGUUAUGUUGGUGGAUAAACCCUCUUCUGGAAAAAACACAAUGCCUGGACAUCCCCAUACGGUUAAUAGUUUAAGAGAGCUGAGUUUGCCGGUUGGUAGAGAGGCUUUAAGUUUAUUACAGUCUUUGAUUGAAACGUCUACGACACUGCUGGGAAGCGCAUCCUCUGGGAGAGAAACUAGAUUAUGACAAUGUGCGAUAGUUAUCCAAUCAAGAUGGCUAAGAUUGCUCAAUCCUUUUGGUAAGGAUUUAAGAUUAUCACAAUACGAUAUCUGAAUAGAUUUAAGACAUGCAUCAUCAUGGAAUCUCUCGGCUAUAGACUCUAUAUUUGAACAACUAUCAAUUGUCAGCACUUCGACCGCCACAGGUAAUUGGCAUUCUGAUGUCAGCACCUUGAAAUUAGAACAAGACAAAAUUUCAAUUGCCUUCAGAGAUGAAGGUAGAUGCUCUCUUGCAAUGGAUUUUAAAGAAUGACAACUGAUGAUUCGCAAGACCUCAAGUCGGGCAUUGUUGUGUAUAAUUCCAUCAGUUAAGGAUGUUCGAGCAUUGCAAUUUUGGAUGGUAAUUUCACUCAAAUUGGAAAGAAAGCAGACCUUCGGAAGAGAAACAAUAGUUGGACAAUCCCCGAUAAGUAGGUCUUUGAGGCAGGUGAAGCUGUGCAGCCCUUGUAGCGGCUUCCCCAGGCAAAUCUCAUUUACAAACCCUUCACAACCAACAAUCUUUAGUUGUUCUACUUUCUGAAACUUUUGACGCGACCAAUUUUCGAACUCUGAAAUAUCGCAAAGAGUCAUUUUGUUCGGUGACUUGGACUCAGAUGGGCCAUCGCACACCAACCUUCUGCACCCAUGAAUCUCCAAUUUGCAGAGAGCUGGGAGGCUUGGCAAUGAUACCGCCAAGCGCAUGCAUCCAGCAAUCACAAUUUCCUCCAAAGAAGGAAGAUGGUUAGGUAAUCGUCCAGAGAGUUUGGGGCAUCCUAUAAUGGAAAGCUUUCGGAGACGAGGGAAUGCCUGAACAUGCUCAUCAUUUUCUCUGUUAGGUUCCCAGUGCUCCCAUUCUUGCAAAUCCUCAAAACAUAAAGUCUGCAAUGAUUGAAAAGGUUUUGAGCAACCUUCCCCAUAAAUCUCCGAACCUAUGCUUUUUAAUGCCGACAUGCCUACGAUUGUGAGAUCUUUUAGUGAGCACAAUUGCCCAAGCGAGGGCAAGGAUGUGCUUCUUUGGCAAUUUCUCAAGAUUAGGACCGCAACGUUGGAAAAUGAUGGAUCUCCUACCCAAGAUGGGAACCUUGUCCCACCGUAAGAAUUGAUUUCAAGCCUUUUAAUAUUACUGUGAGGCUUCAGCAUGUCAAGAAUAUUCUUUUCUCUGACCUCAUCUACUGAGUCGCCCUCUACUGAGUCGCCAUCGAGUCCUGCCCUCCAUUCUAACUUCAAGUCUGUUAGGCCUUUCUUCACCCAUAACAUAGCCUCAUUUGCUUCUUGUGAAUCGAUGACAUUCUUCAGUCCUGAAAUGCAAAGUCUUCCUCGUAGAAACUUCCAAUUCUUCAAAUCUCUCAAAGCACAGCCGCUAUAUUUGCCAACAAUAAAAUUAGUCAAAGUCCGAAGACAUUUUAACUCCUUCAUUCCUAAUGGUAACUCACGUAACGCAAUUGCACCUUCAAUAUCAAGAUGAUGUAAAUUAACCAAAUUUCCGAUGCUUGAUGGCAACUUCAAGAGAAACCCGCAAUAACUCAAGAUCAAAAUUUCUAAAUUGAAAAGUGAGGUAAUUACCUCAGGUAAACAUUGGAUCUCACUUCUAGAGAAGUUGAGAUACCGCAGAUGUUUUAAACAUCCAAUUGAUAUGGGAAACUCAGCUAUGUUGUAUUUUUCCAAAGAUAACACCCUCAACUUUUUACACUUCGGUAGCAAAUCAGAUAAAACCAUGGGACUUAUGUAGUAAAAAUCAGAAAAAUCUUGUAUGAGUACUGGCAAGAAUGUCCUCAAAUUCUCAACUUUUUUGAGAACUUUAAAUUUAUCCAUCCCAUCAGAAAAACUGCGGACGUAUGAAGAAUGACGAACCUUUUCAAUUACAUUUGACUGUCUAUCCACCGAAAAUUGGUCGUCCAAUCUCAAGCAUGUUUCACCAGAAGCCCAUACAGCCAAAUCGUGUACAAGGUCAUGCAUCACAUAUUUAGAUCCGCUGUUACUUGAUUUUUGGAACAAGGAUCUUGACAAGAGAUCAUGAAAAUACUCACUGCCCAAAUCUUCUAGUUGUUUGCUGUCCUUAGAUUGUUGAAUAAGACCUUCUGCAAUCCACAAAAGAAUGAGUUCCUCCUCUUCGAAUUCAUAAUCAUUCGGCAAAAUUGCACAGUAGGCAAAACAUCUUUUUAAAUGCGAAGGAAGAUGGUGAUAACUUAACUUCAAAACAGAGGGAAUCUCAGUUUCAUCCUGUAAGUUCCAUAUUUUACUGUCCAAUAUAGCUCUCCACUCAUCAACUCUCUGCUUAGAUCGAAGAAGACCACCGAGAGCCCUAGCUGCCAGAGGUAAACCUUUGCAUUUCUGAACAACCCUUUGACGAGCUGACUCGAAGUUUCCCUUUGUGCCAGCAUCUCUGCCCUCAAAUGCAUGAUUUACGAACAGCGACCAACAAUCAUCAUCAGACAGAAGCUUCAGCUCAUAAUUUUUACCAGAUCCCACUGUGAAGGCGACAUCCAUGCUGCGAGUAGUCACAAUUAUCCUGCUGCCCGGUGCUCCAGCCAUGAAGGGCGACUUAAGAGCUUGCCACAACUCAUAACUCUUGCUCCAAACAUCAUCCAAGACAAUCAAAAACUUCUUCUUAAACAAAGCUUCCUUCAGCUUAAGCUGCACCGAAUUCAAAUCCUUCAGCUCGCAAGAGGAGAGUUUGAUCGACUCCAGAAUAGCCUUCGAGAUCCUGAGAACGUCAAAGUCAUCAGAAACACAAACCCAAGCUUUGGGUUCGAAAGCUUCCGUUAACUUGUCGUUGUACACCUCCUGAGCAAGUGUUGUUUUCCCGAUACCUCCCAUACCCACAAGGGGUAUUACUCGAAAGUUGGCAGCAUCACAAGGAUCAUUCAUUAACACCAUAUCAAGUAUCCUGUCCUUGUCUUCAUCUCUCCCAUAAACAGCUGGUUCGCUUGUUAAGCAAGUGGUGGGUGGUCUUUGCGUUACUGCAGCACUAUGCGUUGACCCUCCAGCAAUCUUUUCCAAUCCAAGAACAGUUCUUCUUUUACAGAGAUCUUCAAGCCGGCUACUGAUUGCUUUAAUCUUAGACUUCGUGCUAAUGCCGGACUUAACACUACUUGUACCAGAGGAAAAACGUUGGAUAAGGCUGCGAACCUUGCUAGAGCUGGCUUCUCGUUUCUCCAACAAUCUAAGCCCGGCUUCAGUAGCAAACUCAUCGAGUAUGUCCUCUGCAUCGUAAGCCAAGUCUCGGAGGUCAUCCAGCCACAGCUUCAGAGCCCUGUCAGUCAGCUGCUUCUCCUCUGCAUCGAUCAGCACUGCCUCAAUUGUCUUGAGCGUUUCCUCCCACUUUUUCAACUUUGAUUGGACACCCUCUUGGCUGGCUAACUUCAGCAACUCAGGGGACAUUAAUCUUUCGAACAACACCUGAAGAAAGGCAGAAAGAAAGAGCUCCGCCACAGGCAUGGCUUCUUUUUUUUUUUUUCUGGGGCUUUUGUAAGUCAAAAAAGAGAUAGAAAAUCAGAAGAAUUCAGAGCGGUUAUCACACAAAAGAGAAGAAUGAAGGCAAUAAGCAAGGGAGACUGAGACUUCAAUAUUUGCAAAAGAAAGGUUAUCAGAACAGUAAAAUGGUUUUUGAUACGUUUUUUGUAAGAAAAAUGAUAAAACAAAAAAAAUUAUCUCGUAGAAAUUUCCUUUUAUCUUAAAAUAUAUUUUUUUUAAUUUUGUAGUGAUGGUAUAACAAUUAUAGCGCUUACUGUAGUAAACAUAUUAUUAUUGAUUUUUUAAUUAAUUUUUCAUUUAAUGUUCAAACGUAUAAUUUUAACUUAUUUUUUCAUUAUUUUUCUAAUUAACCUUAACCCAUAUAAUUUUAAGGAUGAAUCUAUUACCAUUUAAAAAAAAAUUGUAUCAAUAUUAGUAAUUUUACAAAAUAAUGACAUUUAAGAUUCUUAUAUUUUAUUGCUAACUUGAUUUUUAAUAUUAUAUGUCACUCAUGUAUUAUUUAUUCUAUUAUGUAAUUAAUGAAUAGCACAUCAAUGAGAAUGGAACUCAAAUAUUGAGUUUCUAUUAUUACCCUUUGCAAAAUGGCAUUACUAGAUAAUAUCUUAUUUUUCAGUAAAUUUCUUUCUUAAUUAUUAGUCAACAUCUUAAAAAAAUUAUUAAAACUCAUUUUAAAUAUAAUUAUUGUAACUUACCUAACUGAAAGUUUCAAAUUAAACCGUUGCUCGAAGACACAGUGUCUUAGACACCAAUCUAUAUAGCCAUCACUGGGGACAAAAGAAUUCUUAUUACUAAAAAUUUACGACUCUCAAAAAUCAAAAACAAAAAAAAAAAUUGAAGUUAAAAAAAAAAAAAACAAGUUAUUUAGUGCUUGCGUAAGUAAUGCGCUUAACGCUCUUAUAUGAACAAUUCGUCUCGAUUGGAGCAAGUUCUUGGAAAUCAAUGGAAUUAAAAAUUUUCUUGUUAUAGGAAUCAUGUGGGGGAAAUUUACGAAAAUAACCAUAAAACUUUUACUAUUUUUACAAUUAAUCCUCUUAACUUUUUUCUAUCAACAUUAGCCAAACACACGUUUUUCUCCCCAAAUUACCCUUCUUUACAAACCAAAAGUAACUUUCUUUCUCCCCUUUCGUUAAACCAAAGGCAGCUUUCCACUCUUGAAUCAUCAACUAACGGCGACGACAAAAGGCAACGAUAAAAGUGAAAUCCGAUCAUAAUCUAUUCGGAUCCAACACUAAUCGACAUCACAUAGUGAUAUGAGUUAUUUUCUGAACUUGCUCGAGAGUUUCAGUGAACUGCAAGUCGUGGGUGAAUCUGGCGACAAGCUGCCUGUCGCACGAAGCUUGGUGCGACAGGCUUGGGCGACAGGUGCUUGUCGCACCAAAACUUGGUGCGACAGGCACCUGUUGCACCAAACCUUGGUGCGACAGGCAAAACUUGGUGCGACAGGCACCUGCCGCACCAAACCUUGGUGCGACAGGCACUUGUCGCCCAAGCCUGUCGCUCCAAGUUUCGUGCGACAGGCAGCCUGUCGCCAGAUUCACCCACGACUUGCAAUUCACUGAAACUCUCGAGCAAGUUCAGAAAAUAAUUCAUACCACUAUGUAUUAAUGAAAAUAAAUAAAAUGGCUAACUUAGGUUUUGUUGAAAACUGUAGAUGGUAGAUCAGACACCGAUGAGGGAUGAAGCCGCCGCCGACGAGGGCUGAUGUUACUGCCGAUGAUGGGAGUUUUUUCGGUUUGGGAGAGAUGGGUGAAAGAGAGUGUUGGGGGAGAGAUGAGAGAGAGGGGUAUUUUGGUCUCAAAGGUUCUUUUAUGGCUAAUGUUGAUAAAAAUUUAUUUAAGGAGUUAAGAUGAAAAAAGUCCAAAUUUUUAUGGCUAUUAGUGUAAAUUUCCCAUCAUGUGGACUACUGGACUCCAGCAUGGUCUAAAACAACGGCCCAUUGGAGCUUUUUUUUUGUUUUGCUUUGUAUUAUUUUUUGCUUUAAAAAAUUGAAAAAUAAAUUGCGAAAGGGUAGAUGUUUCCCACAGGCCCACACGUUUUCUAAUAAAUUUAUAAUAUUUUGACAAAUCUACAGUUUCAACUUUUUAAAACGUUCGCGAUGCUUCUUUUUUCAAUUUGGAAAAAUAUUACGUGUGGAUAAAAGGUAUACUUAAUAAAAGGUAAUUUUGGUAUUCAAAUAUAUUUUAAAUUGGAGCGUUAUAUAUUAUAUAAAAAGUGGGGCUAUUUAAAUCUGUCAAAUUUCUCUCUUUAUCUAUUUUUAAAAAUAAAUUUAUUAUCUUAAUAUUCGUUAAUUUUGUAUUUAGUAAAAAUUAAUUUGUUAAUGUUCAUCAACUUUCAUAACUGAUAAAAAUUUAUUGACAUUUAUUUUUAAAUAGUGAAUGUUGUUUCUCUUAUUUAGUGAUACCAAUUAUUUAUAAUUAAAAAUAUAUGAGUAAUGAUAUAGCCACAAACUCUUGUACAAACUUAUUUUGUACAAACUAAUGUGGCAUGAUAAGAUUGGUUGAAUUAAAUAUCACUUGGCCCACAUGAUUUAUUUUUAUUAUUUUAUAUUUUCAUUCAACCAAUGAAUUAAUGCCACAUCAAUUUGUACAAAAUAAGUUUGUACAAGAGUUUGUGGCUGUAUCAUUACUCAAAAUAUAUAUAUAUAUAUGAAUUGAUGAAAAUUUGUGAAAUUAAUUGGAGGAGGAGAACAAAUAGUUAAUUAAGUAAUUUUAAAAAAAUUAUUUAGAUAAUACAAUUUUUAAUUACAAAGAAGACGUUAGAGAGAAAAUUAAUUGAUUCAGGGUGCGUUUGGGAGUGAGAUGUUAUAUUCUUUAAAAGGUUGCUUUGAAAUAAAAGUUAUAGAUGUGGAGUAAAUGAUGAUGGCAUUUGGUAAAAGUGCUAUAACUUUUAAGCUGCAACUACUGAUGGUGUUUGAUAAAUUGUAAUAGUUGUGGAGUAGAUGAAUAUUUGUAAAAAUUAAUUUUAUUAUUUUUAAUUGUUAACAAAUUAAAUUAUUUUUCAUACUUCGAAGAAUUAUAUUGAUUAAAAAAUUAUUUAGAUAAUAAAACUUUUAAUUACAAAGAAUACAUUAGAGAGAAAAUUAAUGAAUUCAGGGUGCGUUUGAGAGUGAGAUGUUGUACUCUUUACGAAGCUGCUGUGAAAUAAAAGUUAUAAAUGUGGAAUAGAUACUGAUGACAUUUGGUAAAAAUUCCAUAACUUUUAAGUUGUAGCUACUGAUGGUGUUUGAUAAGUUUUAAUAGUUGUGGAGUAGAUGAAUAUUUGUAAAAAUUAAUUUUAUUAUUUUUAAUUGUUAACAAAUUAAAUUAUUUUUCAUACUUCGAAGAAUUAUAUUGAUUAAAAUUACGAUUUAUUACUUUACAAAUUAAAUUAAUAUUAUUUAAAUCAAUUUAUUUUUCUGCACAAGUUGUAAUAAAUAAAUUUUAAAACAAAAUACUUUAAAAAUGAAAAUAAAUAAAUUCUGGUUUUAAAUAUUUAUUGAAGAAAUAAAUUAUACCAAAUACGUCUAAUAAAGAACAUACAACAUAAAUGUAAUUAAUUACAAAAUUCGUAUAAAUAUUUCUAUUGUAGUGCCUCCUUUAAACUCGCACAAUGCCAUCUCUCAAGAUUAUUAUAUCUUAAGCUGUUAUCAAUUGUAUCAUAACUUUCUUCGUGAUAUGCAAUAUUGUUCGUACGUUCGCUAAUAUGAUGCCUCAUCCAUUGUUUCAUCAAAAUGAUCAUGAUUUUGUUAAUAUCUUUUGGUCGCAAUUGUUGAAAAAAUAGCAUAACAUGCUAUUUUGAGGGCACAUUUUGAGUGGGUCCCACUUAAACGAAAGUGGAAAAUAUUGUGAGGUUCAGAUUCUACUCCAUUGAUACUUCAAUAGUAUAAUCUUAUUUUCUCAAAAUGGUGCUUGGGUGAAUGAGAAAUUUGAAAUAUAAGUGUGCAACCCAAGAGGGGGGGUGAAUUGGAAAUUUAAAAAAUAUCCUAGCAAAAUCCACACAACAAGCAAUCUAAUGUCUUAAUAAAAAUUGAAAGCAAUAAGUUCAAUAAAGGCACAAUAAUUAAAAGAGUAAGGGAAGAGAAAAACGAACACAAUGAUUUUUACGUGGUUCGGCUAUCCCCGCCUACGUCCACGCCUCCAAGCACACCGGGCUUGAGGAUUUCACUAUCCAAGCCUUUCCAAGGCUUCAACAAUUACAAUUGACUUCGAGGUGUCAAUAAACCUUUACAACAAAGAGAUUAUCUCACAAUCUCUUCACUCAAGUGUCUCACACACUCAAACUCUUACAAAUGAAAUGAAGAAAUGAAAGUUACAAUCAAACUCACUCAAUGAGUAGAUAUUCAAAGAUGAAGAACAAUGAAUGAUUCAAUGUUUUGUGUUUUGCAAGUUGCAAGCUCAAGAUAUCAUGUGUGCCUUUUGUUUUUGCUUGUUGGAGAACUUAAAAAAGAGUUGGAUUUGAGUUCUUAUAGCUUGAGCUCGAAAACUAGCCGUUACUCACAUUCUGGGCUAUCCGGUUUGCCGUUUAAUGGAAUCCGGUAAGCCGGAUUUAUGUUACCGUUAAGGCAAAAUUCAAGCACUACUUGUUUAUUUCAAAGUUUUCAAAAUUCUUUCAAUUAAACCAUAAACUUUGAAAAACAACCAAUUUCAUAAAAUCAUUUUUUCAUUAAAUAUGAAACAUUUAUAAAGUGAAAAUAAUGAUUUAUUCAAAAGGAAUAAAAACAAUCAAUUGCAUAAAAUCAUUUUUCCAUUAAAAUAUAAAACAUUUAUAAUGUGAAAAAAAUGAUUUAUUUAUUUUUUUGUUAAUUUUGUUUGUUAUCAUCAAAAUCAACAUUAUGGAAACAUAUAUGUUAACAAAAUUGUCUCUCAAAGUUCACCCUUGAAGUGAGAAAUUUGAAAGAAAAUGAGGUUUAUCCCACAUGGGAAAAAGAAGCCUAGGAAGUAGUGUAUAUAUAUAAACACUUAACCAUGCAUGGGUAAGGAUUAUAAGGAUAGAGGCUCUCUUCACACGCGCGUGCGCAGGGGGGGUGCAAAUCCAAGACCGAUUUGGUCGAACUCGUGUGCGCCCGCACAUCCUGCAUACGCGAAUGUCAGCCCAAAAUCAUCCAUGCAAGCUUGGCACGUUUUUAAAUUCCUUUUGAAUUUUUUAUUGUAACAGUUUGAUGUUUUGAAUUCAAAGAAUGUGUAACAACUUUUACAACUAUUUUUAGCUGUUGUUCACGUUUUUUAAUUCAAUUUUGAAAUCAAUUCAUUGAAUUGAUUUAGCUAUUAUAGCAAUUAAAUAAAACAUAUUGAAUUCGAAAAUUCAAUACACAUCAGCUGUUACAUCCUCACAUGAUUAUAAAAAGGCAUCUCCUCGUCUGUUUUUGAACACUUGAAAAAAUCAGCACAAAGCACACUUGUUUGUUCUUUCAUCCUUCUUCGUCUUUCUCUUAUGGAGUUACCUGUUGUGGUUCGUCGGAAUUUCCAGCCUGUGCUUGACUGGAAAUUCGUACUUGUUGUAUCCUGGGAAUCAGAUACCAGCAGACCUUAAGCACUCCGAAGAGGUGGUAAAUCUGUUUUAAGGAAAUUGCCUUGUGCAGGCCUCGGGUUUAUAUUUCUUAUUCCGUUUCAUUUCUCUUCUGUUCUUCAUUUGCUGUUUUCGAUUGCUGGUUUACAUUUUUUUUCAAUUAAUAGCAAUUUAAAUUGUCAACUCACUGUGUUCGUUUUUUCUAACAAUCUUAAAACAGAAUUUUUAUUAUCAUUGAGAUGGCAACUGAAACCAGUGAUGAUGUUCCGUAUGUCCCAGUUUCUGCACCAACUGUUGUGAAGGAACCAGCCUCUGUGGCGAUUCCUGUCAAUCAUGCGGAAAGGCCUGAAAAGUUCAAUGGCUAGAAUUUCAAACGGUGGCAGCAAAAGAUGUUCUUUUACUUGACCACGUUGAACCUUGUGAGGUUCUUGACCGAGGAUGCUCCUAAACCUAAAGAGGGUGAAACGGAUUUUCAAGUUGCAAGUGCAAUUGAUGCAUGGAACCAUUCUGAUUUUUUAUGUAAAAAUUAUGUAAUGAAUGGCCUUAGUGAUUCCUUGUAUAACAUAUACAUAGGAAAGAAAACCGCCAAGGAGCUAUGGGAAUCCUUAGAUCAGAUAUAUAAAACUGAGGAUGCGGGUACCAAAACGUUUAUUGUUGGUCGCUUCCUAGAUUAUAAAAUGGUGGAUUCUAAAACUGUAAUAAGUCAAGUACAAGAGCUUCAAAUUAUAUUAUCUGAUAUCCUUGCAGAAGGGAUGCAUUUAAGUGAAACUUUUCAAGUGGCCGCAAUUAUUGAAAAAUUGCCUCCUGCUUGGAAAGAUUUCAAGAGCUAUUUGAAGCAUAAACGCAAGGAGAUGAAUAUUGAAGGGCUGGUUGUUAAGCUCAUAAUUGAGGAAGAUAACAUAAAUGCAGAAAAAAAAGAGGGGCUAUUUUUGUGGCUAAGGUAAAUUUUGUUGAACAUGGACCUAAAAAUAAAAAUAAAAAAUUGGGUCCGAAAGGAGGAAUUUCCAAGAAGCAAACAAAGUUUCAAGGAAAAUGUUUUAAUUGUGAUAAGAUAGGUCACAAGGCUUCGGAUUGCAGGUUGCCUAAAAAGAAGCGAGAGGCGAAUGUCGUGAAAAACAUCACUCAACAUGUUUCAGACAUAAACCUCUCUGCAGUGGUUUCAGAAGUGAAUCUGGUUAGCUCUAAUCCGAGAGAAUGGUGGAUUGAUACGGGAGCAACCAGACAUGUUUGCUCGGACAAAGGGAUGUUCACUUCAUUUGAAGCAGUGAGCAAUGGAGAGAAGCUAUUCAUGGGGAAUUUUGCUACGUCUGAGAUUGAGGGUCAAGGGAAGGUGAUUUUGAAGAUGACUUCUGGGAAAGAGCUGACUCUGAAUGAUGUGCUUUAUGUGCCAGAAAUUCGGAAGAACUUGGUGUCUGGAUCGCUGCUGAACAAACAUGGUUUCCGAAUGGUGUUUGAGUCAAAUAGGGUAGUUUUGUCAAAAAAUGGGAUGUAUGUGGGAAAGGGUUAUGUUAAUGAUGGGCUAUUUAAACUCAAUGUAAUGACUCUUAAACCAACAAUUAAUAAUAAAGCUAGUUCUUCUGCUUAUUUGCUUGAGUCUUCUAAUAUUUGGCAUGGUAGAUUAGGACAUGUUAAUUUUAAUUCUUUGCGUAAAUUAAUUAACAUGAAGCAUAUUCCCAAUUUCCAAAUUAAUUUGAAACAUAAGUGUGAAACUUGUGUUGAGGCAAAACUAACAAGGUCAUCUUUCCAAAUAAUUAAAAGAAACACCGAACCACUUGAUUUAAUACAUAGUGAUAUUUGUGAUUUUAAAUCCAUUCAAACAAGAGGCGGUAAUAAAUAUUUUAUUACCUUUAUAGAUGAUUGCACAAAAUAUUGCUAUGUAUAUUUACUGAAAAGCAAAGAUGAAGCUUUGGAAAAGUUCAUUCUCUACAAAAAUGAAGUUGAUAAUCAACUUAAUAGGAAAAUCAAAGAAUUAAAGAGUGACCGUGGUGGUGAGUAUGUUGUUCCGUUUAUGUCACUAUGUAAACAAAGUGGAAUCAUACAUCAAGUCACGGCUCCAUAUUCACCUCAAUCUAAUGGGAUUGCAGAACGAAAGAAUCGGACUUUAAAGGAAAUGAUGAAUGCAAUGUUGAUAAGUUCUGGGUUACCCCAGAAUAUGUGGGGAGAAGCUGUUUUGUCAGCUAAUUAUUUAUUAAAUAAGAUACCCCGAAAGCAAGAAGAUAAAACCCCGUAUGAGCUAUGGAAAGGUAGAUCACCUUCAUAUAAAUUCUUACGAGUGUGGGGGUGUCUUGCUAAAGUAGUGGUUCCUUUAAAUAAAAAAGUAAAAAUAGGACCAAAAACUGUUGACUACAUUUUCAUUGGUUAUGCACAAAAUAGUAGUGCAUAUCGAUUUUUGGUGCAUGAGUCUAAAAUUCCAAAUGUCCACAAAAAUACAAUAAUAGAAUCAAGAAAUGCAUCGUUUUUCGAACAUGUGUUUCCUUGCAAUUCUAGAGUGGAAUCGAGAGAAUUGGAACAAUUUCAUGAAACAACACUUGAAAAUGAAGAAAAUGAUCAAGCACCAGAAGAAGAAGAAGAACAAGAAAUUGAGGUUAGACGUAGCAAAAGAGCUAGAAUAGAAAAGUCUUUUGGUCCAGACUUUCUGACGUAUUUGCUAGAAAAUGAACCUCAAAGCUUCAAAGAGGCUGUAACUUCAGCUGAAGGCACUUUAUGGAAAGAAGCCAUUAACAGUGAAGUUGAAUCCAUAUUACAAAAUCAUACUUGGGAGCUAGUAGAUCUUCCUCCAGGAUGUAAACCUUUGGGGUAUAAGUGGAUUUUCAAAAGGAAAAUGAAAGCCGAUGGAUCAAUCGAUAAGUACAAGGCUAGGCUUGUAAUUAAAGGUUAUAGGCAACAAGAAGGCCUUGAUUAUUUUGAUACUUAUUCUCCUGUUACGAGAAUAAAUUCCAUACGGAUGAUAAUAGCAAUUGCAGCUUUGCGCAAUCUCGAGAUACAUCAAAUGGAUGUAAAGACGGCCUUUCUAAAUGGAGAUUUAGAUGAAGAAAUCUAUAUGGAGCAACCUGAAGGUUUUAUAGCUCCAGGGCAAGAAAAGAAAAUUUGUAAAUUGGUUAAGUCAUUAUAUGGCUUGAAACAAGCACCGAAACAGUGGCAUGAGAAAUUUGAUCAUAUGAUGAUCACAAGUGGCUUUAAGAUCAACGAGUGUGACAAAUGUGUUUAUGUCAAAGAAACAGAAAAUGGCUAUGUCAUUUUAUGUUUAUAUGUUGAUGACAUGCUCAUUGUUGGGAGUAAUGAUGACAUGAUUAAAUCUACCAAGAAUAUGUUGAAGUCUAAGUUUGACAUGAAAGACAUGGGUCUUGCAGAUGUCAUUUUGGGAAUUAAAAUCUCAAGGGCUUCUAAUGGACUUAUUUUAAGUCAAACUCAUUAUGUAGAUAAAAUUCUUGGGAAAUUUAAUAAAGAGUAUAAUACUAUGUCUAAAACUCCAUUAGAUACUAGUAUUCAUCUAUCGAAAAACAGAGGAGAGGGUAUUUCUCAAGUUGAAUAUGCUAGAAUAAUAGGUAGUCUGAUGUACUUAACAAAUUGUACCAGACCAGAUCUAGUCUAUACAGUAAGCAAACUUAGUAAAUAUACGAGUAAUCCAGGAAGUGAUCACUGGAAAGCUAUCGUAAGAGUACUUAGGUAUCUUCGAUACACUCGUAAUUAUGGACUGCACUAUACUAGGUAUCCAGAAGUAUUAGAAGGAUUUAGUGAUGCUAACUGGAUAUCAGAUGUAAAAUAUUCAAAAUCUACUAGCGGCUAUGUGUUUACACUAGCAGGUGCAACUGUAUCAUGGAGAUCUUCUAAACAGACAGUAAUUGCUAGAUCUACAAUGGAAUCUGAAUUCAUUGCAUUAGAUAAAUGUGGUGAAGAAGCAGAAUGGCUACGCAAUUUUUUAGAAGGUAUUCCAAAAUGGCCAAAGCCUGUGCCUACGAUUUGUAUACAUUGCGAUAGUCAAUCAGCUAUCGGUAGGGCACAAAGCAAUAUGUAUAAUGGUAAGUCUAGACACAUACGUCGUAGACAUAAUACCAUUAGACAACUUAUUUCUACUGGAGUUAUUUCUAUUGACUAUGUAAGGUCAAAGGAUAACAUAGCGGAUCCGCUAACCAAAGGGUUAAAUAGAGAGCUAGUAGAAAAAUCAUCGAGGGGGAUGUGAUUAAAACCUAUAGAUUGAUUAGUCAAUAACGAAGGAAAACCUAACCUAGUAGACUGGAGAUCCCAAGAUCUAGGUUCAAUUGGACAACCUAUUUAUUAAAGACUAAAGAUGGAUCACUGUGGGGGUCAUUCUCUUGAGAGGAUUACCUCAUUGACCAUUCCUAUGAUGAAACAGUGAUGCCCGUGGGGAAUAAGGUUGAGCUAGGCUCUUAAUGAUUCUUAUGCGUCGAAAAUUCGAGCGGAGUAAUACGGGUUACUCUUAAUUAAGAUAUCACCUAUGUGAGAGAGAAGUGGGGCCGCUUCAAAGGGAGAUAUAAAGGGUUCAGCUCUUAGAAACUCUUGUAGAAGUAAGCAGAUGUUCAAGGCCAAAACGAACAUAAUCAUGAGAACUCAACAGUGUUAGGAGAAAAACCUAUGUGUAGUAUAUGAUCCUUUACACUAAUGGCAUAAUAGUUCAAAGACAUCGCGUCUAUUGAUCAAAUAGUAAAGUAAUUAUACUAUUACAAGGAAAGGUUCAAAGGAUAACACCUACCUAUCCUGUGCUAGGUAUCAAUCCAAUAAACUCGAUCAUUAAGAGUCAAAAAUGGUUUUGAUGUCAAAAUUUAGCGGUUUUCUUGUUUUUACUGCCAAUUUUCAUUCAUGUGGGGGAUUGUUGAAAAAAUAGCAUAACAUGCUAUUUUGAGGGCACAUUUUGAGUGGGUCUCACUUAAACGAAAGUAGAAAAUAUUGUGAGGUUCAGAUUCUACUCCAUGAUACUUCAAUAGUAUAAUUUUAUUUUCUCAAAAUGGUGCUUGGGUGAAUGAGAAAUUGUCUCUCAAAGUUCACUCUUGAAGUUAGAAAUUUAAAAGGAAAUGAGGCUUAUCCCACAUGGGAAAAAGAAGCCUAGGAAUUAGUGUAUAUAUAUAAACACUUAACCAUGCAUGGGUAAGGAUUAUAAGGAUAAAGGCUCUCUCCACACGCGCGUGCGUAGGGGGGGUGCAAAUCCAAGACCGAUUUGGUCGAACUCGUGUGCGCCCGCACGUCCUGCGUACGCGAAUGUCAACCCAAAAUUAUCCAUGCAAGCUUGGCACGUUUUUAAUUUCUUUUUGAAUUUUUUAUUGUAACAGUUUGAUGUUUUGAAUUCAAAGAAUGUGUAACAACUUUUACAAUUAUUUUUAGCUGUUGUUCACGUUUUUUAAUUCAAUUUUGAAAUCAAUUCAUUGAAUUGAUUUAGCUAUUAUAGCAAUUAAAUAAAACAUAUUGAAUUCGGAAAUUCAAUACACAUCAGCUGUUACAUCCACACAUGAUUAUAAAAAGGCAUCUCCUCGUCUGUUUUUGAACACUUGAAAAAAUCAGCACAAAGCACACUUGUUUGUUCUUUCAUCCUUCUUCGUCUUUCUCUUAUGGAGUUACCUGUUGUGGUUCGCCGGAAUUUUCAGCCUGUGCUUGACUGGAAAUUCGUACCCGUUGUAUCCUGGGAAUCAGAUACCAGCAGACCUUAAGCACUCCGAAGAGGUGGUAAAUCUGUUUUAAGGAAACUGCCUUGUGCAGGCCUCGGGUUUAUAUUUCUUAUUCCGUUUCAUUUCUCUUCUGUUCUUCAUUUGCUGUUUCUGAUUGCUGGUUUACAUUUUUUUUUUCAAUUAAUAGCAAUUUAAAUUGUCAACUCACUGUGUUCGUUUUUUCUAACAGCAAUAACUAUCUUCACCUACUUCUUGAGUAGGUAUCUUAGCAUAACAUGUUAAAGCACCUACUUACACUUCCAUCAAGUAUUUCUACCAACCAUUUAUGCCAUGUUUGAGUAGAAUUCAUACAAGACUCCUUAUGGAUAAAUGUCAAAUAAUAAUAAUGUAUCAAAAAAGCCAUUACACAAACAAGCAAGUCAAACUCCUCUUCAUCAUUAUCCAUAUUCUUAGAUCGAAUCUAUAAACGGUUAUCUAAAAUUAUAAUGAGAUAAUUCAAACUACAAACUGGUCAAAUUCAGACUCCUUCACUCUCAAAGCAUAUUCAUGAUUAGCAAUAAUCUUUUGAAUUUCAUUAUGCAUUGUUCACAAAUAUAUAUAUAUAUAGGGGAAUAGUAAAAUAGUUGCAAAGUAAUUGGAUUCAUUUUUGAAAUAUGAAACGCCAUUCAAUAAAAGAGUUAAAAAAAAACAUGAAAACACAUGGAUCAGGGUUGGCUGAAUAAUAAUAAUAAGGGAUAUUAUCAUUUUACUAUCAAAGUUUAACUGACAUAUCAUGUCAGUAUCAAAGUUUGCCGAAAAGUGCAUUUUACUACCAAAGUUUUGCGCCGUUAUCAAUUCAUUACCAUUCCGUUAACAACAUUAAAAAUUUGUCGAUGUCAUAAGGGCAUCAAAGCCAUUUCCAGUUGUAAGAGUAAAAUUAUUUGUUAAUUUAAUAGAUAAAUUAUCAUUUUACUACCAAAUUUUUAGGAGAAUUAUCAUUUUACUACCGAAUGUUUAGGGGAAUUAUCAUUUUACUACCAAACUCUCAGGGGUAAAAUCGACUUUUAACUCAAUUUUUGUUAAACAUUAAGUAUUUCUUAAUGGAAUGGUAGUGAAUUGAUAACGGCGCAAAACUUUAGUAGUAAAAUGCACUUUUCGGUAAACUUUGGUACUGACAUGAUAUGUCAGUAAAACUUUGGUAGUAAAAUGAUAAUUUCCCUAACAAUAAUUGUCACACUAGCUAAUGAAAUGAUGAAUAUUACGAUAGUAAAUUCUGGGAAUAUACUCUGUCACUUUCCUGAACUCUUUCAAAGAAAUUCAUACAUCAACACAAACAAUUUAAUUUGAAGAAAUUGAUCUACUCUUUCAAAGAAAUUCAUGCACUAGGGUCCUACGUGUAUAAAAAAAUACAAGUGGAAUGAGGUCUUAUAUUUCUACAAGAAAAAUUCCACACACAACAAAAAAUCAAACAAUACGGGUCCACAUGACGGAAAUUAAGAAUAAAAUAGAAUAAAAUAACUAAAUGAACUUUUACCCGACUUUGAAAAUUUGACACAACUUUUUCACAUUGACCAGAAGUCUCUGCAUGUAUGAAUGUCAAGCUGCUGGUCUUUAAUUUAUGCAAGCAAAAUUUCCCACACAGCAAACAAAUAUCAAUCGUACAGGACAUGGAAACAAUGAAAAAUAUGCUUUACGAAGUAGCAUUGAAACGGAGUAUGCCCACCUUGUUAGAAUUGCUUCAACAUGAUCCAUUAGUUAUGUCUGCUUGAGCAUGUGGAUUUUGUGAAUGAGAUUAUACGCCAAAAGCUAGAGCUUGCUGGAAAGUCAAGACAUAAUUUUAGAAGAUAUAUUAACAAUCAUUUCAAUGCUGUUAUAUGGAAACUAAAAGAAUAAUAUAUAUGUGUGAAAGAAGAAAAUUUUAUUUUUCCUCAAGCAAAUGGUCCAGAAAAAUUUCAAUAAUAAGCCUCAUGGUAAGAACAAUGGAUAAAUAUUAUAAUCAAGAAUAUCUUCCAGAAAAAUUUGCCUUGAUUGGAGCAGGUUCUUGGAAAUCAAUGGAUUUAAAAUUUUUUUUCUCCAGCAUGGUCUAAAACGACGGCCCUUGGAGGCUUGGAGCUUUCUUUUUUGUUUGCUUUGUAUUACUUUUUAUUAAAAAAAAUGAAAAGAAAAUUGGGAAAGGGCAGUGACAUUUCCCGCGGGCCCACACAGUUUCAACUUUUUAAAACGAUUCGUGCUUCUUUUUUCAAUUUCGAAAAAUAUUGCGUGCGAAUAAAAAGUAUACAUAGAAGAAAUUUGUUAUUAAAAGGGUAAUUCUAGCAUUUAGAUAUAUUUUAAAUUGGGGUGUUAUAUAUUAUACAAGAGGGUAAGGUUAUUUAUACUCACUAAAUUCAUUUCUAUAUUUAUUUUUUUUUAAAAUGUAUUAUCUUGAUAUUUAUUAACUUUUGUGUUUAGUAAAAAUUAAUUUUUUUUUAUUCAUUAAAUUUCAUGAUGGAUUAAAAUUUGUUAAUGUUUAUUUUUAAAUAGUAAAUUUUAUUCAUCUUAGUUAAUGAUAUUAAUUAUUUAUAGUUAAAAGAAUAUAUUUAAAUGAGGACGAAGCCAUGGUGCCCCAGGUGGCCACGGUACCCUAGUUUUAGGUUAAUGUUUUUGCAGUCCCUCUAGUUUGCUGAAAAGCGAAAACAUUAGAAGUUUUGAAAUUUUAACAUAUAAGUCUAAUAUAUUUCUACCAUUUACACUUAGAAUAUAUUUCUAUUAUUUAUAUUUGAAUACUAAACCAUAGUUGAUUAUUAUGAAUUUUUUUAGCAUUAUCAUUUUUAUAUUAUUAUUUAUAAAUUAAAAUUUAAUUAUAUUUAAAUUAUUUAUUAUAGAUUAAAUUGAUAUUAUAUUAUUUUCAAAAAAUAAAAAAAUAUUUUAUGUAUUAAAAAGUUUUUUCAAGUUAUUGCUCUUAUACUGUCAUUAAUUUUAACAAUAAAUUAGAUCAAUUGAUCAAAAUAUAAAAUUUAAAAAUAAUCCAAAAUUAUGUGUCAAACCUUUAACUAUUUUGCUUUUUUAAAAAAUAAUAGAGUCAUCAAUGUUAAAAACCAAAGAGAAUAGAUCCAUGCGGUUGAAGCAAGUUCUGUGUUAGAUCUAAAGGCAAAGUCGUAUCUAGGCAAAAUGCGGGGUACAAUGCACCAGGUGCACGGUAGUUGGACCCUCUAAAUAAAUUGAUGAGAGUUUGUGAAAUUUAAAAAAGAAUAAGAGAAGAAAGAGUUAAUUAAGUAAUUUUUUUAAAAAUUAUUUAGAUAAUAAAUAUUUUUAAUUAAAAAGGAGAUGUAGAGAAAAAAAAUUAAUGAGUUCAAGUAGCCAUAUUCUAUAUAUAAAAAAAAGGCAAAAAUAUUUAUUACCCAUUCCCUUUAACCUUGAUUUAAAUUUUGUGUUAGCCCCAUAUGGUUAUUUAGUUUUUUUGUCAUAGCCCACUAUGUUUAUAAAAAUUUUCAUUAUUGCUCCUUACAGAUUUCAUGUAAUUGCUCGCUAAAGUUUAUAUUUCGUCUGUUAUGUAACCAUCUAAAACCAAAAUCCUAAUAUUGCUUCUUGUUGUAACUUGCAUGUAAUCCAUACCCAAAGGCUUACGCAAUCUUAGCCAUCUUCAUUGCAUUAAUACAGAAGACUGUCAAAAUCUUGUUUCUUUCUCGGAGGAUUUGCUUCCCGGCACCAUCAUAGAAUUUUCAGUCCAAAACUGUGCUAAGCUCAAAGGCCUACGAGUUGGCAUGUUCAAUUCUCUUCAAGAUUUACUCCAAGAUUUACUCCUGUGGCAAUGUCCGGGCACUCAAUUCUUCCCAGAAGAGGGGUUUAUCCACCAUCCUAGGAUACCUUGGAAUUUCUGGUGAUAAUAUUUAUAAGCCACUCUUUCACGAAUUCUGUAACGCCCACUUUUAUUUUUGUUUCCUCUUUUACCCUUAUUAAAUUGUUUGUGUUUGCCUAUCAUUAUAAUUAUUAAGUAUUUAUUUGACUUAUAUGAUUUAUUUUUAUUAGUUGUUUGUGUUUAAUUACUUGUGGUAUGAUCUAUAUAAUAUAUGUGUAUUUGUAAUGUUGUGAUGAUAUGAAUAGUCCGUAUUCUGUGCUUGAAAUCGUUUUCUUUAUUUAGAAUCACAUGAAUACGUUUACAAAUCAUGAAACUAGACAUCCUAAGCUUUCCAUUGAUAGGUCUUGUGUUGAAAUCCUCUAAGUAUGCAAAUUGUUAUGGUUUUUCGAAGUUGGGCUACUUGUUCUGGAAAAUUCCGAUUUUCAGCAGUGGUUCUCAAUUCUGGAAAUUUUUCUGUAAGGUUACACAUCCUUAAAAAUUAUGACCAUUUUUGUAUCAAUAGAUCUAUGUCUCCUAUGCUUGCAUGUUUAAUUUCGUAGUUUUAUUAUUUAUGGUUAAAUUAUUAAAAAUCGUAACAUGCGGCUGCUGCAGAUCUGGAAACUGUUUUCCAGAAUUGCAGAAGCUGAAACGUGUAACAGUUUAGGCUAAUUUAUGGAUAUUACAUGCCAUGUUAGGGUUUUAUAAUGAAAUUUCAAUCUUUCCUCUGUAUUUAAAAUCUGGAAUCACGAUUUUUGGGCAUGUAAAAUAAAAAAUAUGAAUUUUUGAAAUUCUAUUUUCAAAUCUGGAAUUUUCUGGGCACGUUAGAUGUUCUCGGAAAUAAAACGCUUUUAAAAUAGUUUCAGGCGUCCAAAAAUUAUGAAUUUUAAUUACAUGCUUUGUGUAUGUGUCUAAUGUAAUUAUAAAAAAGAAACAGAUUAUUUUGAGUACUAAAGAAUAUUUGAUGAAUUUCCUAAGUGAUAAAGGUCUGACUUAGUCAAUGCUGGACAGUUUUGUUACUUUGGUGAAAGGUCAGAAUUCUGACUUGAUUUUCACUUGUGCUGAUUUUUGUGAAAUUUUGUUUGCAAUGUUAUGCAUGUUCACAGUACCUCUGUAAUUUUUCAUGGUUUUUCCGACAUGUGUAUAGGUUAUUAAAAAUUAGUAUGUGCAGGAUACUCAUAUUUAUGUCUAGAAUAUAUAUAAGUAUUGAGCUAGUAUAAGUACCUAUGAUUUAAGGAUGAUUGAGAUUAUGUUUAAGGUUAGAGAUAAUAUUGAUAAGGAUAUUUUUAUGAUGAUUAUAGGACGUAGGUGAGCUCGUUGGUUUGUUCUUGAGGUAUUGAGUUGAUUGCUGUGGAUCGAAUUAAGUAGAUUCAUGCAUGAUGUGCUUUAUAAUAAAUGCAAUUUAUGUUAUAAGAAUAAUGUUUAAAUGAAAAUUUUUACAAAACUAAUUUCUAAAAUAUUUAAAUGAAUUUUACAAAAUAUAAACACUUUUAAAUGAAUUUAUAUAAAUGUAUUUUUAAAAUGAAUUUUUCUUAAGAAAUUAGUUUCUUAAACAAAAAUGUUUUCUUAAAGAAUUUUCUAAAAAAAUUAAAUGCUCAAAGAAAAGUUCUUAAAUAUUUUAGAAGACUUCAAAUGCUAUUUAUGAAAGGAUGUAAGGUGGAUUAAAAAAUAUUUUGGCUCAUAGUCCGUAGUAUUAUAUAAGAUGGAAAUGUUAUGAUGUUAUAUAAUGUUAUGGCCAGCUUGCUGGUAUGAUGAUGAUCUUGUGCACAAGGAUGUUACGAACAAUGCGAGGUAUAGUGCCCUUAAUGAGGAACAAUGCGGGGUAUAGCACCCUAAAUGAUGAAUGAUGAAUGAUGAUGACUACGAGGCAUGAGCUACCAAUGUUUAUGUUUUAAUGUUUUUAUGAAUGUUUUAAUGAUUUUAAUGUUUUUACAUGAAUCCACUCCUUAUGCUAAAUGAAGAUGUUAUUAUAAAAUGUUUAAAGGUAAAAUGACAAAGGUUUUUAAAUAUUGUGCAUGGAUUUGCUUACCGAGUUAACUGCUCACCCUUCGUCUCCAAUAUUUUGCAGAUUGAUUAGAGAUGUAACUUGAGUUCUUAGAUGGAGAAUUUUUCUUAGUGAAUUUUUGGAGUUGCUUUAAAGAUUAAAUUUGGCUAGACUUUUUAUUUUGGAUUGAGACUUUUCUUUGGAGACUUUAUUUCAGAUGUUUUAUGUAAGAAUUCAAUUGGAAUAUUAAUAAUGGUUGUUUAUCUUGAGGUUUAUUAAUAAGAACAAACAAUGUGAGGUUUCAUUCUAAUUUUACCCUUGUAUUUUCAUGGAUAUAUUUUUGGAGUGUUACAAGUUCACUUCCCCUAAAGCUCUCUGCAUUCAUAUUUGCUCAGAGGCAGUGUCCUUUCCUAAUGAAGAGAAGGGAAUGAUAUUGCCCAUUUCUCUUAAUUAUAAUUUCGGAUUUCCCAAAACCGGAACUCCUAUCUUCCACGGGCUUCCAGAAUCUCACAUCUCUUUUGUCUCUAUCGAUUGAAGGUUGUCCUUUAUUGAAAAACAAAUGCAAAAACGGCAAGGGACAAGAGUGCUCAAAGAUAGCGCAUAUUCCUUGAGUUAACAUAGAUGGAAAAUUCAUUUACGAUCCGGAAGAGGAAGCAUUAUGUGUAUUUUGAUCUCAGAAAUAAAAGAAGAGCGAAAAACCAGAUCAUGAUUUCGCCAACCAUUUAUCGUGUCAGGUCUGUCAGCUUCUAUCCCCAGAACCGCUAUUCAGAUUGUUAUGGAUUCAUUUAAGUUGUUUUCAGUUUCACAGAAAAUACUAGUCUUAGAAUUCAGGUGUAUGUUCUAUUAUGCAUGGAAUUAGGCAAUGAAGGAAAGCUGCAUUAAUCUGAUACGCAUUAUUUUAACAGUAAUUAUGGGAUGCCAAUGUGCAGAUUUUGCAGUUGAAUGCAGCAAUAUCAGCAUAAAACUAGCUUAGAUCACAAAGUAUCAGCUGGUCUUAUUACCAAGAGGAUAAUCAAGCUGGUUGCAGUGUCUUCUUACUUCUCUGUAAGUCCUAUCUCCAUAAUGAAGAUAAACAAUCAAUUGUAUGUUACAUGUUAUCCUAGGAAUUAAAGGAUUAAUAACAUUUUACUGGCAAGAUUUUUGAAAAAUAAUUUUCCAUUAUUUGUUGGGACUAAGUAAUCAGAUUUUUUUCUUAUGUACUGAAUCUAUAUAACUCAUUGCAAUGUUAUACGGCAGCCACGCACUGCACACAUCCUGGUCUGCCAUGUCACAUUUGAGUCUUCAAUGGCAGGGUAUCUGUCUGGCAGCUCAUGCUUGUGUCAGCAUCGUCAAAGAAUGAAUGUAGAUGCAGAUUUUCAUAUUUUCAGAAAGGUAAAGAGGCUGCUUAUUUUAUCUUGCCUUGAUUGCAAUUGAUAUAAGAACCUUAGUUAUAUAGUAUCCUCCCAAAGAUAACACGCUCAACUUUUUACACUUCGGUAGCAAAUCAGAUAAGACCAUGGAACUUACGUAGCUAGGAGAAAAAAAAUGAAAAUCUUCCAUGAAUAUUGGCAAGAAUGUCCUCAGAUUCUCAACUUUGUCGAGAACUUUAAAUUUACCCAUCCCAUCACAAUCACCACUGUGGACGUACGAGGAAUGACGAACCUUUCCAAAUACACUUGACUGUCUAUCCACCGAAAAUUAAUCGUCCAAUCUAAAGCAAGUCUCACCAGAAGCCCAUAGAGCCAAAUCAUGCACAAGGUCAUGCAUCACAAAUAUAGAUCCGCCGUUACUUGAUUUUUGGAACAAGGAUCUUGACAAGAGAUCAUGAAAAUACUCACUGCCCGAAUCUUCUAGUUAUUUACUGUCUUCAAAUUGUUGAAUUAGACCUUCUGCUGUCCAUAAAAGAACGAGUUCCUCCUCUUCGAAUUCAUAAUCCUUCGGCAAAACUGCACAAUAGGCAAAACAUCUUUCUAAAUGCGAAGGCAGAUGGUGAUAGCUUAACUUCAAAAACAGAAGGAAUCUCAGUUUCAUCCUGUAAGUCCCAUAUUUUACUGUCCAAUAUAGCUCUCCACUCAUCAACUCUCUGCUUAGAUCGAAGAAUACCACCAAGAGCCCUUGCUGCCAGAGGUAGACGUUUGCAUUUCUCAACAACCCUUUGACGAGCUGACUCGAAGUUUCCCUGUGUGCCAGCAUCUCUGCUCUCAAAUGCAUGAGCUGCGAACAACGACCAGCAAUCAUCAUCAGACAGAAGCUUCAGCUCAUAAUUUUUACCAGAUCCCAUUGUUGAGGCGACAUCCAUGCUGCAAGUGGUCACAAUUAUCCUGCUGCCCGGUGCUCCAGCCAUGAUGGGAGACUUUAGAGCUUGCCACAAGUCAUAUCUCUCGCUCCAAACAUCAUCCAAGACAAUCAAAAACUUCUUCUUAAACACAGCUUCCUUCAACAUAAGCUGCACCGAAUUCAAAUCCUUCAGAUCACAAGAGGAGAGUGUGGUCGACUCCAGAAUAGCCUUGGAGAUCCUGAGAACGUCGACGUCAUCAGAAACACAAACCCAAGCUUUGGGUUGGAAAGCUUCCGUUAACUGUCGUUGUACAUCCCCUGAGCAAGUGUUGUUUUCCCGAUACCUCCCAAACCCACAAGGGGUAUUACUCGAAAGUUGGCAGCAUCACUCGGAUCAUUCUUUAACACCAUAUCAAGUAUCCUAGCCUUGUCUUCAUUUCUCCCAUAAACAGCAGGUUCGCUUGUUAAGCAAGUGGUGGGUGGUCUUUGCCUUACUGCAGCAGUAUGUGUUGACCCUCCACCAAUCUUUUCCAAUCCAAGAACAGUUCUCCUUUUACAGAGUUCUUCAAGCCGGCUACUGAUUGCUUUAAUCUUAGACCUCGUGCUAAUACUGGACUUAACACUACUAGCACCAGAGGAAAAACCUUGUAUGAGGCUACGAACCUUGCUAGAGCUGGCUUCACGUUUCUUCAACAAUCUCAGCCCGGCUUCAGUAGCAAACUCAUCGAGUAUGUCCUCUGCAUCGUAAGCCAAGUCUCGGAGGUCAUCCAGCCACAGCUUCACAGCCCUGUCAGUCAGCUGCUUCUCCUCUGCAUCGAUCAGCACUGCCUCAAUUGUCUUGAGUGUUUCCUCCCACUUUUUCAGCUUUGAACGGACACCCUCUUGGCCGGCUAACUUCAGCAACUCAGGGGACAUUAAUCUUUCGAACAACACCUGAAGAAAGGCAGAAAGAAAGAGCUCCGCCACAGGCAUGGCUUCGCUUUUUUUUGGGGGGAUGCUUUUGUAAGUAAAAAAAGAGAAAGAAAAUCAGAAGAAUUCAGAGGGGUUAUCACACAAAAGAGAGAAUAAAAGCAAUAAGCCAGGGAGACUGAGACUUCAAUAUUUGCAAAAGAAAGGUUACCAGAAAAAUGGAUUUGAUACGUUUUUGUAUAAAUAUUGAUGUAUGCACCUCCAUUAGUACAGUAUUUAUAAUAGAUAAAACAAAAAAAUCAUCUCGUAGAAAUUUUCUUUUAUCUUAAAAUAAUUUUUUUUAAUUUUGUAGUGAUGGUAUAACAUUUAUAGCGGUUACUGUAGUACACAUAAUAUUAUCGAUUUCUUAAUUAAUCUUUCAUUUAAUGUUCAUAUAAUCAUAUGUAUAAUUUUGACUUAUUUUUUCAUUAUUUUUCUAAUUAACCUUAACCCAUAUAAUUUUAAGGACAAUUCAAAGUAUUUUGAAUAAAUAUUAGUAAUUUUACAAAAAAAUAAUAUUUAAGAUUCUAAUAUUUGAGUACUAAUUUGAUUCUUACUAUUAUAUGUCACUCAUAUAAUUAAUAAAAAAACACAUAAAUUAGGAUGAAACUCAAAUAUGGAAUCUCUAUUAUUACCCUUUGCAAAAUGGCAUCACUAGACAAUCUGACCAAUAAUUUAUAAAGUUAAAUUAAAGAUUUAGAAGCUGAACAGAAAGGAUCAAGUCAGUGUCAUACAGCAUUCUAAGCAACUUCACAUGCCGUACUAAUAUUUUUAUCAAUAAAAUGCAUAAUUAUUUUGUUCAAUUUUUUUAAUAAUGAUAUGCAAUUAAAAUCCAUCUGCAUUUCUAUUCGCGGACCGGAUAUUUCCAUCCAUUAAUAUUCAUGAAUGUGUUUAUUUUACUCGUUUUAUUAAGAUAUAGCUAAAUGAUAAGAUGUUAUAUUGAGUAGAAUAAGGUACACUUACACCUUGAUAUUACUGUUGUUAAGCCUUAUUUUCAAUAUUAUUGUUAGACCCUUAAUUAUAACCUUAAAAUUUUAGAAAAAAAAAGUUUCUAAAUCCCUAAAGUUAUUGUAUAAUUGUAUUUAUAUAGUUUCUUAGUUCUUAUUCCUUACACGUUUAAUAUAGAGUGAAAAUACAUAUUUUUUUAAUUUUCUAGUUCACUUUAAAGCUCUUAUUUUUCAGCAAAUUUCUUUUUUAACUCUUAGUCAACAUCUUAAAAAAUGUAUUAAGACUCAUUUUAAAUAUUAUUAUUGUUCCUCACCUAACUCAAAGUUUCAAAUUAUGCGGUGAUUCUGAGGGGAGGCGCCGGAUCCACUGGUGUAGAUGGCCGACGGUUUGUUUUCUAGUAGAUGAGGGCGGCCUCGGCAUUCAGUCCUUCGAUGAUAUGGCAGAGGCCUUUGAGAUCAAACUUUGGUGGCGAUUUUGUCAGCAGAGUUCGCUGUGGGCUUCCUUCAUGAAGUCUAAGUAUUGUAGAUCUACGCACUCGGGCAUUAUCCAAUUUCUCUAUCCUGCCUCUCCUCUAUGGCGAUGCCUCUGUACAAUUCAUUGCACGGCUGGGCCUCAUGAGCGUUGGCUAGUUGGGAGGGGAGACUGUAGUUUCUAGUCGGCUCUGAUCUCAGACUUGCUAGUUCUGCUUUUGGCUUCAAGCCUUCCCAACUGAGGGGAGUCUUGGAUUCCCUGAUUAUGGAGGGAUUGCGAGUUAUGGCUACCCCUAGGAGGCCAAUUCGAUUAGUUGCUUGGAUGAGGCCGCCUCCUAGGGUGGUCAAGCUGACUGUGGAUGGUUGCCCUAAGGGCAAUCGUAGGAUGGCUGCUUUCGGGGGCAUUCUCCGGGAUCACCGAGGCGUGGUUUUAGUUGCCUUUGGAUCUUUCUUAGGCCACAAGCCCAUCUUAUAUGCUGAGCUCAUGGCGGUGUGCGAGGGUUUGGAGUUAUCCAUUCAGCUUGGUCACUCAGUGCUCGAGGUUGAGUCGGAUUCGGCUACGGUGGUGUCAUGGACACACACCCAAGGUCCUGUUUGGUGGGAUUAUGCUUAUCCUCUACAUCGGGCAUGUCGUCUGAUAUCUUCAUCCCUCAUUCAGGUGAGACAUGUCUUUCGAGAGGCUACCUAUGCAGCUGAUUUUCUAGCCAACUGGGCCGGCUCUCAUCAGACUAGUCGGCGUUUCUUUUCUCCUCAGCUGCCUAGAGGCUUAUCGGGUAUUCUUCUCACGAACGCACAAGCGGUCCCUCAUGUCAGACGAUAGGACUUUUUCUUAUUACUUUUUGUAUCACAUUUUCUCUUGGAGGGUAUUGGCUCAUGUCUCCCCUAACCCCCCACCUUUUCUUUGGUGGUUUUUUAAAAAAAAAAAAAACUCAAAGUUUCAAAUUAAACAGUUGCUCGAAGACGCGGUGUCUUAGACAUCAACCAACAUAGAUAUCAUUGCAGAGAAAAUAUUCUUAUUAUUGAAAAUUUACGACUCUCUUUUUGGGAAAAAAAAAAGUUAUUUUGUACUUGCGUACGGAAUGCACUUGACACUCUUAUAUAAACAAAUUGUCUUGAUUGCAGCAGGUUCUUGGAAAUCAAUGGAUUUAAUUUUUUUUUUCUCCAGCAUGGUCUAAAACGACGGCCCUUGGAGCCCUCUUUUUUGUUUGCUUUGUAUUACUUUUUAUUUUUGAAAAAUGAAAAAGAAAAGUAGAAAACUACGAAAGGGUGGUGACAUUUCCCACGGGCCCCACACUUUUUUUAAACUCAUUCGUUCAACAAAAAAUAAUUAUAAUAUGGCUAUGGUUACUAGGGAUAGUAAUUUUUUUCGAUGGGAUUUUUAUUGUAUUUGGGACGGAAUUAUGAUAUAUUUUUAUCCUAUAAAAAAAAUUUAGGGACGAGAGUGAGAUAUUUUUUUAUCCCAAUUAUAUAUGUGGGACGGGGGUGGAAUUGACAAAUUUUGUCCCAUCCCAUCUCAUUACCGAUUAAGAAUGAAAAUUUUACCAAUUGGGAUGGGAUCCCACAGGAUCUCAUCUCUUUUGGGACGGGAUUAUGAUAUAUUUUUGUCCCAAAAAAAAUAUAGGGACGGGAUUGUGACGUUUUUUUCAUCUCAUUUGCAUAUACGGGACAGGACUGAGAUUGGUAAAUCUCAUCCUAUCUCGUUCCAUUGCCAACCCUAAUGGUUAUGUUGAAACUGAUCUAUAAUAGAACAUGAAUCUAUAUUACACACGCAAAGUGAUAAAUAAUAAAAAAAAAUAUUAUAAUUUUAAUCAUGUGGCUAUGAAAGAGUGUUUCAUAAAAGAGCGGUUCCAACAUAACCGGACCCUUAUAAUAAGUUUAUAUUAUGUAGACAAAUCCACAAUUUCAACUUUUUAAAAUGUUCGUGAUGCUACUUUUUUCAAUUUGGAAAAACAUUACGUGAAUAAAAGGUAUAUGUUGAAGAAAUUUGUUAUUGAAAGGGUAAUUUUGGCAUUUAGAUAUAUUUUCAAUUGGGGUGUUAUAUAUUAUAUAAAAAGUGAGGAUAUUUAAACCUAUCAAAUUCCUCUCCAUAUCGAUUUUUUUUAAAUGAAUUUAUUAUCUUAAUAUUCGUUAAUUUUUGUGUUUGGUAAAAAUUAAUUUGUUGAUGUUCAUUUUUAAAUGGUGGUGUUGUUUCUCAUAGUUAGUGAUACUAAUUAUUUGUUGUUAAAAAAAAAUAAAUGAAUUGAUGAGAAUUUGUGAAAUUAACAAUAGGAAGAGAAGAAAUAGUUAAUUAAUUUUUAAAAAAUUAGUUAGAUAAUAAAAUUUUUAAUAAGAAAGAAGACGUUAGAGAGAAAAUUAAUGGAUUCAAGGUGCGUUUGAGAGUGAGAUGCUGUAAUUUUUAAACUACAACUACUAUGGAAUAAAAAUUAUUGCUGUAAAUUAGAAGCUGAUAUGUUUUUGCCGUGUGAGUUUUGCAAUUUUAUUAGUGAAUUUCAUAAGUCCCAGUCCAGCGUUGAAUUAUGCAGCAUUGAAUUUUCAUAAGGCAUGAGAUUCUAUUGCCAAUUCUCAUAAGUUCGAGUUUCACUAAGAGCAACUCUAAAAGACUUUUUAGAUUUUACUCUUCAAAUACCAAUUUGCUUAAUGAUGUGGCAAAUAAGUGGAUAGAAAAAUACAAUCUCCUCCAAAAGACUCAUUAAAUAAGAAUAAGUUAACAUUAUUUUAAUCAAAUCUUUCCACUAUUAAAUUGAAUUGUUGUUAUGUUUUUGAAAGGAAACAUAAAUGAUAAUUAUUGCAGUCUUAUCUUUUCAAUAAAUAAUAAUCAAAUAUUAAUAGAAGGGGGAGAAAUUCACUCGACAAUAUUAAAAAGUGAGAAACAAAUCUUAUUUGAAGAAUCUAAAUUAACGUGUAUUUUGAAGUGUUUAAUAUUAAUAUCACUCUUCAAAUAAGAUGUAGAAUUUUAUUUAAAGAGUAUUUUGGAGAUGCUCUAAGUUUAUUGGUUGAACAUUGUUGGCUUCUUUUUCCUUUUGUGAGAGAGAGAGCGGGAGUGUACUGGAGAGUAGACAAAAAAAACAGUAAUGUAGCGCUGCCGCUGCAUACAAUUAAUUGUCAUUUAACGAUGACCACAACAACAAUAAUAAUAAUAAUUGUUACACCAGUUAAUGAAAUGAUGAAUAUUAGGAUUUUCAUUUAAGAAAUUUGUAAAUAAAUGGGUAAUUUUGGUAUUUAGAUAUAUUUUAAACUGGGGUGUUAUAUAUUAUACAAAAGAGUAGGGCUAUUUCAACUCUAUAUUCAUUUUAAAAAAAUGCAUUAUCUUGGUAUUCAUUGACUUUUGUGUUUGGUAAAAAUUAAUUUUUUGAUUUUCAUUAACUUUUAUGAUUGAUAAAAUUUAUUGAUGUUCAUUUUCAAAAGGUGAUUUUGUUCCUCUUAGUUAAUGAUACCCAUUGUUUAUAGUUAAAAGAAUAUAUUUAAAUGAAUUAAUGAGGAUUUGUGAAAUUAAAAAGAGGAAGAGAGGAAAGUGUUAAUUAAGUAAUUUUUCAAAAGUUAUUUAGAUGAUAAAUUUUUAAUUAAUAAAAAAAUAAAAAAAUUAACGGGUUCAAAUAGUCACAUCCUAUAUUAAAAAAAUAAAAAUAUUUACCAUCCCUUCCCUUUUACUUUGAUUUAAAUUUCAUAUUAGCCCCAUAUGGUUAUUUAGUUUUCUUGUUAUAGACCCACCAUCACUAUGUUUAUAAAAAAUUUCAUUAUUGCCCCCUGCAGGUUUUGUACUUGUAUGUAAUUGCCUGCUAAAGUUUAUAUUUCCCCUAUUAUGUAACCCUUUCAAACCAAAAUCCUAAUACUGCUUCUGGUUGUAACUUGCAUGUAACCUAUAUUGUUACCAAUAAUGCUAAUUCAAAAAAAUGAAAAUUAAAAAAAAAAACAAUUCCUAAGAAGCCACUAGGCUAAGCCGAGUGGUGAGAACUCAUGACCUCAUAAUUUCGAACCCCACAAUGCAUUGUGGGGUUUAAAUUUCCUUUCUCAAUUUGAGUGAAGACAAUGUUCUCCCUUUCGAAAUGUGAGUGGAGUGGACGACACUCGAAUAUUAGAGAGGGUAAAAAUAUGGGCGUGCUUCAUAAGAAUUGAUGUAAACUAGUCUCAGUAAUAGUUUGAUUUGUAAAUGUCAAUUGUAAUCUCAUAUAAUAUGAGUUGUACUCUUGAACAAUAGCCUCAUGUAAUAAAAAAAAUAAUUCCUAACACAAUUUCAAUCUCAAUUGAAUAAGCAUAAUUCGCAAAGAAAAUAAUUGAGUAAAUAUAACGUUACUCAUAAUAUUUAAUAUAUGUGAUGAACAUCCACAAGUACAAAUAAAUAUUACAUUGAUAACAAAUGAGACAUGUUUAUUUUUAUAAACAAAUUUUGGCUGGGAUAUUUUUGCCUAUAAAUUUGUGUAAAUUAAUCUUAUUUUUAAAUAGAUUUUAAAAACAUUCAUAUUAUUAUUUAAAUUUUGAAAAAGAGAAAAAUUUAAAUUUUUAAUCAAUCAAAUCAUUUUCUUUACAUAAGUCUCUUGACUAUUGUCAAUCAUAUAUGUUGUUAUAACAUAAUUUUAAUUUGACUAUUCCACCAUUAUUCCAUAAAUGAUUAAAUUAUUUGAAACACAUAUUUUUGUGCCAUAAAUUUAAACAAUUAAUGAGGAUUUAAUUGGUUAAUUGUUUAAUUUUUUUUCUUUUGUCAAAUUAUUAAAAAUAAUUCAAAUUUUUUAUAAUUAUUUUUUGAAAUGGGGUGAGUUUGCACAAUUGAGGAUGCAAGUAUCGCCACCCAAUAAUCAUUUAGAAUUUUUUUAAUUUAAUCAUAUUUUGUGUUAAGAAUAAAAAUAAAAAUAAAUGCCAAACCUUGUCUACAGUAUUUUGCACUUUAUUAAAAAUGCAUCAAAUUUUUUUUCUAUUGUAGUUAUCCAUAAAGUACAUAUGAAGUUUACAAAGUACACCACUUUUCCACUUUUUGAUCAAAAUUGUUCAAGGACUUAAAAAAAUGAUUAUUUUACCUUAAACCUAAAAAAAAAUAAUUCAGCUAAAUGAUAAAACUAUAUUUUAUUUUCAUAGAUUUUAGGACCAAGAACGCUACAAAAUUAACAAUAUAGACUCAUCAAACUUACUAAUUAAAAUAAAUAAAACCACCAAAAUUAGGACUUAAGCUAAUUUUUUGCUUUGUAUGUCAUAAAUCGAGAAUUUAUGCUUACAUAAUUUAUCCUGAAUAACUUUGACAACAAUAACAGAUCUCUCAGUAAUAAUAAUCACUAAUAGAAAUAGUCAUAAUUAUCCAAAACACAAUCAAAAUAAUUAUAAAAUCAAUUACGAAAAUUUUUGAAUAUUAUAAUUUAUUGCCAUCAAUUAAAAAUAAUAACACAAAAUCACUAAUCAGCUAUGGCAGAACUUAAAAGGAAAAAAUUAUUUUCAUCCCUAGAGUUUCAUACAAUAAUUCAUUUCAUCCCUAAUUUUUAAAUAAUAAUUCAAAAUAUCCUUCCACUAACUCACCAUUAGUUUAAUAUCCUAAAUUAAUUCAUUCAUUGAGGGAGAAAUAAGAUUUUUCAAUAAAGUGAUACAAACUAUAUUAAAAUAAAAUUUUUACACAAUUAAAUAACACUAUAAAAUAUGCAAAUUUUAUUAAUUUGUUUUAAAUGAAAUCAACGAUGAAAUAGUUUGAUAUAGCCACUAAAUGACUGCCAUAAGCAACAGUGAUAUAGCCACUAAAUAAUUGUCAUAAGCAACAAACUAUAAUUAACACAAUAUCUUUAAAUCAUUGGAAGAAAAACUAAAAAAUAUAGCUAAUUUUUAUUUGCUUGCAUGUGCAGAAUAUUUUCUUGAUCUUCAAUCAAUUUUUAUCUUGAGCUUUACCACCACUCUUCUUUGACCAUUAUUGUCUCCCUAAGUCAACUCACAGUGCAAUUAGUGAAAUACUAACUAGGCAACCCAAGAGGGGUGAAUUGGGAUUUUAAAAUUUAAGCUAAGCAAACCACACAACAAUUUAAUCUAUUGCCUUAAUCAAAUUGAAAACAAUUAAUUCAAUCAUGCACAAUAUUAAAAGAGUAAGGGAAGAGAAAACAAACACAAGGAUUUUUACGUGAUUCGACAAUCUCCGCCUACCUCCACGCCUCCAAGCUCACCCGCUUGAGGAUUGCACUAUCCAAAUCCCCCAAGACUUCAAGUUUUUACAAUUGACUUCCAAUGUGUCAAUGAAUCUUUACAAUUAAGAGAUUAUCUCCUCAAUCUCUUCACCCCAAGUGUUUCUCACACAUGUACACUCACAAUUUGAUGAGAAAUAAAAAUUACAACAAUGAAACUCUCUUUAAGAGUGGAUAUAUAAAUGAUAACUCAAUGAAGAUUUAAUCUAUGAUGAUUUUCAAAUUUGAAGCUCAAUAUAAGUUGUGUGCACUUGUUUAUGCUUGCAAAGAUUACCAAAAAUGAAUUAAAUUUGAGUUUAUAUAAUUUAAGCUUAAAAACUAGUCGUUAUGCUCAUUUUGGUGAUAACCGGCUUACCAUUUAUGGAAUCCGGUUAGCUGCUUUUAUGUUACCGUUACAGUAAAAAUUUAAAUUUCAAAACAUCUGGUAUGUCGCUUACAAAAUCCGGAUAGUCGUUUAUAUUCCAGAUGCUUACUGCUUAAAUCCAGUCUACCGCUUGUCAGAAUUCGGUUAGUCGCUUGCUACAGUGGCUGCUACAGUAACUAUUUCCUAAAAUUAUAAUUUUACCCCAAAACUUUAUAUAACUAUACUAUAGCCCCAAACGUUAUCAAUUUUACAAAUAGAUCCAAUUUCAGAGUUUUUAAAUAAUGCUUGUUAUUCUCAACACGUUUUAAAAUUAUAAUAUGACCCAAAAUGUUAUGAAACUUUUCAAAUAAGUCCUUCAAAAUUUCAAGCAAUAUUUGAUGAUUUCAAAAUUUUCAAAAUUCUUUCAAUUAGACCUUAAACUUGAAAAACAACUAAUUUUAUAAAAUCAUUUUUUCAUUAAAUAUAAAACCUGUAUAAUGUGAAAAUAAUGAUUUAUUUAAAAUGUAUAAAAAAUAAUUUGAGUUUAAAAGAUUAAUCAUUCUUAAUUUUGUUUGUUAUCAUCAAAAUCAAAAACAUAUAUGUUAACAAUUAGAGGGUAUACUAAUACAAGCAUGGGAAUUAUGAUUAUUUUUUGAACUUAAAUAUGGGGUUAAUAGGGUUUUCAUUUUUCCAAAAUAGAGAGAAGCGCAAAACAAUUGCUUGAAAUAGAAGUUUUCAUUUUUUUCAGUAUUUCAUGUUUAGUAGGAUUAGAUAAAAAAAAAUUUAAAUAUAUGUCAACUUUUAUUUAUUUUUUCUAAUUUUUUCUUUAAUAUUUUUUUUUUUGCCCUCAACGAAUUACUAAUAAACAGCAUUUAACUAACGUUGAAUUAAUAAAAAGAUGUUUUACGUUAUUAUUUUAAAAAAUAUGGGUAAAAUGGGCUAUUGCAUGAAACAAAAUAGAUUUUUUCCAACCUAUUAUAGUUUGUUUUCUUCAAUCUAAAAUAACAAAACAUUUUAAAAGUAUUCAAAAUCACAAUUAAUAAACAGUGAUUUUAUGUUUAAGGGUAAAGUAAUAUUUUUUAAUAUUCUGUUAAGUCUUUUAAUAUUGUUAAUGAAAAAAUAGAAAAUAGGGCCUGUCUACGUUACAUACUCUGUUAGUAACAGACCUGUGAUCUCAAUCGUUGGAUGUGGAUAGAGAAAGAUGGAGGGUUGGCAAGCGGUCAGAAAAAUAAGGGGAAAGCAAUUCCAUAGCAUAGGGAAACCGGCUUUAAUGGUUAGUGUGCAACCGGAUGUGAGAUGUAACAAAAGGCCACAUGGUUGGAGAAAUUAACACCAGCAUUUAACCUUUCUGAUACGAAUCUGACCAGCACCUAACUGGACCUCGAUAUCGGCGACGAAGCACCGGCGAUCGGAUGUGAGGAUCGAUGAGCCUACCUCCGAUGCAGCCUCGAUUGCUGAAACUGGAACACACACCGUGGAUCCAAAGUCAGAAAAUUUGUAGGAGAUGCAACGUCGCCUCGCUUGCUAUAUCAGACUGCAAAUGAAAUUUCGAAACGCUGCAAUCCUAGACCCACACACAUUUUUCCACUAUCAAACGGCAAAUAUUUGGACUUUCAAAACACGGCCCAUUAGAAACAGCGCCCAUGCUCCAAAUUCAGUGACGGGUUACCGGUUAGCAACCGGGAGAAUUUCAUUUUGUCACCGCAAGAAAACCGAAAUGGCAGGUUCCAUAUAUAACCUCCCAUUCCAUCCGCCGUCCACGCGCCGCGCACCCAUAUAUGAUCUUGUCAACUCACAGUCUGUUACUAGCAGAGUCUGUAACGUAGACAGGUCCUAGAAAAUAAUAUACUUCGUGCGAAUUAGCAGCACCUUCACUGACAACCAACUCACUUGCUUUGGCCAUGGCCGCCAGUUCACCGCUGCUAACCUCCGAACAUUCGAAGAAGACAAAGCCCAACAGGAGAAAACGAACCCGAAAGGGCGGAGAAGCCGAAAAGCUCGACUCUCUCAAAUGGAACCCCUCUUUCUCAGCCGAAGACAACGACCCUUUUGCCUUCCUCGUUGGCUCCAAUGAACUCGACGGAGGUCAAUUAACACUUUCCCCUUUUUUUUUUCUUAAUUUAUCAUUGUUCUUUAGUUUAGUUGUUGCCCACGCGUUUAAAUUUAAGGUUUAGUUUUUUUCCCCCAUGGUGUAUGUGUUUCAAAGUUUAGAGAAAUAAUUAAUGUGGUAGUAUCAAUGAAAUGAGGUCAAUUUUUAGUUAAUUUGAGUACAAAUAUUGUGUUCAAAGUUGUGUUUUUCUCUGAGCUUUUUAUUGGCAGUCAAUUGUAGCAUGGGGGUUUAUGGGGUUUA
rnacentral:lncRNA from 1 species